AAAGAAAGGGAUGCACCACAUCGCAGUUAGCCCUCGCCUGGGUACACCACCAGGGUGAUGAUGUUUGCCUGAUUCCCGGCACGACCAAGAUCGAGAAUUUCAACUAGAACAUUGGAGCUCUGUCAGUGAAGCUUACACCGGAAGAGAUGGCCGAGCUUGAAUCGAUUGCUUCUGCAGACAGUGUCAAGGGUGGCAGGUACGAUGGAAGCAUGUCUACAUGGGAAAACUCCGACACUCCACCCCUUUCUUAAUAAAAUUAUGUGUUUUUCUAGUAAGGGAUGUUGCGAAAACUUUAUUGUCUUUUGCAUGCGUAAUUAUAACUAUGAGUGUAACUAUGCGUAAUUACAACAUGUGGCGUCACACAAUCCUCAGCACUUGAAUUGGGGUCUAUCAAGGUAGUGCUUGAGUCUAUGAUGCUCAAGCUCUAUUCAAUAGCACUUAGGCUCGGGUCCGCAAAGAUUGUGCAUCAGUCCUCAAUGCUUGAGGUCGGCUCGUUAGUUAAUAAAACGUUUGUUCUUAUAAAAAUAAUUAUUUUUAAAAAAUCUAUUUUUUUAUAUUAUUUGUUUUCUUUCUUUUUAUUUUCCUUCUUCUCGGCUAGUUGCCAACCAUGGCGCCGAUUGCGCCUGAUAACAAGCACCGGAUGAGCUAGCCCAAGGCCAAGAAGACUUGAGAUUGCUGAUUUGGCAAGCUUGAAGCUGGUCAAGUGCAAGCUCGAGUUUCGCCCCGUGGCUAGUCGCCAACUACCACCGUGGCUAGCGUUCGGUCGAGGAAGAAGAAAAAGAAAAAUAAGUAAAAAUCUGAAUAUUUUGUAAUCUUCUAUAGGGAAAUCAAAUAAGAUUUUUCAUAUUAAACGAUAAAAAAUAUUUUCUAGUUUAUUUUUAAGACUUAACCAAAUAUUGAAAAUGACUUUUUGUAAAAUAUUAUUCAAAUAUGUCAUAUUUUUUGCGAAACAAACGGUACAUAAAUUUAAAUUUGAUAAUUGUCCUUGUUAAUUUGGUACACAUUAUCUGUCUCUUUGUUUUGUUGCUGAACUGAUGCUAAUCUCUAGAUGAAGCUUGACUAGUUUCAAUAGGCGGCUUGACUUUUGCGCUUCCUUUUUUUUAAAACCCAAAACACUCAAAACUUUCGUGAUACACGACUUUCGACAUGCAGAGUUACAAUCACUUCAAAUAAUUUAUCUGAAAAUUGUAUAGUGGGCCAUCCGAGAAAGGUGAGGGCAACUUGUCCCCCUAGAAAUUGUCAUGACGUGGAACUCUUGACAUGAAUUGAAGUGACUUUUGUUAAGAGUUAACUAGUCAAGAUCGGGCCACAUCUGUCCAUUCAUGUCCGCCACAUCCGGCCCCUCCAAUCGGACUCCCCGGCGAAAAGAUUCACGGACACGUGGCUGGAUCUAGAAAGUCACGGGUUUGACUUGUCUUUUGUGUCACUAUCAAGAAUGUGCAUGGUCCGGACGGGCGAUUCCCGACCUAGAAUCGGGAACUGCUUGCUAAGGACCGAUUCCAAAACAUUGAAACGGAGAUCCACCAGUUAGUUGAAUGAAUCCACUUGGGAACCAGAUCGCUGAUUCAGUCCGAUUUCUAGGUGGAUCUAUGGAACCGAUCUUGACGCUAAAUAAUUUUAUUUUCAAUAUAGAACGACUACGUGAUUUCCAUAACAACAGCUGGAGAGGUUGUAGAAGGAUAUCAUGGUAGGCACUUACGAUAAUCGUGAGGAAAUGAUAGCAAUUUUGGUUAAACUUGUUUUCUAUCAUGGCUAUCAUGGGUCGAAUAAAAUUUUGCAAGCAAAUUUCGUGUCCUAGGCAUUUUUUUUCUCUUAGGUGUGAUGCUUUAAAAACCCUCUAUGUGAUGCUUAGGAACCUUUGUUUGUGAUGAAGCCUAAAGAUUUAUUCCUUGUUGUGGACUUGUUGUCCUACAUCAAAAUCUCUCAGUCAAACUUUUUUGCUUUGUUUUGGUAAGUCUGUAUAAGGUAUAUUACAGAAGUUGCAUUACGAGAUAUUUCUUCCUUAUUGUCUUUUUAGUUUAACUAAGGCCAAAUUGUUUUGGCAUUUUUCCAAGCAUUUCAUUAUGGAAUGAUGAUAAGAAGCGAUCUUGACUUAAUGCUUUUAGUUAUUUGAUUUGGAUUUAUUAAUUAGUAAUUUCAUUUUUUAAUAUUAAAAAUUAAUAUAUUAUUUUAAUAUAAUCGGUUCGGUCUAGGUGGGCGGGUAGAUAGAUCCGCUCAUGGAACUGGGAACCAGACUGGUACUCACCGGUUCCCAUAAAUUGGAAUCGAGAACCGGACCGGUUCCCUUAAAAACUACCGGUUCUGGGCGGUCCAAGCGGGUUUCGGUUAUUUUGCACAAAGAAUUAAAAAUUCAAUUUUUUUUAAAAAUAUUUUAAAAAGAAUUAUAAAAAUUUUCAUUAAAUUUGUAUUGCAUAAAAAUGUUUUAACAAUACUUUUUUUUAAAUAAAAAAAUCAUAAAAACGAGCUUUUUAAGGGUUAAUUAUUUUUUUUAUGUUAUUGUUUUUAGUUAUUCAAAGGUAUGUUUACUUCAAAUAAGGGAAGCAUGUGCAUAGUUUAAUUCUUUAUAAAUAUUUAAAUGUUUUUUUAAACUUUUCUUAUUUUAUUUUAUUUUCUAUUUUUAAUUUAAUUUGAAGAUUUAAUCUAAUUAGCAUAUAAUAGAAGUGGAUUUUCCUAAAAUAUUAAGAGGUUUUAGCAAUACGAGUUGGAUCGGGUAUGUGUCGGGUAUAUAUGAAUAUGGAUCAGAAUAAGUUAAAUAGAUCAAAUAUGAGUUCAUUCGUUUUCGACCGGACUCAAAUCCGGCUUGAUCCGGUUUCGACCCAACCCAAAUCCGACUCGAUCCACUCAUUUAACGGGUCUAGAUUGAAUUGACGUAAGCACGUGCGUCUUCGUAGCUACUGCCGCUCCCCUCCUAUAAAUCUCGGCUCGCCCGACAUCUUAGCCAUCGUCACGGUGCAGUGCAGGGAACGAGCGAGCUCGAGCUAGACGACGGCAAUGGCAGCGUCGACGACGACGGUGGGGAGGAUCAAGCUGGGGUCGCAGGGCAUGGAGGUGUCGGCGCAGGGGCUGGGCUGCAUGGGCAUGUCCAUCGGCUACGGCCCUCCCAAGCCCGACCCCGACAUGAUCGCCCUCAUCCACCACGCCGUCGGCUCCGGCGUCACCUUCCUCGACACCUCCGACAUCUACGGCCCCCACACCAACGAAAUCCUCCUCGGAAAGGUCGGUUCUCUCAGUCUCUCUUUUGCCUCCGCAUGAAUCAUACGUGCUUAUAGUGUUACGGAAUUCAGCUUCAUCGAGCAGGAUGCUCCGAUCCUGCGCCUUGGUUUUCUGAUUUCGGGGUUGAUUUUGAGCAGGCACUGAAGGGAGGGGUGAGGCAGAAGGUGGAAUUGGCGACCAAGUUCGGAGUCAGCUUCGCGGACGGGAAGAGGGAGAUCCGGGGCGAUCCGGCGUACGUGAGGGCUGCUUGCGAGGCCAGCUUGAGGCGGCUCCACAUCGAUUGCAUUGACCUCUACUACCAACAUCGCAUCGACACUCGCGUCCCCAUCGAAGUCACUGUAUGGAUCCCACAUCAAACCUUUACCUCUCUCGGGACUUUCUCCGAGUGAUCAGUUGCUAAAUUAGAAUGGUGUUGAUGAUGCAUCAUCAUCAAGAUAUCGUUAAAUGUGACUUGAGUUCAGAUGAUAGCAGAGUUCAAGAUGUGGCACGGUGUUGUUCAAGGGAUUGCGGAAUUUAGUAGUUUAUAUGGCUUGAGUUUUUGUUUUAUGGGUCAACAAGCAUGAAAAUUAUUCGAAAUCCAGGGUUCACCCUGAUUUAUAUCUGAGAAUCACAUUUGAAGUUGUUCCUGGACUUUCUGCGCAGACAUUUGGUUCUUGACUUGUCAUUGUGAAAUAUGACAAGUACUUGGAAUACUUCUUUAAUUUGCCUUCUUCUGUGAUAGAUUAGAGAGAUCCAUUUCCGUUAACGAUACCUUGCCAUUUUCUUGUUGCAUUGAGAUGCAUAAAGAUUGACUAUUUUUUGCUAGGAGCUACCUAAUCAAAUUGUAAUGUUUGAGAAGUCAGGGAACACAAACUAUUCAGGCAUCAGGACACAAGAAAAACUAAUGAUGUUCAAUAACUUCUGGAUCUUAACACGUAAGAUUUUGACGAUUGUUGUUUUGUCAUGUGAAUAUGCACAGGUUGGAGAGCUAAAGAAGCUCGUUGAAGAGGGUAAGAUAAAGUACAUCGGUUUAUCCGAGGCCUCUGCAUCAACAAUCAGAAGAGCACAUGCUGUUCAUCCCAUCACAGCAGUGCAAUUGGAGUGGUCGCUUUGGUCAAGAGAUGUGGAGGCAGAGAUCAUUCCCACGUGCAGGUAGGAUAUCACUGUUUAUUUGUUUAUGCAGUAACAACAUCUUUCUUCUGACUCUGCUCUUCCUUAAAAUGUUGACUAGGGAGCUUGGCAUUGGAAUUGUUGCCUACAGUCCUCUUGGACGAGGAUUCUUUUCUGUUGGCUCCAAGUUGGUGGAGAAUCUCUCUAAGGAUGACUUCAGACAGGUCUGUUUCUGCUGGUUAACAUAAUUAGAUGCUCACAGUUACUGUCAUUCCCAUUGAAGUGCUGGAAACCUGUUCUUAUUCUAUAAAGAAAAAGUUUGUGACACGAAUGCUUCAUAUUCUUAUUCGAUCCAGCACUUGCCAGUCAUCCCACCUCUCGUGAUUCUAGAUAAAUUUAAAAAUCACAAGUAAUGGCUUUAAUGAGCCUGAAAGGGGCAGUUUUCUGGAUUCUCGUGCUUUUGGGAAUGAACAAAUAUAGGUUUAUUUGUAAGUUGCUCCGUUUCCCAGCUUUCCCACCAUUUGCUUAUCACUAUCCUUUCCCCACUUUCCACCCGCCCUUUUUCUCUCAUAUCUCUUCACAAGAUUAGCAAUAUUUGCUCAAAAUAACCGAGACCAGUAUCGGGCCUUGGCCUCCGUCCUUUUUGUUUCUCAUCUUUCUUCACAAGAUAAAUUAUAUCUUGACACAACCAUUUCUUGAGCGAGGACUCCCUAACACCCUUCUUAUGAGAGUGUUGGGAUCAAGUUCCCAUCUGACAUAAAGCCAAUUGUGUAUUACUCCUGGCCAUUAGUGUUUGAGUAGCGAUAGUGCUGGGCAAGUGAAGUAGCUAUUUUUCUUUGUAGCUAAAUGAGCUUUGCGUCUGAUAACAUUCUUCUACACGUCAUCUACCUUUUGUGAUUUUUUUUUCUUAUGUGUGACUAAUGUUACCAUCACACGUACAAAACUUAGAUUGUCUAGUUUGUUUCUGUUUUCACUUCCUACAUCAAACCCAUCAGCCUUGUGUGGUAGUUGCUAGAUCACUUCGCUCGACGUUUCUAGUUCUUAUGAUUUGGGGCUAGGUAUUUUAAUCAUUUCAAGAUAAUCAUAACUGAUCAUGCUUUUCCAGGUACACAACAAUUGUGCACUUCUAAAUGCUUAUUAGGUCAAGUAACAAGGCAAUCUGUUGGCAUGCAAUGCGAUCACUUUUGCACCUUGCUGCUGUAGAAUUUGGCCUUAAAAGGAAAAUGAUAGUUGCUCAUAUGCUUUCUGCUGAGACAUUGCUCUAUGUUAUGCAGAACCAACCAAGGUUCCAGCCAGAGAACUUGGCUCACAACAUGAAGUUAUUUGACCGAGUGAAUGAAAUUGCGCAAAGAAAGGGAUGCACCACAUCGCAGUUAGCCCUUGCCUGGGUACACUACCAGGGUGAUGAUGUUUGCCCGAUUCCCGGCACGACCAAGAUCGAGAAUUUCAACCAGAACAUUGGAGCUCUGUCAGUGAAGCUUACACCGGAAGAGAUGGCUGAGCUCGAAUCAAUUGCUUCUGCAGACAAUGUCAAGGGUGGCAGGUACAAUGGAAACCUCUCUCCAUGGGAAAACUCCGACACUCCACCCCUUUCUUCUUGGAAACCUGCCUAGAAACAUGUCUACUUCUGUUGCUGCGUCUUUGAUAUGCAGAGUUUGUGCAUUUGCCGCUGAAGUAAUUUGAGGCUAUGUUGUGUGGCUGUUAUAAGUACGUGUAAUAAGAGAGUGACUGUUUUCGUUUUGUACAUGUGACAUUCACUAUGAGAAGAUUAUGGAUAUGUUCUAAGCUUACUGGGGAAAGAUCACCCGCUAACACGAGAGCAAGUUUUUUAUGAACCGAGCUUGCCGUGCCGACUUUAUCGGGGUGACUUUUAGAAUAUGAGAAAUUGGGAUUUUGAAGAAUUCAAACUCAGUCAUACAUACUAGAGUGAUGCUUUAUUCUCCUCCAACUAGUCUUGGUCCAGUUUCCAGAGAGAUUAGGUCGAUCCUUGGUCCUAGAAUUUCAGGACUAGCACUGUGCGGGUCGAUUCUUAGUCCUAAGAGUUCUAGGUCGGUCCAAUCCAAACCAACCUUAUAUAUAUAUAUAUAUAUUAUUUAUAAUUUUUUUAUAUAGAGAAAACCUUAAAACAAACGGCGUCAAUAACAUUAAAGAGUUAUUUAGUAAAGAGUUCAAGUAAUUUUACAUUGUUCUUUAAUAUUUUAGAUUUUUAAUGUCUUUUACGAUAUUAAUAGUCAUAAUUUACGAAGGAGGAAAUUGUUUUUGUAAGGAGUCCUCAUGAUAUCUAAAAAGGUAUAAAUGGCAUCAUUCUUUAGUAUUCGUUCUCUUUGGUUUUAUUCGUUCUCUUAAUUAUCAAUUUGCCAAAAUUGAAAGAAGCAAUCGCUCACUUUGGGUCACUCCUGCCGCUCGCCGCUUAAUGCUCGCUUGGCUUGUUGCUCCAUGCUCGAUAUUCGAUAUUUAUUCUGUUCGACGCUCACCCCACUUGACUCUCGUUGCUUGCCUUUUUUAGUUGACCUUGCUCAUCAUCGAAUCCAUUAGGUCAAUAUGGUCCUCAGUUGCUUUUUCAAGGAUUACAAAAAAUGAAAUAAAAAAUUAUUAAUUAGUCCUAAGUUGACCUUGAAACCAGACCGAACCCAUUGGGUCCGUUUGAUCUUCAAUCGCUUUUUUAAGGUGUACAAAAAAUGAAAUAAAAAAUUAUUGGUUGGUCCCGGGUUGACCCUAGAACUGGACCGAACCCAUUGGAUCAGUUCGGUCAUUGGUCCUAAGCUUAAUAGGGUUGGUUCUCGGUCCAAAAAACUGAGGACCAGCAUUGUGUGAGUUGGUCAUAGGGUUAGGGGGUGAACCGGCCCAACCUGGACCAUACUCACUCCUACCUCUAACCAUGAGUUCAAUACUAGCACCAUGUGCAACAUACUCUUAGGACUGGAUGCUACACAUAGAUACAACGCUUCGCUUUGUGUUUGGUUUCGUAGCGAAGUAAAGGAACAGUAAAAUGCUAUUGGAUGUUCUCGCGAAAAUGAAGUUUGGGAUAAAAUGUUGGCGCGGUUGAUAUGAGUGUCGAGGAAAUCGAAGGUUUCUUGUUCAAGUUUAACCACCUACGGUUCAUGAGCUUUUAUGUAGCUCAAUACCUUCGCUCAUGCCUCUGCAUUAUUAUAAAACAGUCGGAGAUAUUGCGCAAGUUUCCUAAAAUUAAAAACAACAAUUCUAUUGUUUUUUAUUUGGAGUUAGAGUGGAGCAAUGUCGUUUUGUUUUGAUUUAGGAAAAUAACGCAAAUAGUCAUUGAACUUUGGUCCAAUGUGUUAUGUUCUUAUUGAACUUUUAAUUUAUUUAGUAUGACUGUCGAACUUUUUAUACAUGUUUAAUUUAGAUCCUAGGCUAGAUAAAUCCAACGAUGCUGUGUUUGGUCGUUCGAACAUCUUUGCUGUAUGGGAUAAUGAAUGGAUGAAAAUCCCAUCUAAUAUUUCUUGACGUCUGGAUAUAGCAUGAUUCAAAAUAAAUCUUUUUUUUUUUAAAUGAGUGUUUGAUUUGUAUAAUUAAAAUUAAAAAUAAACCAUGGAAGUCGUGAAUAGUAUUCAUCCUUUCACAAUCUUCAUCGAUAUUAAACACCCCCGUUCCAUGUGACUUCAAGGACGCUCUCUCCUUCUGCAACGCCCCUUUCGCUGCCCUUGAUCAACUUGAUGGAUUACGCUCGCUCUACCUUUGACUUCGCCACAUUGAGAGGCCCUUGGGUUUGAGUUCUCCGCUGGUCUAGCCAUCUUUACUUCGAAUGCCUUUUCCUGCGAUGAAUCCAUCCCCUUCGACGAGUGCGAAUACUGCGUUGAUUCCCUGUUACCGUGCCCCGACUUGUUCAGUCGCUUCAACAGCUUCCCCCGAGACAGCGUGCGGAUCCGGUUUAUGAGUGGUAGCACCAUCGGUGCUACUCGCUCCGAGUGACGUGGUUGAAGAGCUCUAUCACCUUGGCUGCCGCCUCUUUCGGAUCAUCUUCUUCACAGAGAAGAUGUCCAGCUUUGAUCGGGAUCACAAAGUUCCCUACUAAAAUGGAGUUAAGUGACAUAAGAAAGAGGCAGGGCUGACGAGCUCCGACGCCACUUUUCCGAGGCAGCCAAAGGUGGUAAGCAGCUUGUCACUGGUAGGAGGAACGGUGGCCCUUAGACUUUGCUCAGGUCGUUGUGGCGAGGGCUUCUCUAGGUAUCUUCGCGAUACUCAUGCUCUAAGUUUGUGGUGGUCAUUUUAGUGAGAGAAAUUGAAACAAGAGAGAUGAUGCGGCACCGGUCAAAAGUGAGGAUAAGCCAUCAACAAGCGCAGGAGUGGGGGAAAAACUUGUAUCCCUUAUUUUUUUCAAUUUUCCAAAUUUCACAUAUCCUAUUUGGAUCUAUAUCACUUUCUAGAUGAGAUUUUUUAUCCGGACUAUAUCCAAAUUUCACGUUACUCUAAACACCGGAUAUGAUCAAACUUAUCAUAUCAGAGUUUUAUUCGGCCCAUCAAAGACAGACUUAUGAGAUAGAAUGCAAUGAUAUAAUCUAUGAAUUAGAUUAAACAUUUAUUAAAAGUUUAAGAAUAAUAUUUCACAUUUUGAUUGUUAGGAUGCACGAGUGAGUUAUGUUAAAACAAUCCCACAAUAUAUUGAUAGCUUUGUAAUAAGGCUUUCUCUUGGUGAUGACAUAGAUCCAUAUGGAGAAAUUAAUGGGAGGGUUUAUUUGGCCUAACUAAAUGGGAGGCUAUAUCAAUCGGAGCUUUUUCAUUGUAACAUUCCCUUGUGCUUGGUAUUUGUAUUUUAGUAAAAGGAUUUUGCUAGCAUAAUAAUCUUUGGGUUAUCAUGAGAAUAACAAUUUAUUAUGAUUUACAAAAUUUUAAAAUAGUAAACCUCAAUUCAAUUUUAAACUUUUUUUUUUCUAACUAAUUCAAUCCUAAAUAUUUUGCAUUUGUGACAAUUUAGUCUAUUCGGCCAUUUUUCGCCAAGAGGCAUUGAUGUGAACUUUGGCUGAUCGACCAAUGCUGACAUGGACAAUUUUUUUAAUAAUAUUUUAUUUUUCUUAUUUUUUAUUAAUUUUUUCUUUCUUUUUUUCUUCACUUCCUUCUCCUUCCUCCAGCCAGUCGGCAAGAGGCAAGGUUGGUGAGGGACCUUGCUGGCCUUGAGGAAGCUUGGCCAUGGUUGGGCAACCUUGCUCGUGGCUAGGCGACCUCGCCGAGGCCGCCGAUUGGGCUGGCGAGGGUUGACCCUCGUUGGCCAUAGGUCAGGACAAAGGCUGCUAGUUGGGCUUGCCCUUAUUGAAUCUGGUGAGGGUUGAGUCUCAUUGGCCAUGGGCAAGGUCAAAGGCCGCGACCUCUCGUGGUCUCUGGCGAGGCUUGCCAAAGGUUGAGCAAGGCUUACCCUCAUUGGACUGACGAGGGUUGAGCCUCGUCAGCCAAGAGCGAGAUCGUAACUUGCCCAUGGCCGGUGAGGCUCGCCUAGGCCAAAGACAGGCGGGGCCUUGCCUAACCAUGGCAAGGGUGGCCUCACCAUUGUUGGGUGAGGCUAGCCCUUGCCAGUGGCGUGUGGGGGUAAGCCUUGCCAUUGGUUGGCAAGGCUGACUUCACUGGCUUGAAUAAAAUAAAAUAUUAUUAAAAGAUUAUUCACAUCAAUAUUAGCCGAACGAGUGGUGCUCGUCGGCCAAAAUUGGCCGGAUGAAUUGAAUUAGUAUAAUUGCAAAAUGUUUAGGACUGAAUUGGCUAGAAAAAAAAAAGAUUUUAAGACUAAAUUAGAAAAAUUGCAAUAAGUUUAUGAUUGUUUUGGUAAUUUUUUCGUAUAAUAACCCUAGUAAAGAUGACUCACUUAAUUUGAGCGUCAAUAAAUCAAAGGUCACUUGUUUAGUUCUCACAACUUAUUUGUAAAUCACUUUAGAAGUGCAAAUCCAAUCAAUUUAUGAGCUUGCAAAAUGAGUCUCUAGAUAAACCAACUUUUGUAUUCGUGCUUCAGGAUUAUAAUAAAAUAUUAGAGGUUUUCAUCAGUGUAUCAUGAUAGGCUAGAUAGGGCGUUUUCUUUUGCACUUGUCAUACAUGAUCAUUUUGUAUCCUUUGAACUCAUGUUAUUUGUUGGUACUAGGUUGAGUGGUAAUAUGAUCUCCUACCUUAUACUUAGAUAUUUCAUUUAUUAGGCUUCGCCUCACUCCUUUUUUUCUUUUUUUUUCUUUUUUGUUGUAGGAUGAUUCCCCUAAAGAUGGUGACGGAGGGGCCGAGUUGAUAUCGGAAGCCAUUAAUCCUUGAGUUGGAUGGUAGUUUAGUUAGUAUGGAUGUAAUGGUAUUAGGUGACCCCGAUCUUUCCUAGGACUAUAAAAUUUUUUGUGAUAAUUACUAUCGAUAUUGUAUAAAGCCAAAGACACUUUUUUUUUUAAUAAACUCAUGCAUUUUUCUAGUAAAGGAUGUUGUGAAAACUUUAUUGUCUUUUCCAUGCGUAAUUAUAACUAUGAGUAUAAAUGGAAAUGACAUGUGCCGCAUGUGAUGUUCCAAGGCGUCACAUAAUCCCCAACACUCAAAUUAGGGUCCAUUAAGGCAGUGCUUAAAACUAUGAUGCUCAAGUUCUAUUCGGCAGCACUUAGGCUCGGGUCCAACAAGAUCGUGUGUCAGUCCUCAAUGCUCGGGCUCGGCUCGUUAGUUAAUAAAAUGUUGUUCUUAUAAAAAUAAUUCUUUUUAUUUUCAUUUUAUAUUCAUUUGUUUUCUUUCUUUUUCUUUCUCCUUCUUCUUGGCUGGUUGCCGACCAUGAUGACGAUUGCGCCUGAGAACAAGCGAGAGAUGAGCUAGCCCAAGGCCAAGAAGACUUGAGAUUGCUGAUUUGGCAAGCUUGAAGUUGGUUGAUCAAGUGACGCUAAAGCUCCCUAGCGUUGGGCAACCUCGAGUUUCACCUCAUGGCUAGUCGCCAACUACCACCGUGGCGAGCGAUCGGUUGAGGAAGAAGAAAAAUAAAAAUAAAAUUAAAAGAGAAAAUAACUAAAAAUCUGAAUAUUUUGGCAUUUUCUAUAGGGAAAUCAAAUCGAAAAAAUAUUUUCUAGUUUAUCUUUAGGACUUAACCAAAUAUUGGAAAUAUUAUUCAGAUAUGUCAUAUUUUUUGCGAAACAAACGGUGCGUAAAUAUUUAGAUUUGAUAAUUGUCCAUGUUAAUUAGGUACACAUUAUCUCACUCUUUGUUUCGUUGCCGAACUGAUGCUAAUCUCUAGACGAAGCUUGACUAGUCUCAACUCAAUAGGCGGCUUGACUUUUGCGCUUCCUUUUCUUCUUUUCUUUUUUCUUUUUAACUCAAAACACUCAAAACUUUCCUGGUACACGACUGUCGUCGUGUUACAAUCACUUUCAAUAAUGAUGGCCAUCCGAGCAAGAUGAGGGCGACUGGUCCCCCUAGAAAUUGUCAUGACGUUUGACUUUCAUGAAUUGAAAUGACUUUUCUCUGUCAAGGAGAAAAAUAGUUAACUAGUCAAGAUCGUGCCACAUCUCUCCAUCCAUGUCCUCCACAUCCGGCCCCACCAAUCGGACUCCCCGACAAAAAAAAUCGAGGACACGUGGCUGGAUCUAGAAAGUCACAGGUUCGACUUGUCUACUGUUAUCACUGUCCUUUUGCAAUAAUUUUUUUACACCCGUCUAGCUGUUGUGAGCUCCUCUGACAUACUAAUUGUGUGGAUAUGGUGAACUUGGGACCUUCUAUAAUCUGUCCAUAUUAAAAAUUUAAAAUGGACAAAUUCCGCCUCUCAUUGUGGAAUUCCACCCACAUUUCUCGCAAACUUUCAAACAUUAGUUCCAGGUCGUGCAUUCCAAUUGAGCCUUGUCUGGUCAAAUAUCAAAGUACUCUAGAGAAAAAUUUUAAAAAAAAUUGUAAAAAAGAGAGAGAAGGAAAACGAUUCAGCCUUAUAAUAACUUGCUAGGAACCACGUAGUUAAUUAGAGCAUCAAGAAAUUAGAGGUAGCUUGUGUAGUUCUCGCAAGUUACUUGUAAAUUGCUUUAGAAGUACAAACUUAAUUGAUUUAUGAGCUUGCACCAUAUUUUAUGAGUUUCUGAAUAACCAACUUUUGUAUUCAUGCAACUCACUCCGCUGUGACUGAGUUGGUUCGGACGUUCCCUCCUCUUCCAAUUGGGGGGAGGUUUGAGUCACCACGAUUGCAUUUGCGCAACUUAAGUGCGGCGCCAUGAGAGGUGGGUCCCCGUGCUAGCGUCACCGUGGGUUUACGUCGCCAGCUGCCGGUUGUACGGCGAUUCUCAAGUCAUAAAAAAAAAAGAAAAAAGAAAAUUUGUAUUCAUGCUUGUAGAUUAUAAUAAAAUAAUUGGUUGUGGUGGGCAAUUGAGAGUGACACCGUUUUCGCCUUUUAUUUUUUGUAAUAUGUGAAGUGUUGUUCUGUUUUUUGUUUUCGUCACCCUCCCACUUGUGCUAUAUUUGUUAGGUCUCCUCGCCAGGAGUUCGUCACUUUAUGUUAUUGACCUCUUAAUUAAAUACAACAAUACCUUCAAGGACUGCUCUUCAUAAAGGCGCGGAUUGGACGGCCGGUGACCGAGAUAGCAGCCUCCGCCCCUCCCUCGGUCUUGCCCUUUGCAUAACUUUUAGAAAACAUGCGUGAUUAGAGGAUCAAUAGUGACUUAAUUCUAACCCGUAUCGAUGUUACCCGUUUAGCAUCUCUUAGUAAAUGUAAAUAUUGUACGCGGAUGACAGCAUUUUGAAGAAUUUACAAUUGGUGUUCUUUUAUUAAAUAUGGUUGAUAUCAUGAAAAAUCUUAGAUUGAUACAUUUGCGACAAACUUAUCCCAAACUAUUUUUUUUACACAAAAACCGUAAACUAGUAUAUUUGUAAUUUUACCUAAAACUAUUUUUUUUUAUCGUCAAAAACCUCAAACUGAUAUAUUUGUAGCAAAAUUACUCUUUACUAACUAGUGUUAAAUUAUACUAAUAUGAAUUGGUACAUCUAUGACAAACGAAGGGUAAAAUCCUAAAUUGGUACACUCAUUAACUAUCAUAUGUCAUUUAACUCAGUAAUUUAAUAGUACAAUUUAAGGGAAAUUAACGGAGGGUCAAUUUGUCAUAGGUGUAUCGGUAUGAGAUUUUUGAUAGCAAAUGUAGGAGUUUUACAUGGUAUUAAACUCUAUUGCAUAUGAUCAAAAGUCCUAGUUUCUACUAUUUUUGUCGACACAAUACCUUAAAAAACCUCAAACUUAAGCUCUGAUCCUAAUUCUAUCUUUUGUGUUAUAAGACCUCCAACUUUAGAUCAUGUCCCAAUUCCACCCUAACAUACAUAUUUUAGAAAACCCCAUAUUUUAGUUAUAGUCCCAAUCUUAUCUAAACAUCUGUUAUCUCAUAAAAUCCCUCAAAUUUAGGUCAAGUACCAAUUCCAACCUAAACGUUAUUUUGUCUUAUAAAAAGAAUCCUAGCUUUAGGUCCAAUUUCAUUUUCACUUUUUUUUUUUAUCUCAUAAAAGAUUACCAACUUUUACUUGAGUCCCAAAUCCACUCUCCAUUAACCCUCCAUCAAAAUUGCCCUUAGUGAUUUUGUGCUCGGUUUUUGAUCUCGCGUGCUUGGAAAUAUUUCAUUUCUCUUGAACAACUUGUGCUUGAGGGUUUUCCAUCUCUCGAUGUCAGCAGGAAAUUUUGCACGAAGGGUUAAUGGUGGCAAAUAUGCGACUCAAGUAAAAAUUUAUAGUUUUUUCAUCAGACUAUAAAAAUUUUACGGUAAUAUUGAGAGUGGAUAGGCUUUUCAUAAGACAAGAAAAGGUUUAAGGUAGAAUUAGUAUAUUAUUUAAAAUUGAAUUGUGAAUGGCUAUAAAAUUAGUGAUUUUUUUUAUGAGAUAAAAGGUAAAAUUAGGAGAAAAGCUAAAGUUAGAGAGUUUUUUUUAGGGUAUCAAACCUAUUUUUGUCAAUCAUAUGAUGUCAACAUUAUCUUUGUUUUUGUUUUUCUUUCAAUUGUCCAUUUGGUCGGUUCUUUUCUAUUCUUAUUCUCAAACUUUUGCCUUGACUCAUUACAAGUGUGAGAAUUGAAACCACAUUUGAUACUAUAUUGUCCCCCGGUAGGCAUUCAAAACCCCCAUCUCCCGCUUCUCAUGUAAGUUAUGAAUGGAGCCUUCGUGUCGUGUCCGACACGCUCGAAGAUGCGGUCAAUACGUGUUCGAAAUCCGACACGUGAACAAUUCUUAUUGACACAUUCUAACACACAAGUCCGAGAGAGAGGAUCGUUGAAGAAAACAAUGGCAAGGGAGCGAAGGCAACGGCAAGGCCACGACGGUGAGAGAGGGCUAGAGGAAGAGUAGAGACCGAGAUGACCUAAAGAGAGGAUCGUGACUGCAAUGGAGGGCCGGUGGCGAGACUGCACCUAUGUAGGAGGAAGGGUUGGAGGUGAGGCGGCAAGCGAUUAUGACAAGGCAAUCAAGAGAGAGAAGAGAUUGAGAGGUGGAUGGUCGUGCGAGGAGGAGGGGAAGGCCAGGGCUAGGGUUUUUGAAGGGGGAAAAUCAAAAAAUUAAAAACAUGAUUUUGAUGGGACAUUAGGGUUGUGCAAGGAGGAGGGGAAGGCCAGGGCUAGGGUUUUUGAAGGGGAAAACUCAAAAAAAUUAAAAACAUGAUUUUGAUGGGACAUUGCUGUGAUUUCUCCUUUAUGGAGAGGGGGAGCGUGUCGGGAGGUGGAGGGGGAGGGCAGAUAAAUGAGGGAAAGAUGAGUGAAAUAAGUUUGUUGGGGGCACAAAAGGAGGGGUUGGUAGGACCUGAGCAAGUCCUUAGACUGCUCCGUCUGGUCGGAAAUAGCCCACGGACGUAAAAUGUGGGCAAUGUUAAUCGUGGGAGAUCAGACCACCCUGUGUAAGGAUCUCCUGGCUCAGAUUCCCGCGAUGCCUUUCUCCUAACAUAUUAGGCUGGGUACAGGAAAAUGAUGAGUGAAAUAAGUUUGUUGGGGGGGGGGGGCACAAAAGGAGGGGUUGGUAAGGGUUGGCAUGGACCCCAUGGAUUUUUAUUUUUUUUUAAUCAAAAAAAUAAAUAAGGAAGGCCAGAAAGUGGGGGAAGAAACUAUGGAAAGAGAGUGAAGUAAAUGUGGGGGUGAGGGUUGGGGUGGACCACGGGGGUCUUUUCUUAUCAGAAAAAUAAAUAAGAAAAACUAUAAGGUGAUUUCGGAAAAUGAAAGUGUUGAAUGUUGAAUAAUAAUAAAAUUUGAUAAUUGUAAAAGAUUAUAGAUUUAUUUAAAUAAGUUAAUUCUAAUUUUUCUUAAUCAUUAGUUUUAUCAAUAAUUUUUGUUAGAGUUAGAAAUAUGUUCGUAUGGAUGCUAUAUGGCAUAUGGAAAGGGUGGCCUCACUUCUGGCGUUUCAUGUAUGGAAAGAGUGAUUAUUAAUGGCGCAUUUGGUAACGUUUUUGUUUCGGAGGACAAUUUUUGAAUAGAAAUAGUUUUUUUUUUUGUUCUAGGGAAUAAUUUUUGAGUAUAAGAAUGUGUUUGGUAACUGCAAACAAUUUCUACUCUAAAAAUAGAAACGCGCUUGGUAAACUUGUAUAAUUUCUUUGUUUCUUUUAAUUUUUUAAUAUUUUUAAUAUUUUUUUUCUUUUUUUCUUUUUUCUUUUUCUCUUUGGUCGGUUGCUGGCUAUGGCGAUGUCCGUUGAGCCUUGUCCAGGCAACGCGAGGUUCGCCUCGUGCCGAUUGGGGAGGUCAAGGCCUCUUGGCUUUGUCUGGGCUAAGCGAGGUUGACCUUGCCCAGCCACCGGCGAGACUCGGCCUCGCUGGGCCACCGCUAGGCGACUCUGUCCUGGAGGUGGCUCGGCGAGGUCGAGCCUCAUGCGGCCAUGGCGAGGCUCGGCCUCUCUGGGGGCUAGCGACACUCCGGCGAGGUCGUCGGCUCUCGUCUAGCCAGUUGCCGGUGUCAACUAUGGCUAAGGCUGAUGACNNNNNNNNNNNNNNNNNNNNNNNNNNNNNNNNNNNNNNNNNNNNNNNNNNNNNNNNNNNNNNNNNNNNNNNNNNNNNNNNNNNNNNNNNNNNNNNNNNNNCGUCUGGUCGAAAACAGCCCAUGGACGUAAAAUGUGGGCAAUGUUAAUCGCGGGAGAUCGGACCACCCUGUGUAAGGAUCUCUCGGUUCAGAUUCCCGCGAUGCCCUUCUCCUAACGUAUUAGACUGGGUACAGGAAAAUGACGAGUGAAAUAAGUUUGCUGGGGGCACAAAAGGAGGGGUUGGUAAGGGUUGGCAUGGACCCCAUGGACUUUUAUUUUUUUAUCAGAAAAAUAAAUAAGGAAGGCUAGAAAGUGGGGGAAGAAACUAUGGAAAGAGAGUGAAGUAAAUGUGGGGGUGAGGGUUGGGGUGGACCACGGGGGUCUUUUCUUAUCAGAAAAAUAAAUAAGAAAAACUAUAAGGUGAUUUCGGAAAAUGAAAGUGUUGAAUGUUGAAUAAUAAUAAAAUUUGAUAAUUGUAAAAGAUUAUAGAUUUAUUUAAAUAAGUUAAUUCUAAUUUUUCUUAAUCAUUAGUUUUAUCAAUAAUUUUUGUUAGAGUUAGAAAUAUGUUCGUAUGGAUGCUAUAUGGCAUAUGGAAAGGGUGGCCUCACUUCUGGCGUUUCAUGUAUGGAAAGAGUGAUUAUUAAUGGCGCAUUUGGUAACGUUUUUGUUUCGGAGGACAAUUUUUGAAUAGAAAUAGUUUUUUUUUUUGUUCUAGGGAAUAAUUUUUGAGUAUAAGAAUGUGUUUGGUAACUGCAAACAAUUUCUACUCUAAAAAUAGAAACGCGCUUGGUAAACUUGUAUAAUUUCUUUGUUUCUUUUAAUUUUUUAAUAUUUUUAAUAUUUUUUUUCUUUUUUUCUUUUUUCUUUUUCUCUUUGGUCGGUUGCUGGCUAUGGCGAUGUCCGUUGAGCCUUGUCCAGGCAACGCGAGGUUCGCCUCGUGCCGAUUGGGGAGGUCAAGGCCUCUUGGCUUUGUCUGGGCUAAGCGAGGUUGACCUUGCCCAGCCACCGGCGAGACUCGGCCUCGCUGGGCCACCGCUAGGCGACUCUGUCCUGGAGGUGGCUCGGCGAGGUCGAGCCUCAUGCGGCCAUGGCGAGGCUCGGCCUCUCUGGGGGCUAGCGACACUCCGGCGAGGUCGUCGGCUCUCGUCUAGCCAGUUGCCGGUGUCAACUAUGGCUAAGGCUGAUGACUGGCAAAAGGAAGAAGAAGAAGAAGAAGAAGAAGAAAAGAAAGAGAAAAUAGAAGAAGAAAAAUGAUAAGAAAAAAAAGUGUUUUUCGAAAGUGUUCUCGAGAAUAAGAAAUAAGUUUUUUUUUUUAAUUUCUUAUUUUUGUUCCAAAGUUGCUCUCACAAUAAAAAAAAAAGACCAGAAUAAAAGUAUAAACAAAUGAGUUUCUAUUCUUUUUUGGUUCUCUGGAACAAAAUAAUAAAAAUUUAUAUUCCAGGAAAAAAAAAUAAUUUUAAACGAACACACCCUAAGAUAUCUUUUGUAUUCCGGGGAAGUAGUUCAAUUGACGUGAGCCCGUGCGUCUUCCCUACAUGGGAAGGGUCGUCACUGGGUCUCAUCUGACCUAAGCAAGUGCGUCUUCACAGCUUUUACCGCUCCCCUCCUACACUUCGUAGCUACCGCCACUCCCCUCCUAUAAAUCUCGGCUCGCCCGACGCCUUCGCCAUCGUCUCGGUGCAGUGCAGGGAACGAGCGAGCUCGAGCUAGACGACGGCAAUGGCGGCUUCGACGACGACGGUGAGGAGGAUCAAGCUGGGGUCGCAGGGCCUCGAGGUGUCGGUGCAGGGGCUGGGCUGCAUGGGCAUGUCCGCCUUCUACGGCCCUCCCAAGUCCGACACCGACAUGAUCGCCCUGAUCCACCACGCCGUUGGCUCCGGCGUCACCUUCCUCGACACCUCCGACAUCUACGGCCCCCACACCAACGAAACCCUCCUCGGAAAGGUCGGUUCUCUCUCAGUCUCUGUUUUGCCUCCGCAUGAAUUAUAUGUGCUUAUAGUGUUACGGAAUUUAGCUUCAUCGAGCAGAGUGCUCUGAUCCUGCGCCUUGGUUUUCUGAUUUCGGGGUUGAUUUUGAGCAGGCACUGAAGGGAGGGGUGAGGCAGAAGGUGGAAUUGGCGACCAAGUUCGGAAUCAGCUUCGCGGACGGGAAGAGGGAGGUCCGGGGCGAUCCGGCGUACGUGAGGGCGGCUUGCGAGGCCAGCUUGAAGCGGCUUGACAUCGAUUGCAUCGACCUCUACUACCAACAUCGCAUCGACACUCGCGUCCCCAUCGAAGUCACUGUAUGGAUCCCCCAUCAAACUUUCACCUCGCUUGAGACUUUCUCCGAGCCAUAUGAUUAGUUGCUAAGUUAGAUUGGUGUUGAUGAUGCAUCGUCAUGUUGUUACAAGUUUGUUGAAAUUUGUUAAAUGACACUUAAGUUCGGCUGAUAGCAGAGUUCAAGAUGCGGCACGUUGUUGUUCAAGGGGUUGUGGAAUUUAGUAGUUUAGUGGCUUGAGUUUUCGUUUUGUGGGCAUCUUUUACAAGUUAAGGGUCAACAAGCAUGAAAAUUAUUCAAAAUCUUCCUUUGAGAUGAAAGUGCUCCAGGGUUCAUCCAGAAUUUAUAUACGGGAAUCACAUAUAAAGUUGUUCCUGGACUUUAUGUGGAGACAUUUGAUUCUUGACAUAUUGUGAAAUAUGACAAGUACUUGGAAUACUUCUUUUAUUUGCUCUCUUCUGUGAGAGAUUCAAGAAAUCAACCUCCGUUAACUCAAUACCUUGUGACUUUUUUGUCGCAUUGAGAUGCAUGAUAAUAGAGGGAUCUAGACGCAUAAAAAGCUAAUGACAUGCAUAAUUUUCUGGAUCUUAACAUGUAAGAUCUUGAUGUUGUUGUUCUGUCAUGUGAAUAUGCACAGAUCGGAGAGCUAAAGAAGCUCGUUGAAGAAGGUAAGAUAAAGUACAUCGGUUUAUCCGAGGCCUCUGCAUCAACAAUCAGAAGAGCACAUGCUGUUCAUCCCAUCACAGCAGUGCAAUUGGAGUGGUCGCUUUGGUCAAGAGAUGUGGAGGCAGAGAUCGUUCCAACGUGCAGGUAGGAUAUCACUCUGUUAAUUGUUUAUGCAGCAACAACAGCUUCCUUCUGACUCUGCUUUUCCUUUAAAAUGCUGACUAGGGAGCUUGGCAUUGGAAUUGUUGCCUACAGUCCUUUAGGACGAGGAUUCUUUUCUGUUGGCUCCAAGUUGGUGGAGAAUAUCUCUAAGGAUGACUUCAGACAGGUCUGUUCCUGCUUGUCAACAUAAUUAGAUGUUUACAUUGACUGUCAUUCUUAUUGAAGUGCUGGAAACCUGUUCUUGUGGUAUAAAGAAAAAGUAUCUGGAUGGGAUGAAUAAAACUUGGUGACACGAAUGCUUCGUGUUCUUAUAUGUCUUUAAUCCAGCACUUGCCAGACAUCCCACCUCUCUUGAUUCUAGAUAAAUGUAAAAUCACAAGUAACGGCUUUAAUGAGCCUGAAAGAGGCAGUUUCCUGGAUUCUCGUGCUUUUGGGAAUGAAUACAUAUAGGUUUAUAUGUAAGUUGCUCUGUUUCCCAGCCUUCCCAACAUUUGCUUAUCACUAUCCUUUCCCCACUUUCCACCCACCCUUUUUCUCUCAUCUUUCUUCACAAGAAUAGCGAUAUUUCCUCGAAAUAACUGACGCCAGUAUCGGGCUUUGGCCCUCCGUCCUUUUUCAUUCUCAUCUUUCUUCACAAGAUAAACUAUAUCUUGACACAACCAUUUCUUGAGCGCGGACUCCCGACACCCUUCUUAUGAGAGUUUUGGAUCAAGUUCCCAUCUGACAUAAAGCCAAUUGUGUAUUACUCCCCGCCAUUAGCGUUUGACUAGCGAUAGUGCUGGGCAAGUGAAGUAGCUAUUUUUCUUUGUAGCUAAAAGAGCUCUGCGUCUGAUAACAUUCUUCUACUCAUCAUCUACAUUUCUGAUUUUUUAUUUUAUGUGACUAAUGGUAUCAUCACACGUACAAAACUUAGAUUGUCGAGUUUGUUUCUGUUUUCACAUCCUACAUCAAGCCCAUCAGCCUUGUGUGGUAGUUGCUAGAUCACUUCGCUUGACGUUUCUAAUGCUUAUGAUUUGGGACAUGAUAUUUUAAUCAUUUCAAGAUAAUUUAUAACUGAUCAUGCUUUUUCAGAUACACAACGAUUGCACACUUCUAAAUGCUUAUUAUGUCAAGUAACAAGACAAUCCGAUGGCAUGCAAUGCAACCACUUUUGCACUUGUUGCUGUAGAAUUUAGCCUUAAGAGGAAAAUGAUAAUUUCUCAUAUGCUCUCUGCUGAGACAUUGCUCUAUGUUAUGCAGUAUCUACCAAGGUUCCGGCCAGAGAACUUGGCUCACAACACGAAGUUAUUUGACCGAGUGAAUGAAAUUGCGCAAAGAAAGGGAUGCACCACAUCGCAGUUAGCCCUGGCCUGGGUACACCACCAGGGUGACGACAUUUGCCCGAUUCCCGGCACAACCAAGAUCGAGAAUUUCAACCAGAACAUUGGAGCUCUGUCAGUGAAGCUUACACCGGAAGAGAUGGCCGAGCUUGAAUCGAUUGCUUCUGCGGACAAUGUCAAGGGUGGCAGGUACGAUGGAAGCAUGUCUACAUGGGAAAACUCCGACACUCCACCCCUUUCUUCUUGGAAACCUGCCUAGAAGCGUGUCUGCUUCUGUUGCUGCAUCUUUGAUGUGCAGAGGUUGAGCAUUUGCCGCUGAAGUAAUUUGAGUUUAUGUUGUGUGGCUGUUAUAAGUAUGUGUAAUAAGAGAGUGACUGUUUUCAUUUUGUACAUGUGACAUUCACUAUGAUAAGAUUAUGGAUGUGUACUAACCUUACUGGGGAAAGAUCACUCGAUAAACACGAGAGCGAGUUGAAUACGAACUGAGCCUGCCGUGUCGACUUUAUUGGGGUGACUUUUAGAAUCUGAGAAAUCGGGAUUUUGAAGAAUUCAAACUCAGUCGUACAUACUAGAGUGGUAUUCUCCACCAACCAUGAGUUCAAUCUCUUAAGACUGGAUGCUGCACAUAGAUGCAAAGCUUCGCUUUGUGUUUGGUUUGGUAGCGAAGUUAAGGAACAGUAAAAUGUUACCGGAUGUUCUCGCGAAAACGAAGUUGGGGAUAAAAUGCUGGCGCGGAUGAUAUGAGCGUCGGGGAAAUCGAGGGUUUCUUGUUCAAGUUUCACCACCUACGGUUCAUGAGCUUUUAUGUAGCUCGAUACCUUCGCUCAAUGCCUCUGCAUUAUUAUAAAACAGUCGGAGAUAUUGCGCAAGUUUCCUAAAAUUAAAAACGACACUUCUAUUGUUUUUUAUUUGGAGUUAGAGUGGUGCAAUGUUGUUUUGUUUUGGUUUAGGAAAAUAACGCAAAUAGUCACUACACUUUGGUCCAAUGUGUUAUGUUCUUACUGAAUUUUUAACUUGUUUAAUAUGGUUGUCGAGCUUUUUGUAUAUGUUUAAUUUAAAUCCUAGGCUAGAUAAAUCCAAUGAUGCCGUGUUUGGUCGGUUCGAAGAUCGUUGCUAUAUGGGAUAAUGAUAGGAUAAAAAUCCCAUCUAAUAUUUCUUGACGUCUGGAUAUAACAUGAUUCAAAUAAUUUUUUUUUUAAACGAGUGUUUGAUUUGUAUAAUUAAAAUUAAAAAUAAACCAUGGAAGUCGUGAAUACUAUUCAUCCUUUCACAAUCUUCAUCCAUAUCAAGCACCCCCGUUCCAUGUGACUUCAAGGACGCUCGCUCCUUCUGCAACACCCCUUUCGCUGCCCUUGAUCAACUUGAUGGAUUACGCUCGCUCUGCCUUUUGACUUCGCCACAUUGAGAGGCCCUUGGGUUUGAGUUCUCCGCUGGUCUAGCCAUCUUUAUUUUCAACGCCUUUUCCUGCGAUGAAUCCAUCCCCCUCGACGAGUGUGAAUGCCGCGUUGAUUCCCUGUUACCGUGCUCCGACUUGUUCAGUCGCUUCAACAGCUUCCCCCGAGACAGCGUGCGGAUCCGGUUUAUGAGUGGUAGCAGCAUCGGUACUACUCGCUCCGAGUGACGUGGUUGAGGAGCUCUAUCACCUUGGCUGCCGCCUCUUUCGGAUCAUCUUCUUCACAGAGGAGGUGUCCAGCUUUGAUCGGGAUCACAAAUUUCCCUACUAAAAUGAAGUUGAGUGACACAAGAAAGAGGCAGGGCUGACGAGCUCCGCGAUACUCAUGCUCAUGCUCUAAUUUUGUGGUGGUCAUUUUAGCGAGACAAAUUGGAACAAGAGAGAGAUGAUGGUGGCACUGGUCAAAAGCGAGGAUAAGCUAUAAAAAGCGCCCCGCCGCCCGGGGGGGGGGGGGGGGGGGGGGGGGGGGUCAGUUUUUCAAAUUUCACAUAUUUUAUCUGGAUUUAUAUCACUUUCUAGAUGUGAUUUUUUAUCCGUGCUAUAUCCUAAUUUCACAUUACUCUAGACACCAUAUAGGAUUAAACUUAUCAUAUUAGAGUUUUAUCCAGCCCUUCAAAUGCAGUCUUAUGAGAUAGAAUGCAAUGAUAUAAUCUGUGAACUAAAUUUAAACAUUUAUUAAAAGUUUACGAACGGAAUUUCACAUUUUGAUUGUUAAGAUGCAUGAGUGAGUUAUGUUAAAAUAAUCACACAAUAUAUUGAUAGCUUUAAAAAUGGGCUUUCUCUUGGUGAUGACGUUGAUCCAUAUAGAGAAAUUAAUGAGAGGGUUUAUUUGGCCUAACUAAAUGGGAGGCUAUAUCAAUGGGAGGUUUUUCAUUGUAACAUUCCCUUGUGCUUGGAAUUUGUUUUUUAGUAAAGGAUUUUAUUAGCGUAAUAAUAGUCUUUGGGUUAUUAUGUGAAUAACAAUUUAUUGUGAGUCACAAAUUUUUUAAAGUAAUGAACCCCAUAAUAAUUUCAAUUAUUUGUUACUUGAUUUUUUGUAGUUUAGAAUAAAAAUUAUCACCAAGUUAUUUCUUUUUAACAAAUAUAUUGCUCUAACUGUUGUUUUCAAUUAAGUUUGCAUCGGAGAAGAGAUUAUUUUGUUUUGCUACGCUUGUCGGAUAUUGCACAGGAUAUUGUCAUUUUCUUAGCACUAGCAACGUUGCGUUCAGACAAGGCGGCAUGGAAUUAUUUGCUCAGCUGCACAUCACACGACCAUACAUUCAUGGACUGUUCCUCAGGAAAGCAUAUAGACAUGUGGCAGAUGCAGAACAUUUCACGAGAUUAAAAAAAAGAAAAUAAUUUUUAAAAAACAAUACUUUCGACUUCAAAACGUGCCAAUCGAACGCCUGCUACUCCCGCCUAUAAAGCUCGGCUCACCCAACGGCUUCGUUGUCGUCUCGAACUGUCCAUUCUCCAUUCUCUGUUCUUGCAUCGACCUCGAGCUAGACGAUGGUGGCAAUGGCGUCGUCAGACGGUGAGGAGGAUCAAGUUGGGGUCGUAGGGUCUCAAGGUCUCGGCGCAGGGGCUGGGCUUGCAUGGGCAUGUUGGAAGAUAUGCGGAUUGCCUGAUUUGAUUUGAUCUUAAUUGAUCAUGAUUAAUCACGAUCUUCAUGUAUAUGUAAAUUAAAAAUUAGAUCUAGAUCUCGAUUGAUAAUCCAGAUCAUUUACUUCCUUAUUCAAGAUAGAGCUUGUAUUAUAUCUCUGCAAAAUUGUACAUUCAGAUUGUAAUAGUGAUAAUACAGAAAAAUCUCCCCACAUCGAUUCCCAUUUUCCUCUCCAAACUUCAUCCGUUCUUCCUUCACUCUUGCCUUCUUUCAUGGUAUCAGAGCAGCUUUGAUCUCUGACUCGCUUCCGUUCCAAACCACUGCUGAAGAAAAUUCUCAACCUGCAAAAGGGUUGAUCUUUCGGCAUUAGGCAUACUCUCGAAGGAAGAAAUUUAAAUUAUCUUACUAUGGCCUCUCCGCAGGACUCCAGUCUGGCUGCUGACGACAGGACCACCGAAGAAAGUAGUCCUCAAGCUCCACAGAUCCAGAAUCUCCCUGCAGUAAUACCAGUAUCCACCCAACCCCAGCAGUGGCGGCCCACGCAGGCUCAGUUUCAAUUGGGGCAACCCACGACGGGUCAACCAUACUAGUGGAUCCCCUAUCCACUCUAUUUUGGGCCAAGCCCAAAUUUCUCAUCGCCUUUUUUCGUGGGCCACCAGAAUCACAAUGGAGGCCCGCCAGCCACGAAUGGGGCAAGCCCAUCCAUCGCGAGAGAGCAGACGGGCGGUUCAAGCGAAUCGGGUACGGGGCAUAAUCCCUACCCGGGACAUGUCAAUGCGGGGUAUCUAGUUGGAUUGAGCGAAUCGGGUCAAGGGACGAAUCCCUACCCGAAUUUCGCACCGGGUUUUCUGUCCAUUCCAGCGGCGGCGUUCACUGGGCGACUAGAAAUAGGCGAUCCUCUGUUUGUCUCCACCGCUGACGGAUCGGAGCUUUGACUGAUAAACCAGCAACUAACCGGACUAGAGACCUAUUCGAAGUGGUCACAGGAGCUCCGGCGGGCAUUGGUGACAAAAGACAAAGACGGAUUUCUCGAUGGGACAAUUUCCAUCCCCUCCGAUGAACGCCUAGCCGGACACUGGCGGAAAUGCAAUCAACUCGUCCGAAUGUGGAUCAGAAAUUGCAUAUCCCCAGAAGUCAUGGCUGGGCUUCCACCCACAGAGGAUGCCAAAACCAUGUGGGAAAACAUUCGAGAAAUAUACGGUAAAAUGGAUCAAGCAAAAGUUUUUAAUCUUAUGCAGGAAAUUAGCGAACUCAAACAGGGAAAUUCGACGGUCACGGCCUGCUUCAACAGGCUAUCGUCCCUCCUGAAUCAACUCGAAGCAGUAGAAGAAAAGCUCGAAGGGCCAGAAUCUACCCUCAAGCAGUACAAACAAAUCAAAGAGAGAGAAAAAGCCACGCGAUUCUUGCUGAUUUUAAACGAAUCGUACCUCACGUUUCGGUCACAGAUCCUUGUCAUGGAUCCCAUGCCACCGAUCGGACGUAUUUACAAACUGGCGAUGCAGGAGGAGAGUCAGCGACUCACAAUCACGAACAACGGUGAGAGCAUCGCUCUGGCUGCCCGCGGAGAGGGGAGAACCCUAACCCUAGCUCGUGAAAAUGAAAAGAAAAGCCCUUUAGGGUUCGACGAGCUCGAUUCGCGCGGGCUUAAAAGGGAUGGGAUGAACGGCCAGGAUUACAUGCAAGGAUCGAGCGGCUUAGAUUACUCCCGAAAAUAUGACGGCCCAGAUUACGCAUGGAGAUCCGACGGUCGUCAAGGAAUCGAAAUUGCGCCUGGAUUGGACGGUGGACAGCAGAUCGCGAUCAAAGGAACGGACGGCCAGAUCUUCACCACGUCAUCAAAGAAUUUCGCAAAUUUUUUUAAAGGAAAGGGGUAAAUUUUUUUGCGAUUAUUGCAAACGUACUAAUCAUACCAUUGACAGUUGCUGGAAAUUACACGGGAAGCCGGGAGAAAAGGAGAAAAAAAUUUCCACAGCUUAUCAAGUCACUGGACCAGCUGGUCCAAAAAUUGACCAGCCAAUCUCAUAUGGUCAAUAUCAGCAACUCAUGCAAAAACUACAGAAGAUGGAAAUUUCCAACAAAGGGGGCAAUUUCUCAGGUAUUUCACAUUGCCUAAUUAAUUCCAUUUCCAGGAAGGCGUGGAUUAUAAUUCUGGGGCAAGUGACCAUAUUAUACGCGACAAGGGAUUUUUUUUUCAAAUAUAAAUGAAAGUUUGAAUUUUCCUGUCUCCGUACAAUUACCCAACGGAAAUGUUACUCAUGUCAAAGUGAUAGGAACAGUGAAUCUCAGUCCUCAGAUUAUUCUCUAGAAUGUGCUAUAUGUCCCAGAAUUCCAAUUCAACCUCAUAUCUGUGUCUCAAGUCUGCAAAGAGAACUCAUGCCGGGUAAUAUUCAAUGCUGACACAUGUUUAUUUCAGGCCCUUUCGACUGGAAGACAGAUGGACUUGGGUAAUCUUUCUGAAGGACUCUAUUUCUGGACGAGUUUUCCAAGUAAUUUCAAUUUUCCAUGCAAUUCCUUGAAUAAAAAAUCAUUGUGUAAUUCAACUGCCAAUGAUAGAAAUUUGACUAUGCAUAUGAGAUUGGGUCACAGUGCUUCAUUUUCAUAUCAUGAAUGUCUUAUAUGUCCCCUUGCAAAGCAAUCUCGCACACCAUUUUCUUCUAGUACUUCACGGACUAGUCAAAUAUUUGCAUUACUUCACGUGGACAUUUGGGGACCUUAUCAUACAGUCAAUCAUGAUGGCUCCCGUUAUUUUCUUACGAUAGUAGAUGACUAUUCUCGGGCAACAUGGAUCUUCCUAAUACAAUAAAAAAAUUAGGUCUAUUCUCACCUGAAAAAUUUCAUUAUGCUAUCUAAGAACCAAUUCAGGAAAUCCAUUCAGCGGAUUCGCACAGAUAACGGGAGAGAAUUCUUCAGUCAUGAAUGCUCCCAGUUAUUCAAUUCUCAUGGUAUUCGACACGAAAGUUCCUGCAUUUACUCACCACAACAAAAUGGAGUGGUUGAAAGAAAGCAUCGCCAUCUACUGGAAGUGGCUCGUGCCUUGAAAUUUCAAGCAUCAAUUCCAGAAAGAUAUUGGGGUGACUGUGUCACCAUAGCAGCUUAUCUUAUUAAUAGAAUGCCUACUCGGAUUCUUAAUGGACAGAUGCCAUUCGAGCUGUUAUUUGGGAAGAAACCGGACUUGAAUCAUCUCAAGAUCUUCGGAUGUCUCUGCUAUGCUGCAAUCAUGGGGCCUCGAGAUAAAAUGAGCCCAUGUGCGCGGCGAUGCGUCUUUAUGGGAUAUCCCAAUCUCCAGAAGGGGUAUCGGGUGCUUGAGAUUUCCACAGGAGAAUUCAUAGUAAGUCAUGAUGUCAUUUUCCAUGAAACUACUUUUCCAUUUUAUGAAGGGGAAUCUUCACAUGGAGAUCCAAAGAUAACUUCCAGCCAUCAUAAUUUUCUCAAUGAUGAAGCACCAUACCGGGAUCUUUCCUAUGUACCAAUAGUACAGCCGAGGGAUCCUAUUCUUCCUACAGUCCCAGUUCUACAAGAUUCUAAUGGAAAUUCGAAUUCUUCAGAACAUAUUCAGGGAGAUAUCUUGGAGGAACCCAUUGCUGAUGCAGAAGUUGAUGACACUACAACAACUUCAUUACCAGCAACAUCACAGCCCACCACCGAAGCUGGACAUCCUAGGAGGUCUGAACGAGCUACAAGACCACCAACCCGGACGAAAGAUUAUGUCUGUACUACUCACAACUCUCCAAGUAUUCAGUAUCCAGUCUCUUCAUAUGUUUCCUUUGAUAGAUUGUCUCAAGAACAUAGAUGUUGUAUUAGUCGAUUGUUUGAAGAGAAAGAACCGUCCAGUUAUAAAGAAGCCUCCAAUAACCCAAAAUGGCAAGAGACCAUGAAGGCAGAAUUGAAGGCCCUUACUGAUAAUCAUACAUGGGAUCUUGUUCCAUUACCAGCUCAUCGUAAACCAAUUGGAUGCAAAUGGGUUUACAAAAUCAAGUAUCGGGCUGAUGGCUCCAUUGAACGGUACAAGGCAAGAUUGGUAGCUAAGGGGUUCACCCAAAGAGAAGGUUUUGACUACCACGAGACGUUCUCACCAGUUGCCAAAGAUGUUACAGUCCGUUCAUUCUUAGCUGUUGCUGCCAUCAAUGACUGGCACCUACACCAGAUGGAUGUCCAUAAUGCUUUUCUCCAUGGCAAUCUAGAUGAAGAGAUCUACAUGAAUAUUCCUCAAGGCAUACAGAGACAGGGGGAUAAUAAGGUGUGUCGUCUCCGUAAAUCCCUUUAUGGAUUAAAACAGGCAUCCGGACAAUGGUAUGCUAAAUUUGCCAGUGCUCUUACAACAGCAGGCUUCAAGCAAUCCAAGCAUGAUUAUGCUCUGUUCUAAAAAACUAAAGGUAUGUCAUCUAUCUAUUUGAUGAUUUAUGUCGAUGACAUACUUGUUAUGGGAAAUGAUAGAGCCUCUAUAGAGAAUUUCAAGGAAUAUUUGCAUGCUACCUUCCAUAUUAAAGACUUAGGAGCACCAAAAUAUUUCCUUGGAAUCGAAGUUGCUCGAUCUGACAAGGGAAUUUCCCUUAGUCAGCGGAAGUUCAUUCUAGAAAUCAUAUCAGAAGUAGGUCUAUUAGGAUGCAAGCUAGCUGUAAUUCCUAUAGAGCAAAACACUAAGUUGACCAUCGCAGACUAUGAUAAGGGAAUAUUUCGAAAUGAUGAUUCCUUACUCAGUGAUCCGUCAGGCUAUCAAAGACUUGUUGGGAAACUUAUAUACCUGACAAUGACUAGACCUGAUAUCUUAUAUGCGGUUCAGACACUUAGCCAGUUUAUGCAUCAACCAAAGCGUUCUCAUUUGGAUGCAGCCUUAAAGGUCGUUAAAUAUCUCAAGAAAUGUCCGGGGCUAGGGAUACUUCUCUCUAAGGAAUGUGACAUGAGGAUGACAGCAUAUUGUGAUGCAGACUAUGCAACAUGUCCGAUUAGUCGAAGAUCUGUUACUGGAUAUUGCAUUAAAUUGGGAGGAUCUCUUCUAUCUUGGAAAACCAAGAAACAAGCUACUGUGUCUCUGUCCUCAGCCGAAGCAGAAUAUCGAGCUGUGGCCAAGGCCACUUGUCAAGUAGUUUGGAUGCGAGGAUUACUCAAGGAUCUUGGAGUAGAAGUGCAAGGACCCACAAGGUUAUAUUGUGAUAAUGAUACAGCUCUUAAACUUGCAACUAAUCCUAUAGUACAUGAAAGAACCAAGCAUAUAGAAGUGGAUUGUCACUUCACACGGGAAAAGAUCCAGGAAGGAGUAAUUGAGACGAGGAAUUUGGACAACGGAGCAACCAGUAGACUUGUUCACCAAGCCCCUAUGUCAGAGGCAACAUGCAUAUCUAUUAAAAAAGCUAGGCGUCUUGGACAUCUACAAGCCACCAGCUUGAGGGGGAGUGUUGGAAGAUAUGUGGAUUGCCUGAUUUGAUUUGAUCUUAAUUGAUCAUGAUUAAUCACGAUCUUCAUGUAUAUGUAAAUUAAAAAUUAGAUCUAGAUCUAGAUUGAUAGUCUAGAUCAUUUACUUCCUUAUUCAAGAUAGAGCUUGUAUUAUAUCUCUGCAGAAUUGUACAUUCAGAUUGUAAUAGUGAUAAUACAGAAAAAUCUCCCCACAUCGAUUCCCAUUUUCCUCUCUAAACUUCAUCCGUUCUUCCUUCACUCUUGCCUUCUUUCAGGGCAUAUCUACUUUGCCGGCCCUCCCAAGCCCAACCCCGACACGAUCGAGCUUGUCCACCACGCCGUUGAAUCUGGCGUUGCCUUCCUCGACACCUCCGACAUCUAUGGCCUUAACGCCAAGGAAGUCCUCCUUGGAAAGGUCGGUAUUUAUUUUGUAGAUAUAAUUGAAGAUCUUGAUCGUGACGCCAAUCCUAAUUGCGGACUAAUUGAUUUGGUCAAUUUGUGAUUGUUUAGUGAAUAUGGAAAUUUUUGUAAUUCUUUAUAUAUUAUUUCAUUUUUUCUCUUUCAUUCUUACACUAUAAAUAGACCAAUGAACUAAUAUACAGAUCAAUCAAUAUACAACAAAAUUUUCUUCAUUUUCUCUUUUGUUUUCUAUUAUGUUAUCAGUGUCAUUCUUCCUCGCCUAGCUUCCCAUAUCUUAGAGUUGCCUUUCUUUUUUUCUUUGUUUUUUUUUUUUUUUUGGUUAUUGCAAGUCCUCAUCCUGCAAUACAAAUCAGCAAAUCGAUUAGGAAUUCAAUUUUUUUUUUCAAUACCAAGGCAAAAAAUAAGAACACUGAGAGCUCCAUGAUAGAGGAGACACCUACCUCACCUCAAAAUCAAGCCCCAUCGCCGUCGGAUUCGAUUAUGAUUUGGGACAAUAUAUUUUAAUCAUUUCGAGAUAAUCUUUAACUGAUCAUGCUCUUCCAGAUACACAGCAAUUGCGCACUUCCAAAUGCUUAUUAUGUCAAGUAACAUGACAAUCUGAUGGCAUGCAACGCAACCAAUUUUGCACUCGUUGAUGUAGAAUUUGGCGUUAAAAGGAAAAUGAUGGUUGCUCGUAUGCUCUCUGCUUAGACAUUGCUUUAUGUUAUGAAGUACCUACCAAGGCUGCGGCCAGAGAACUUGGCUAAUGCAAAGUUAUUCGACCAAGUGAAUGAAAUUGCACAAAGAAAGGGAUGCACCCCAUUGCAGUUAACCCUCGCCUGGGUACACCACUGGAGUGAUGACGUUUGCCCGAUUACCGGCACGAUCAAGAUCGAGAAUUUCAACCAGAACAUUGGAGCUCUGUCAGUGAAGCUUUCGCCAGAAGAGAUGGCCAAGCUCAAAUCGAUUGCUUAUACGGACAAUGUCAGGCGUGAGAAUUAAAACCACAUUUGAUACUAAAUUAUGCCUAGGUAGGAAUUCAAAACUCCACCUCCCGCUUUUCAUGUGGGAAGGUUGGCCCCACCUCGCGCUUAUGGAAAGAGUAAUCACGAAGACAUCACAAUAGUUCAAUUGACGUGAGCAGGUACGUCUUCCCUACAUGGUAAGGGUCGUCACUGGGCGUGCAAUUGACGUAAGCACGUGCGUCUUCACAGCCACUACCGCUCCCCUCCUACUCAUCGUAGCUUCUGCCACUACCCUCCUAUAAAUCUCGGCUCGCCCGACGACUUCGCCAUCGUCUCGGUGCAGUGCAGGGAACGAUCGAGCUCGAGCUAGACUACGGCAAUGGCGGCAUCGACGACGACGGUGAGGAGGAUCAAGCUGGGGUCGCAGGGCCUGGAGGUGUCGGCGCAGGGGCUGGGCUGCAUGAGCAUGUCCGCCUUCUACGGCCCUCCCAAGUCCGAGCCCGACAUGAUCGCCCUCAUCCACCACGCCGUCGGCUCCGGCGUCACCUUCCUCGACACCUCCGACUUCUACGGUCCUCACACCAACGAAAUCCUCCUCGGAAAGGUCGUUCUCUCAGUCUCUCUUUUGCCUCUGCAUGAAUUAUAUAUGCUUAUGGUUUUACGGAACUUAGCUUCAUCGAGCAGGAUGCUCUGAUCCUGCGCCUUGGUUUUCUGAUUUCGGGGUUGAUUUUGAGCAGGCACUGAAGGGAGGGGUGAGGCAGAAGGUGGAAUUGGCGACCAAGUUCGGAAUCAGAUUGGCGGACGGGAAGAGGGAGAUCCAGGGCGAUCCGGCGUACGUGAGGGCUGCUUGCGAGGCCAGCUUGAAGCGGCUCGACAUCGAUUGCAUCGACCUCUACUACCAGCACCGUAUCGACACUCGCGUCCCCAUUGAAGUCACUGUAUGGAUCCCUUAUCAAACUUUCACCUCGCUUGAGACUUUCUCUGAGCCAUACGAUGCAUCGUCAUGUUGUUACAAGUUUGUUGAAUUUUGUUAAAUGACACUUAAGUUCAGCUGAUAGCAGAGUUCAAGAUGCGGCACGGUGUUGUUCAAGGGUUGUGGAAUUUAGUAGUUUAGUGGCUUGAGUUUUCGUUUUGUGGGAAUCUUUUACAAGUUAAGGGUCAACAAGCAUGGAAAUUAUUCGAAAUCUUCCUUUGAGAUGAAAGUGCUCCGGGGUUCAUCCUGAAUUUAUAUACGGGAAUCACAUAUAAAGUUGUUCCUGGACUUUAUACGGAGACAUUUGAUUCUUGACAUAUUGUGAAAUAUGACAAGUACUUGGAAUACUUCUUUUAUUUGCUCUCUUCUGUGAGAGAUUCAAGAAAUCUACCUCCGUUAACUCAAUUCCUUGUGGGUUUUUUGUCGCAUUGAGAUGCAUGAUAAUUGAGGGAUCUAGACACAAAAAGCUAAUGACAAAAAUAAUUUUCUGGAUCUUAACAUGUAAGAUCUUGAUGUUGUUGUUCUGUCAUGUGAAUAUGCACAGAUCGGAGAGCUAAAGAAGCUCGUUGAAGAGGGUAAGAUAAAGUACAUCGGUUUAUCCGAGGCCUCUGCAUCAACAAUCAGAAGAGCACAUGCUGUUCAUCCCAUCACAGCAGUGCAAUUGGAGUGGUCGCUUUGGUCCAGAGAUGUGGAGGCGGACAUCGUUCCAACGUGCAGGUAGGAUAUCACUCCGUUAAUUGUUUAUGCAGCAACAACAGCUUCCUUCUGACUCUGCUUUUCCUUUAAAAUGUUGACUAGGGAGCUUGGCAUUGGAAUUGUUGCCUACAGUCCUUUAGGACGAGGAUUCUUUUCUGUUGGCUCCAAGUUGGCGGAGAAUUUCUCAAAGGAUGACUUCAGACAGGUCUGUUUCUGCUGGUCGACAUAAUUAGAUGCUCACAGUGACUGUCAUUCUCAUUGAAGUGCUGGAAACCUGUUCUUGUGGUAUAAAGAAAAGUUUCUGGAUGGGAUGAAUAAAACUUGGUGACACAAAUGCAUCACGUUCUUAUAUGUCUUCAAUCCAGCACUCGCCAGACAUACUACCUCUCUCGAUUCUAGAUAAAUGUAAAAUCACAAGUAAUGGCUUUAGUGAGCCUGAAAGAGGUAGGUUCCCGGAUUCUCAUUCUUUUGGGAAUGAAUACAUAUAGGUUUAUAUGUAAGUUGCUCUGUUUCCCAGCCUUCCCAACAUUUGCUUAUCACUAUCCUUUCCCCACUUUCCACCCACCCUUUUUCUCUCAUCUUUCUUCACAAGAUUAGCGAUAUUUCCUCGAAAUAACUGACGCCAGUAUCGGGCUCUGGCCUUCCGUCCUUUUUCAUUCUCAUCUUUCUUCACAAGAUAAACUAUAUCUUGACACAACCAUUUCUUGAGUGAGGACUCACGACACCCUUCUUAUGAGAGUUUUGGAUCAAGUUCCCAUCUGACAUAAAGCCAAUUGUGUAUUACUCCCUGCCAUUAGCGUUUGACUAGCGAUAGCGCUGGGCAAGUGAAGUAGCUAUUUUUCUUUGUAGCUAAAAGAGCUCUGCGUCUGAUAACAUUCUUCUACACAUCAUCUACAUUUCUGAUUUUUUAUUUUAUGUGUGACUAAUGGUAUCAUCACACGUACAAAACUUAGAUUGUCGAGUUUGUUUCUGUUUUCACAUCCUACAUCAAGCCCAUCAGCCUUGUGUGGUAGUUGCUAGAUCACUUCGCUUGACGUUUCUAAUGCUUAUGAUUUGGGACAUGAUAUUUUAAUCAUUUCAAGAUUAUUUAUAACUGAUCAUGCUUAUCCAGAUAGACAACGAUUGCACACUUCUAAAUGCUUAUUAUGUCAAGUAACAAGACAAUCUGAUGGCAUGCAAUGCAACCACUUUUGCACUUGUUGCUGUAGAAUUUAGCCUUAAAAGGAAAAUGAUAAUUGCAAUUGCUUUCUGCUGAGACAUUGCUCUAUGUUAUGCAGUAUCAUCCAAGGUUCCAGCCAGAGAACUUGGCUCACAACACGAAGUUAUUUGACCGAGUGAAUGAAAUUGCGCAAAGAAAGGGAUGCACCCCAUCUCAGUUAGCCCUGGCCUGGGUACACCACCAUGGUGACGACAUUUGCCCGAUUCCCGGCACAACCAAGAUCGAGAAUUUCAACCAGAACAUUGGAGCUCUGUCAGUGAAGCUUACACAGGAAGAGAUGGCCGAGCUUGAAUUGAUUGCUUCUGCGGACAAUGUCAAGGGUGGCAGGUAUGAUGGAAGCAUAUCUACAUGGGAAAACUCCGACACUCCACCCCUUUCUUCUUGGAAACCUGCCUAGAAGCGUGUCUGCUUCUGUUGCUGCAUCUUUGAUGUGCAGAGUUUGAGCAUUUGCCGCUGAAGUAAUUUGAGUUGAUGUUGUGUGGCUGUUAUAAGUAUGUGUAAUAAGAGAGUGACUGUUUUCAUUUUGUACAUGUGACAUUCACUAUGAGAAGAUUAUGGAUGUGUACUAACCUUACUGGGGAAAGAUCACUCGAUAAACACGAGAGCGAGUUGAAUAUGAACUGAGCCUGCCUUGUCGACUUUAUGGGGUGACUUUUAGAAUCAAUUGGGAUUUUGAAGAAUUCAAACUCAGUCGUACAUACCGCUGGAAAUAUGGCUUCGAAAUUGGGUAGAACAAUGAAAUCGGAUCGAGUAAAAUAACUCGGACUUUGAGGCGCGAUAUCACUUUCUUUAAGGAUUUAUUUACCCCACAACGUUGCUAAUGGUCACCAGCAAAAAUCCUCCAGGAUACAACAAAGUCUCGGAUGAGAAUACUAGAUAGCAAUUCAAGUAUUUCUCCAGGGUCUCUCUAAGAAACAAUCGAAAAAUUGGAUGCUGUUUUUCAGAAAGGAAUACUCGAAAAUGACACUCUUUUUCUUUCCGAAAAUGAUAGAUAUAUAUAUGAAACAGUCUUGCNNNNNNNNNNNNNNNNNNNNNNNNNNNNNNNNNNNNNNNNNNNNNNNNNNNNNNNNNNNNNNNNNNNNNNNNNNNNNNNNNNNNNNNNNNNNNNNNNNNNUUUUUUUUUUUUAUUUCUUAUUUUUGUUCCAAAGUUGCUCUCACAAUAAAAAAAAAAAAGACCAGAAUAAAAGUAUAAACAAAUGAGUUUCUGUUCUUUUUUGGUUCUCUAGAACAAAAUAAUAAAAAUUUAUAUUUCGGGAAAAAAAAUAAUUUUAAAUGAACACACCCUAAGAUAUCUUUUGUAUUCCGGGGAAGUAGUUCAAUUGACGUGAGCCCGUGCGUCUUCCCUACAUGGGAAGGGUCGUCGCUGGGUCUCAUCUGACCUAAGCAAGCGCGUCUUCACAGCUAUUACCGCUCCCCUCCUACACUUCGUAGCUACCGCCACUCCCCUCCUAUAAAUCUCGGCUCGCCCGACGCCUUCGCCAUCGUCUCGGUGCAGUGCAGGGAACGAGCGAGCUCGAGCUAGACGACGGCAAUGGCGGCUUCGACGACGACGGUGAGGAGGAUCAAGCUGGGGUCGCAGGGCCUCGAGGUGUCGGCGCAGGGGCUGGGCUGCAUGAGCAUGUCCGCCUUCUACGGCCCUCCCAAGUCCGAGCCCGACAUGAUCGCCCUCAUCCACCACGCCGUCGGCUCCGGCGUCACCUUCCUCGACACCUCCGACGUCUACGGUCCUCACACCAACGAAAUCCUCCUCGGAAAGGUCGUUCUCUCAGUCUCUGUUUUGCGUCCGCAUGAAUUAUAUGUGCUUAUAGUGUUACGGAAUUUGGCUUCAUCGAGCAGAGUGCUCUGAUCCCGCGCCUUGGUUUUCUGAUUUCGGGGUUGAUUUUGAGCAGGCACUGAAGGGAGGGGUGAGGCAGAAGGUGGAAUUGGCGACCAAGUUCGGAAUCAGCUUCGCGGACGGGAAGAGGGAGGUCCGGGGCGAUCCGGCGUACGUGAGGGCGGCUUGCGAGGCCAGCUUGAAGCGGCUUGACAUCGAUUGCAUCGACCUCUACUACCAACAUCGCAUCGACACUCGCGUCCCCAUCGAAGUCACUGUAUGGAUCCCCCAUCAAACUUUCACCUCGCUUGAGACUUUCUCCGAGCCAUAUGAUUAGUUGCUAAGUUAGAUUGGUGUUGAUGAUGCAUCGUCAUGUUGUUACAAGUUUGUUGAAAUUUGUUAAAUGACACUUAAGUUCGGCUGAUAGCAGAGUUCAAGAUGCGGCACGUUGUUGUUCAAGGGGUUGUGGAAUUUAGUAGUUUAGUGGCUUGAGUUUUCGUUUUGUGGGCAUCUUUUACAAGUUAAGGGUCAACAAGCAUGAAAAUUAUUCAAAAUCUUCCUUUGAGAUGAAAGUGCUCCAGGGUUCAUCCAGAAUUUAUAUACGGGAAUCACAUAUAAAGUUGUUCCUGGACUUUAUGUGGAGACAUUUGAUUCUUAACAUAUUGUGAAAUAUGUCGAGUACUUGGAAUACUUAUUUUAUUUGCUCUCUUCUGUGAGAGAUUCAAGAAAUCUACCUCCGUUAACUCAAUACCUUGUGACUUUUUUGUCGCAUUGAGAUGCAUGAUAAUAGAGGGAUCUAGACGCAUAAAAAGCUAAUGACAUGCAUAAUUUUCUGGAUCUUAACAUGUAAGAUCUUGAUGUUGUUGUUCUGUCAUGUGAAUAUGCACAGAUCGGAGAGCUAAAGAAGCUCGUUGAAGAAGGUAAGAUAAAGUACAUCGGUUUAUCCGAGGCCUCUGCAUCAACAAUCAGAAGAGCACAUGCUGUUCAUCCCAUCACAGCAGUGCAAUUGGAGUGGUCGCUUUGGUCAAGAGAUGUGGAGGCAGAGAUCGUUCCAACGUGCAGGUAGGAUAUCACUCUGUUAAUUGUUUAUGCAGCAACAACAGCUUCCUUCUGACUCUGCUUUUCCUUUAAAAUGCUGACUAGGGAGCUUGGCAUUGGAAUUGUUGCCUACAGUCCUUUAGGACGAGGAUUCUUUUCUGUUGGCUCCAAGUUGGUGGAGAAUAUCUCUAAGGAUGACUUCAGACAGGUCUGUUCCUGCUUGUCAACAUAAUUAGAUGCUUACAUCAACUGUCAUUCUUAUUGAAGUGCUGGAAACCUGUUCUUGUGGUAUAAAGAAAAAGUAUCUGGAUGGGAUGAAUAAAACUUGGUGACACGAAUGCUUUGUGUUCUUAUAUGUCUUUAAUCCAGCACUUGCCAGACAUCCCACCUCUCUUGAUUCUAGAUAAAUGUAAAAUCACAAGUAAUGGCUUUAAUGAGCCUGAAAGAGGCAGUUUUCUGGAUUCUCGUGCUUUUGGGAAUGAAUACAUAUAGGUUUAUUUGUAAGUUGCUCUGUUUCCCAGCCUUCCCACCAUUUGCUAAUCACUAUCCUCUCCCCACUUUCCACCCACCCUUUUUCUCUCAUCUUUCUUCACAAGAUUAGCGAUAUUUCCUCAAAAUAGCUGACGCCAGUAGCGGGCUUUGGCCCUCCGUCCUUUUUCAUUCUCAUCUUUCUUCACAAGAUAAACUAUAUCUUGACACAACCAUUUCUUGAGUAAGGACUCCUAGCACCCUUCUUAUGAGAGUUUUGGAUCAAGUUCCCAUCUGACAUAAAGCCAAUUGAGUAUUACUCCCCGCCAUUAGCAUUUGACUAGCGAUAGUGCUGGGCAAGUGAAGUAGCUAUUUUUCUUUGUAGCUAAAAGAGCUCUGCGUCUGAUAACAUUCUUCUACACAUCAUCUACAUUUCUGAUAUUUAUUUUAUGUGUGACUAAUGGUAUCAUCACACAUACAAAACUUAGAUUGUCGAGUUUGUUUCUGUUUUCACAUCCUACAUCAAACCCAUCAGCCUUGUGUGGUAGUUUCUAGAUCACUUCGCUUGACGUUUCUAAUGCUUAUGAUUUGGGACAAGAUAUUUUAAUCAUGUCAAGAUAAUUUAUAACUGAUCAUGCUUUUCCAGAUACACAACGAUUGCGCACUUCUAAUGCUUAUUAUGUCAAGUAACAAGACAAUCCGAUGGCAUGCAAUGCAACCACUUUUGCACUCGUUGCUGUAGAAUCUAGCCUUAAAAGGAAAAUGAUAAUUGCUCAUAUGCUCUCUGCUGAGACAUUGCUCUAUGUUAUGCAGUAUCUACCAAGGUUCCGGCCAGAGAACUUGGCUCACAACACGAAGUUAUUUGACCGAGUGAAUGAAAUUGCGCAAAGAAAGGGAUGCACCACAUCGCAGUUAGCCCUGGCCUGGGUAUACCACCAGCGUGAUGAUGUUUGCCCAAUUCCCGGCACGACCAAGAUCGAGAAUUUCAACCAGAACACUGGAGCUAUGUCAGUGAAGCUUACACCGGAAGAGAUGGCCGAGCUUGAAUCGAUUGCUUCUGCGGACAAUGUCAAGGGUGGCAGGUACGAUGGAAGCAUGUCUACAUGGGAAAACUCCGACACUCCACCCCUUUCUUCUUGGAAACCUGCCUAGAAGCGUGUCUGCUUCUGUUGCUGCAUCUUUGAUGUGCAGAGUUUGAGCAUUUGCCGCUGAAGUAAUUUGAGUUUAUGUUAUGUGGCUGUUAUAAGUACGUGUAAUAAGAGAGUGACUGUUUUCAUUUUGUACAUGUGAUAUUCACUAUGAGAAGAUUAUGGAUGUGUACUAACCUUACUGGGGAAAGAGCACUCGAUAAACACGAGAGCGAGUUGAAUACGAACUGAGCCCGCCGUGCCGACUUUAUUGGGGUGACUUUUAGAAACUGAGAAAUCGGGAUUUUGAAGAAUUCAAACUCAGUCGUACAUACUAGAGUGACGCUUUAUUCUCCUCCAACCAUGAGUUCAAUACUAAAACCGUGUGCAACAUGCUCUUAAGACUGGAUGCCACACAUAGAUACAAAGCUUCGCUUUGUGUUUGGUUUGGUAGCGAAGUUAAGGAACAGUAAAAUGUUACCGGAUGUUCUCGCGAAAACGAAGUUGGGGUUAAAAUGCUGGCGGGGUUGAUAUGAGUGUCAGAGAAAUCGAAGGUUUCUUGUUCAAGUUUUACCACGUACGGUUCAUGAGCUUUUAUGUAGCUCGAUACCUUCGCUUAUGCGUCUGCAUUAUUAUAAAACGGUCGGAGAUAUUGUGCAAGUUUCCUAAAAUUAAAAAUGACACUUCUAUUGUUUUUUAUUUGGAGUUAGAGUGAAGCAAUAUUGUUUUGUUUUGGUUUAAGAAAAUAACGCAAAUAGUUAUUGAACUUUGGUCCAAUGUGUUAUGUUCUUACUGAACUUUUAACUUAUUUAAUAUGGUUGUCGAACUUUUUGUACAUGUUUAAUUUAAAUCCUAGGCUAGAUAAAUCCAAUGAUGCUGUGUUUGGUCGUUCAAACAUUGUUGCUGAUGCAGCCCGCAUUGAAGACCAGCUCUCUUGAUCAAGAAGAUCGGCCCACAUGCAAGCUCGAUGAAUCCUCUUAUCAAUGAAGUUGUCGAUUGUCGAUGAAGUUCGAUGAAGUUGUCGAUUCAACCGAGAAGCCAUAUUGAUAUCUUGAGUCCAUCCUGGAAGCUUGAAAGAAAACACCUUGUCGAUCUGUAUCGACAAAGAUAUGAUUGUUCUCCUAAGCUUGCAUAGUAAAUUUCUGUUCGUCUUAUUUCCUGUGUGCGAGUCACUCUCCCGAUCCUACCGUUUGAGAAAGCUUAACCUUGGCUUGCAUCAUUUUGGUAUUAGAGCUUUGGAGGAGAGGACAAUGCCUCCAAGACAAGCUAGAUGUCGUGGUGGCAGAACCAUUCCCCUCGAUGAAGUGCACACACUCGCUGAGAAUUUGCAACAAUGUAUGCAACAACAAAUUGACGAAUUGACGCUAGAAGUUUAGCGUUUGAGGGCUGAAGCAAAUAAUUCUCCACCUCGUUCCAGGACUGAAGAUUCCUAUGGUGACUCUUCCUCUUUGGAGAGUGUUCAAUCUAUUCACGGUUAGAGGAAUGUUUGACAUCAUUUACAACAUGUUCGUGAGCCAGAUUGGGAAAAGGAAGUCAUGUUCCAGAAUUUACAUGUACUAAGUCUCCUGAUGAAAUUGUUGAUUGGCUGACACUUGUGAAUGAGGUAUUUGAGCAUCGAAAUGUUCCGGAGAAUCGUCAAGUUGGGAUCAUUGCUAUGUGAUUCCAAGGCAAGGCAAUUGCUGGUGGAGACAUGAAAAACAAACUUGCCAAGCAGUUGGCAAAGCACUAAUCACUUUGUGGAGAAAGAUGGAGGGCAAGAUUCAAAAAUAUUUUCUUCCCAUAGGAUAUAAGAGAGAGCUCUACCAACGGUACCAAAAUCUAAAACAAGGUAAACAAACGGUGGAUCAAUACACCAAUGAAUUCAAUGUGUUGGUGAUUUGUAACAAUAUCUAGGACUCGGAGGAGGUGCUUGUGAACAAAUACUUGAACGGUCUUCAAUUUUACAUUCAAGAUGCCUUGGAAGUCCUCGACAUUUGGGACUUAGGACAUGCACACCAACGGGCACUCAAAAUGGAGCGCUCUCGUUCUUGGAGAUAGCAAUCAAUUACCAUGACAAGUCGGGCCACUAAGAGUACCACUAGCAUUGCUAAAGUUGUUGAGGGUACAAUGCAAUAUGCUAGUAAGCCUUCUACGCAACCCCAUGUUUCGAAGCAACCUGCUAUGUUCAAAAUAUGUUGCUAUUCUUGUGGGGAGUUGGGUCAUCAUGCUAGCAAUUGUCGAAUCAAUAAGAGUCAACCUAUCGGUAAAGCCUUCUUAGUGGAUAAUGAUUCUGAUGAGAAUAUUGAGGAUCCACUUGAAGAGGAGUUGAACAAUGAUGAAGAAGCUGUGCAUGAUGAACAAAUAGUGCAUGUUGACACUAGCGAACUUCUUACGGUGAGGAAAUUUUUUUUACUCCUUGAGAUGACACUGGAGAUAGAUGGCUGCGUACCAAUAUUUUUCAUUCUGCUUGCACAAUCAUGGGAAAGGUGUGUCAAUUAAUUAUUGACUAUGGUUGUUGUGAGUAUAUAAUUUUUGAAGUAGUGGCUAACAAGCUGGAGUUGGAAUUAAAGACGCACCCUACGCCUUAUAAAAUGUUGUGGUUGAAGAAAGGCGCUGAGGUAACUAUUUCAAAAUGAUGCCUUGUUAAUCUGUCCAUUGGUUUUGUUUAUAAUGACAAGAUAUGGUGUGAUGUUCUGCCGAUAGAUGCUAGUCACAGUAUUCUUGGUCGACUGUGGCAAUUCGAUAGGAGGACUAUGCAUGAUGGUUAUCGAAAUACAUAUUCUUUUGAAUUUGGAGGCAAGAAGAUUAUGUUGGCACCUAGUAGGGAACCUUGAGAAUUCCUUCUCCCCUACGUUGUUUACAAUGAAGGAUAUGAACGAUGCUUUGAAAGGAGUUUGUAUCUUGUAUAUUUUGCUUAAUAAAACUAGUGAGAAGAAUGAAGUUGCCUCUAUCAUGCCUCAUUGAGUUCAACCUCUUUUGGAAGAGUUCAAGGAUGUCCUCUCGAUGGACUUACCCGAUGGUCUCCCUCCUAUUAGAGAUAUUCAGCAUCAAACCGACUUGAUGCCUGGAGCCUCUUUGUCGACUCUCGCUCAUUACCGAAUGAGUUUGACCGAACAUGAGGAAUUGCAUCAACAAGUUAUGGAGCUAUUGAAUAAGGGUUUUAUAAGGGAGAGCCUCAGUUCGUGUGCUGUUCCAGCUCUUUUAGUGCCUAAGAAAAAUGGUACUUGGAGGAUGUGUGUCGACAAUAGAGCGAUCAACAAGAUCACCAUCAAGUAUUGAUUUUCUAUUCCUCGCCUUGAUGAUCUCUUAGAUCAACUUUCUGGUGCAAUUAUAUUCUCGAAGCUAGAUUUGAAGAGUGGAUACCAUCGAAUUAGAAUCAAACUCGAAGAUGAAUGGAAGACAGCAUUCAAAAAUAAAGUUGGGCUACAUGAGUGGCUAGUCAUGCCAUUUGGAUUGUCGAAUGCACCAUUGACAUUCAUGAGGUUCAUGACUCAGGUGUUGAAGCCUUUUCUGGGAAAGUUUAUUGUGGUUUAUUUUGAUGAUAUCUUGAUUUUUAGCAAGUCUACUGAUGAGCACUUGUAGCAUCUUCAAGAAGUAUUAUGUGUGUUGAGGCAGGAAUGAUUGUAUGAGGCUCUCAACAAGUGCUAUUUUAUGGUACCACAAAUCCUUUUCUUGGGGUUAUAUAUUUCAAAGAAUGGCAUUUCGGUGGAUGAUUCUAAGAUCAAGGUGAUUCGAGAAUGGCCAACUCCAACAAAUGUGCAUGAAGUGCAACGUUUUCUUGGUCUCGCUUCAUUUUAUCGACAGUUUAUUGCGCAUUUUAGCACCACUGCAGCCCCACUCACUUCUUGCAUGAAGAAGGGAGAGAAAGCCCAACCUUGGCUUGCAUCAGUUGCUCUAUGGGAUGAUGAUAGGAUAAAAAUCCCAUCUAUUAUUUCUUGACGUCUGGAUACAGCAUGAUUCAAAUAAAUAUUUUUUAAAUGAGUGUUUGAUUUGUAUAAUUAAAAUUAAAAUUAAACCAUGGAAGUCGUAAAUACUAUUCAUCCUUUCACAAUCUUCAUCCAUAUCAAACACCCCCGUUCCAUGUGACUUCAAGGACUCUCGCUCCUUCUGCAACACCCCUUUCGCUGCCCUUGAUCAACUUGAUGGAUUACGCUCGCUCUACCUUUGACUUCGCCACAUUGAGAGGCCCUUGGGUUUGAGUUCUCCGCUAGUCUAGCCAUCUUUACUUUCAACGCUUUUCCUGCGAUGAAUCCAUCCCCUUCGACGAGUGCGAAUACUGCGUCGAUUCCCUGUUACCGUGCCCCGACUUGUUCAGUCACUUCAACAGCUUCCCCCGAGACAGCGUGCGGAUCCGGUUUGUGAGUGGUAGCACGAUCGGUACUAGUUGCUCCGAGUGACGUGGUUGAGGAGCUCUAUCACCUUGGCUGCCGCCUCUUUCGGAUCAUCUUCUUCACAGAGGAGGUGUCCAGCUUUGAUCGGGAUCACAAAUUUCCCUACUAAAAUGAAGUUGAGUGACACAAGAAAGAGGUAGGGCUGACGAGCUCCGCGAUACUCAUGCUCAUGCUCUAAUUUUGUGGUGGUCAUUUUAGCGAGACAAAUUGGAACAAGAGAGAGAUGAUGGUGACACUGGUCAAAAGCGCCCCGGGGGGUGGUCAGUUUUUCAAAUUUCACAUAUUUUAUCUGGCUUUAUAUACUUUCUAGAUGUGAUUUUUUAUCCGGACUAUAUCCUAAUUUCACAUUACUCUAGACACCAUAUAGGAUUAAACUUAUCAUAUUAGAGUUCUAUCCAGCCCUUCAAAUGCAGUCUUAUGAGAUAGAAUGCAAUGAUAUAAUCUGUGAACUAAAUUUAAACAUUUAUUAAAAGUUUACGAACGAAAUUUCACAUUUUGAUUGUUAAGAUGCAUGAGUGAGUUAUGUUAAAAUAAUCACAUAAUAUAUUGAUAGCUUUAAAAAUGGGCCUUCUCUUGGUGAUGACGUUGAUCCAUAUGGAGAAAUUAAUGAGAGGGUUUAUUUGGCCUAACUAAAUGGGAGGCUAUGGGCUCGUUUGAUAACGUUUCUGUUCAAAAAUUGUUCCAGGGAAUAGAAAUAAAAAAAAAAGUGUUUCUGUUCCGGGGAACAAUUUUUGACCAAAAACACUCGUUUGGUAAACUUGUUCUGGGAACAAUUCUUUUUUUGUUUCUUUUAAUUUUUUAAUAUUUUUAUUUUAUUUUUAUUUUUUUCCUUUCUUUUUUCUUUUUUCUUUUUUUCUUCUUUUGGCGGGCGACCGGCUGACGGGGGCCGACAGCCUCGCCCAGCCACGGCGAGGCCAAGCCUUGCCGGUGCGGGCGAGGCUGAGCCUCGCCUUGGCUGGGUGAGCUUGGCCUCGCCCAGAUCUAGUGAGGCCGAGCCUUGUUGGCCACUGGGCAAGCUCGGCCUCAUCAGCCACUGGGCGAGCUCGCCCAGCCAAGGCGAGGCCGAGCCUCGCCCAACUACAGCCAGGCUCGGCCUCGCUGGGGGCCGGCGACGCUCCGGCGAGGUCGUCGGCCCUCGACGGCGUCGCUGACCCUCGACGGCCGGUCGCCGGCCAUGGCCGAGGCCAGCAAUCGGCCAAAGAAAAAAGAAAGAAAAAAGAAGAAGAAAAGAAAAAGAAAAAAGAGAAAAGUGUUAAAAAAAUUUGUUUCAGAAACAAGAAACAACUUUUUUUUUGUUUUUUGUUUCUGUUCCAGAUGUGUUUUUGGGAACAAAAAAAAUAGUUUUGGAACAAAAACGCACACAAACGCGUUUCUGUUCCCUUUUUGUUCUCAGGAAAAAAAAACAGAAAAAUUGUUCAAAAACAUAAAAAAGAAACAACAACAAAUGCAGCCUAUAUCAAUGGGAGGUUUUUCAUUGUAACAUUCCCUUGUGCUUGGAAUUUGUUUUUUAGUAAAGGAUUUUAUUAGCAUAAUAAUAGUCUUUGGAUUAUUAUGUGAAUAACAAUUUAUUGUGAGUCACAAUUUUUUUUUUAAAGUAAUGAACCCCAUAAUAAUUUCAAUUAUUUGUUACUUUAUUUUCGUAGUUGUUAGAAAAAUAGAAAGCUUGGAAUUUUGGGAGAAUUGUAUAUUGCUUUUCUAUAUUCCUUUCAAUAUGUAAUUACAAUCUAUUUAUAAUACAGAGAGUCUAAAAUAAUAAAGGAAUAAAAAUAUACACAAUAUCCCAAAGAUGUACAUAAAAUAUUCCCUAUCAAUUAAGAUCAAUCGACAUCAGCAACGGUAUCUUCAACACUCCCCCUCAAGCUCGGCGGUUUAUACACAUCGAAGACGCCUAGCUUGUUUAAUAGAUACAAAUGUUGCCUCUGACAUAAAGCCUUGGUAAAAAUGUCUGCAGGUUGCUCUGUUGUUCUUAUCUCUUUUGUUCUAAUCACCCCACUUUGGAUCUUGUCUCGAAUGAAGUGACAAUCAACCUCUAUAUGUUUUGUCCUUUCAUGAAAUACUGGGUUCAUUGCAAGCUUAAUUGCAGCAUCAUUAUCACAAAAUAGGACAAUGGGCUCUCUUAUCUGUACACCAAGGUCUUGAAGGAGGCCUCUUAUCUAGACUAUCUCACAGCUAGUCUUCGCCAUUGCUCGGUAUUCUGCCUCAGCGGAUGAUAAAGAUACGGUUGACUGUUUCUUUGUCUUCCAUGAAAUUAGAGAAUCCCCUAAUUUUAUACAGAAUCCUAUGACUGAUCUUCUACUCAUGGGACAAGUAGCGUAAUUUGUGUCACAAUAUGCUGUCAUCUCCAAAUUGUUGUCUCGAGACAACAAUAUUCCCAAUCCAGGACACCCUUUUAAGUAUUUUAUGACUUUCAGUGCCGCAUUCAUGUGAGACUGUUUCGGAGCAUGCAUAAACUGGCUAAGAAUCUGAACUGCAUAAGAAAUGUCUGGCCUGGUCAUGGUCAAAUAAAUAAGCUUUCCAACAAGUCUUUGAUAAGCAGAAGGAUCUUUAAGCAAAGGAUCCUUGUUUACAGGUGACAACCCUUUGUCAUAUUCAGCUGUCGUUAAUCUGAUAUUCUGAUCAAUUGGAAUAACAGCCGGUCUAGAUCCUAACAAACCGGCUUCUGACACAAUUUCUAAGACAAAUUUCCGUUGGCUAAGACAAAUGCCCUUAUUUGACCGUGCAAUUUCUAUCCCAAGAAAGUAUUUGGGAGAACCCAAAUCCUUAAUAUGAAAUGUAGAAUGCAAAUACUCAUUGAAUUUCUCAAUGGCAGGCGCAUCGUUUCCCAUAAUGAGUAUAUCGUCAACAUAUAUAAGUAAAUAGAUUGACGACAUACCUUGUUUCCAUGUGAAUAAAGCAUAGUCAUGCUUAGAUUGCUGGAAUUUUGCAGUUGUAAGUGCACCGGUGAACUUGGCGUACCAUUGACGAGAAGCUUGCUUGAGUCCAUAUAGGGAUUUCUGAAGACGGCACACACUCCCCUCCCCCUGUCUGCGAAAUCCCGGUGGAAUAUCCAUAUAAAUCUCUUCUUCAAGAUCUCCAUGUAAAAAAGCAUUGUGAACGUCCAUUUGAUGAAGGGGCCAGUCACGGAUGGCAGCAAUGGAAAGAAAAGACCGUAUGGUGACUUCUUUGGCAACUGGAGAGAAAGUUUCCGUAUAGUCAAAGCCUUCCUUCUAUGUGAAUCCCUUCGCAACCAAUCUGGCCUUGUAAUGUUCAAUGGAUCCAUCUGCUUUAUAUUUGAUAUUGUAUACCCAUUUGCAUCCUAUGGAUCGACGAUGGGGAGGUAGACGAACAAUAUCCCAAGUCUCAUUUUCGAUGAGAGCUUGUAACUCAUCUUUCAUAGCCUGUUGCCAACGAGGAUCCUUGGCAGCCUCAUCAUAAGAGGAAGGUUCCUGCUGUGCAAAAAUUCUACUAACAUAGCAUAUAUGUUCAAGAGAGAGAUUAGCAAAACUGACAUAAGAGGAGAUGGGGUAUUGUGUACCACGCCUUUUUGACGAUGAACAAACGUAAUCCGCUGUCCAUGUUGGUGGUCGGACUGUGCGUCUUGAUCGCCGAAGAUUAGUUGGUUCAGAUGGAACAUCAGUUUGUGAGGCUGCAGAGACAUCAUCCGCCGGAAUAUUUGCUUGCAAAAAAUCAGGUCCUUCAAGUAUACUUGAUGAAGGAAGACUGGAAAUUGCAUUGUCCCCAUCUGAGCUGAUAGGUGCAUUGAUACUUGAGGAUGCUAUAGGAGAUAUCAUUUGUGGAAGCAUCAUCAUUGAUCCUUGUGGAGGAUCGUCUUCAUGCAGAAAGGGACGAGAAGAUGUCAGGGGAUCAUCAUGCUGAUAUGAUGGUAGCCUAUCCUUGAAAGGGAAGACAUCUUCAUGAAAUGUGACAUCUCUGCUGACAAAGAAUCUGCCAGUAGAUGGAUCAAGAACCAAGUAUCCUUUUUGAAGGGUAGAAUAUCCCAUAAAUACCGCAAGAAAGGCACGNNNNNNNNNNNNNNNNNNNNNNNNNNNNNNNNNNNNNNNNNNNNNNNNNNNNNNNNNNNNNNNNNNNNNNNNNNNNNNNNNNNNNNNNNNNNNNNNNNNNGGACGUUUUCCAAACAAUGACUCGAAUGGAGUCUUUCCACUCAAAAUUCGAGAUGGCAUUCUAUUGAUCAGGCAUGCUGCUGUGACCACACAGUCUCCCCAAAAAAUUUUAGGAAUUGAAGCUUGAUACUUAAGAGCUCGAGCGACUUCUAACAAAUGACGGUGUUUCCUUUCUACAAUCCCAUUUUGUUGGGGAGUAUAAACACAAGAGCUUUCAUGAAGAAUGCCAUUGGAAAUGAACAAUGAAGAACAUUCAUGAUUAAAGAAUUCUCGUGCAUUGUCAGUACGAACCCGUUGUACGGAUUUGUUAAAUUGAUUUUUGAUCAGGACAAUGAAAUUUUUGAGAUGUGAAAGAACUUGGGCUUUGGAUUGCAUAAGAAAAACCCAAGUUGCUUGAGUAUGAUCAUCUACAAUAGUAAGAAAGAAGCGUGACCCAUCACGAUGAGAGGUGUGAUAUGGGCCCCAAAUGUCUAUGUGCAAUAGAGAGAAGGCUCUAGUAGCACGCGAUGCACUUUGUGGAAAAGACAUUAUAGACUGUUUAGCUAAUGGGCAUAUAGGACACUUAGGAUGAGGAAAAAUGGCGCUGUGGCCUAGACGCUGAUGAGAUAAAAAAGGUAUCUUUAUUAUGAUUGGCAUUACAUAAGAUGCUCUUAUUGAAUGAAAAAUUCUUUGGAAAUGCCGUCCAGAAAUAAAGUCCCUCGAAAUUCCUACCUGAGCCCAUCAGUGUCCUAGUCAAAGGGGCCUGGAAGAGACAAGUGUCAAAAUCGAAAAUGACCUGACAGAAAUUGUCUUGACAAAUCUUGGAUACAUAAAUGAGAUUGAACUGAAAAUUCAGAAUGAAGAGGACAUUUUUUGGUGUGAUGGAAGAGCUCAGUUUAACAUCCCCAAUUUUAUCUACUGAAAUAUCACUACCAUUUGGGAGGCGAACGGAAGUGUGAUUUGAGGAUUUUUCUAAUUUAGAGAAGAACCGUUCAUCACAGACUAUAUGGUCACUAGCACCUGAAUCAAUAAUCCAUGCGUUGCUCGAAAUAUUGCAGUUCAAACAAUGAGAAAUACCUGCAUAGCUAGGCAUCUUUUCUUGAAUGCCCAUCUGACUUAAGGUCCUCAUGAUUUGUUGGAGUUGGUCAUUGCUGAUGGGUUGAUUUACCUUAGCAUUUGUUGCUAUAGAAUUUCCAAUAGAAAAUUCUCAUUCCUUCUUCUCCCCUGGUCUUCCAUGCAAUUUCCAACAAUUUUCUUUGGUAUGAUAAGGUUUUUUGCAAUAAUCACAAAAUUUACCUUUCCAUUUGUUUGAAUUAUUUCUGGUCGAAGACGUGGCAAAAUUUGGGCCGUUGGAUCGCUUUAAAACGGACGCUGAUGGUCCGUUCGAUCGCGGUGCUGCAAGGGCGAAAUUUGAGCCGUCCGAUCGCGCAAAAGAACCUCCACUGUCCGAUCGCGCAAAAGAACCUCCACCGUCGGAUCCGAAGAUUGGAUCUCGGCCAUUCAAUCCGCGCGAGCUGCCCGAGCCGUCCGAUCUCCCGAAAUGAUCCUGGCCGCCCAUUUGAGACAUAUAAAAAACCUCAUCUUCUUCCUUCCGAAACCCUAGUGUUCCUGCCCUUUUCGAAAAACCUCCAUGGUCGGACCUUGAAGACCCGAGCCGCUGCUCCGACGAAGCCUUGGCCGCGAGAACGACGCGCUCGCCACUCUUCACAUACUCGGACGACGCCAGCUUCUGGGAUUCUUCUUGAACCGCAAGCUGGUAUAGGACNNNNNNNNNNNNNNNNNNNNNNNNNNNNNNNNNNNNNNNNNNNNNNNNNNNNNNNNNNNNNNNNNNNNNNNNNNNNNNNNNNNNNNNNNNNNNNNNNNNNNNNNNNNNNNNNNNNNNNNNNNNNNNNNNNNNNNNNNNNNNNNNNNNNNNNNNNNNNNNNNNNNNNNNNNNNNNNNNNNNNNNNNNNNNNNNNNNNNNNNNNNNNNNNNNNNNNNNNNNNNNNNNNNNNNNNNNNNNNNNNNNNNNNNNNNNNCACUCUGACCCGGGAAGGACCAGUUCGCCCCAUAUCCGGACCCGCUCCAGGUAUGUGAGAUGAGCUUUCCUUUAGCCCACCAAUCCUUCCGGGGUUGAUUUGAGGUGAAUUCUGUGUCGAAUCUCCUUGAUUUGGUUGGAUUGAUACAGGUACCCACUGAACGUAUGGUCUUGUGAGGGGAUUUCCAGGAUUAAAUCCUAUGUUGAGCUGUGCAGGCUGCACGAGGCUUGUUUGACUUUCUGAUGGAUUCAUCUGUCGUUUUGUAGGGAUGACUUGUGGAUUUCCCUCAAUCCCCACAGAAACGCCGGAAGUUGAAUCCUCAGUCUUUGACAUGAUUUCUCCCUAAGAAGGCGUUGCGGAAGCUAGGCCAAGGCGGGAGGCUCUGAUACCAUGUCAGAAAAAUAGAAAGCUUGGAAUUUUGGGAGAAUUGUAUAUUGCUUUUCUAUAUUCCUUUCAAUAUGUAAUUACGAUCUAUUUAUAAUACAGAGAGUCUAAAAUAAUAAAGGAAUAAAAAUAUACACAAUAUCCCAAAAGAUGUACAUAAAAUAUUCCCUAUCAAUUAAGAUCAAUCGACAUCAGCAACGGUAUCUUCAACAGUAGUAACUGUUGUUUUCAAUUAAGUUUGCAUCGGAGAAGAGAUUAUUUUGUUUUGCUACGCUUGUCGGAUAUUGCGCAGGAUAUUGUCAUUUUCUUAGCACUAGCAACGUUGCGUUCAGACAAGGCGGCAUGGAAUUAUUUGCUUAGCUGCACAUCGCACGACCAUACAUUCAUGGACUGUUCCUCAGGAAAGCAUAUAGACAUGUGGCAGAUGCAGAACAUUUCACGAGAUUAAAAAAAAAAGAAAAUAAUUUUUAAAAAACAAUACUUUCGACUUCAAAACGUGCCAAUCGAACGCCUGCUAGUCCCGCCUAUAAAGCUCGGCUCACCCAACGGCUUCGUUGUCGUCUCGAACUGUCCAUUCUCCAUUCUCUGUUCUUGCAUCGACCUCGAGCUAGAGGAUGGCCCGCAAUGGCGUCGUCAGACGGUGAGGAGGAUCAAGUUGGGGUCGUAGGGUCUCAAGGUCUCGGCGCAGGGGCUGGGCUGCAUGGGCAUGUCUACUUCGCCGGCCCUCCCAAGCCCAACCCCGACACGAUCGAGCUUGUCCACCACGCCGUUGAAUCUGGCGUUGCCUUCCUCGACACCUCCGACAUCUAUGGCCUUAACGCCAAGGAAGUCCUCCUUGGAAAGGUCGGUAUUUAUUUUGUAGAUAUAAUUGAAGAUCUUGAUCGUGACGCCAAUCCUAAUUGCGGACUAAUUGANNNNNNNNNNNNNNNNNNNNNNNNNNNNNNNNNNNNNNNNNNNNNNNNNNNNNNNNNNNNNNNNNNNNNNNNNNNNNNNNNNNNNNNNNNNNNNNNNNNNNNNNNNNNNNNNNNNNNNNNNNNNNNNNNNNNNNNNNNNNNNNNNNNNNNNNNNNNNNNNNNNNNNNNNNNNNNNNNNNNNNNNNNNNNNNNNNNNNNNNNNNNNNNNNNNNNNNNNNNNNNNNNNNNNNNNNNNNNNNNNNNNNNNNNNNNNNNNNNNNNNNNNNNNNNNNNNNNNNNNNNNNNNNNNNNNNNNNNNNNNNNNNNNNNNNNNNNNNNNNNNNNNNNNNNNNNNNNNNNNNNNNNNNNNNNNNNNNNNNNNNNNNNNNNNNNNNNNNNNNNNNNNNNNNNNNNNNNNNNNNNNNNNNNNNNNNNNNNNNNNNNNNNNNNNNNNNNNNNNNNNNNNNNNNNNNNNNNNNNNNNNNNNNNNNNNNNNNNNNNNNNNNNNNNNNNNNNNNNNNNNNNNNNNNNNNNNNNNNNNNNNNNNNNNNNNNNNNNNNNNNNNNNNNNNNNNNNNNNNNNNNNNNNNNNNNNNNNNNNNNNNNNNNNNNNNNNNNNNNNNNNNNNNNNNUUAGACAUUGCUUUAUGUUAUGAAGUACCUACCAAGGCUGCGGCCAGAGAACUUGGCUAACGCAAAGUUAUUCGACCAAGUGAAUGAAAUUGCACAAAGAAAGGGAUGCACCCCAUUGCAGUUAACCCUCGCGUGGGUACACCACUGGAGUGAUGACGUUUGCCCGAUGCCCGGCACGAUCAAGAUCGAGAAUUUCAACCAGAACAUUGGAGCUCUGUCAGUGAAGCUUUUGCCAGAAGAGAUGGCCAAGCUCAAAUCAAUUGCUGAUAUGGACAAUGUCAGGCGUGAGAAUUAAAACCACAUUUGAUACUAAAUUAUGCCUAGGUAGAAAUUCAAAACUCCACCUCCCGCUUUUCAUGUGGGAAGUUUGGCCCCACCUCGCGCUUAUGGAAAGAGUAAUCACGAAGACAUCACAAUAGUUCAAUUGACGUGAGCAGGUACGUCUUCCCUACAUGGUAAGGGUCGUCACUGGGCGUGCAAUUGACGUAAGCACGUGCGUCUUCACAGCCACUACCGCUCCCCUCCUACUCAUCGUAGCUUCUGCCACUCCCCUCCUAUAAAUCUCGGCUCGCCCGACGCCUUCGCCAUCGUCUCGGUGCAUUGCAGGGAACGAUCGAGCUCGAGCUAGACUACGGCAAUGGCGGCAUCGACGACGACGACGGUGAGGAGGAUCAAGCUGGGGUCGCAGGGCCUCGAGGUGUCGGCGCAGGGGCUGGGCUGCAUGAGCAUGUCCGCCUUCUACGGCCCUCCCAAGUCCGAGCCCGACAUGAUCGCCCUCAUCCACCAUGCCGUCGGCUCCGGCGUCACCUUCCUCGACACCUCCGACGUCUACGGUCCUCACACCAACGAAAUCCUCCUCGGAAAGGUCGUUCUCUCAGUCUCUCUUUUGCCUCUGCAUGAAUUAUAUAUGCUUAUGGUUUUACGGAAAUUUGCUUCAUCGAGCAGGAUGCUCUGAUCCUGCGCCUUGGUUUUCUGAUUUCGGGGUUGAUUUUGAGCAGGCACUGAAGGGAGGGGUGAGGCAGAAGGUGGAAUUGGCGACCAAGUUCGGAAUCAGAUUCGCGGACGGGAAGAGGGAGAUCCAGGGCGAUCCGGCGUACGUGAGGGCUGCUUGCGAGGCCAGCUUGAAGCGGCUCGACAUCGAUUGCAUCGACCUCUACUACCAGCACCGUAUCGACACUCGCGUCCCCAUCGAAGUCACUGUAUGGAUCCCUUAUCAAACUUUCACCUCGCUUGAGACUUUCUCUGAGCCAUAUGAUGCAUCGUCAUGUUGUUACAAGUUUGUUGAAUUUUGUUAAAUGACACUUAAGUCAGCUGNNNNNNNNNNNNNNNNNNNNNNNNNNNNNNNNNNNNNNNNNNNNNNNNNNNNNNNNNNNNNNNNNNNNNNNNNNNNNNNNNNNNNNNNNNNNNNNNNNNNUUUUAUAUAUUUUAUUUCCGAAAUUCUCAAAAUAAAAGACAACAUUUGAAUUUACUAACAAUUAAUAAAAAUUGUUGGAGAAAUCUUCCUGGAGUAUUUUGAAGCUGACAAAACGUUUCCAUCAGUCUAAUCUGAAGAUUUGCAGACUCUACUAUUUAAAGUCUGAAGACCUCCGGACUGCCAGAUUCAAGAUUCAAAGUCUAUUCUCAUUGACAGUUUCUAGAUCGUCGAAGAAGGGUUAUCCAGAACUUGAUGUUUCAUUAAGGAUUUGACCUUAUCGACUGGAGAAGAUCUCUUGGCUGGAUAUGUCAUAACAGAAUCCUUUAUUUGAUCAUGAUUGAUUCAGAGAUUAAGGAUCUGAUGAUUGGCGAAGUAUACUUGGUUCUACUUAUGGAAACCGAGAUCCUAAUUGUAUGGGCGAGCAAAAUUGAUGGGCUAUCGACAUGUUCCUUUAAUAGCUCGAAUGAUCUUCCUAAUUGAUUUCGUCCAACGGGUAGAUUGGAGGAAUUCUUUUGGUAAGUGCCAACGGAUAUGAUGGCAUAAAGGAGUAUAAAAGGAAGACGUUCCAGUUGUUCGAGUGUGUACACGAUAGAAAAAUUCCAAAGUCUGAAGCUCUUUGUUCUUAGUCAAUUCAUUUACUGAGCAAAAUCUUGUACACAAAAGAGAGUAUAUACUUUGAGAGACCUUAAAGAAGUGUGGUAGAGGUUCUACACUGUGGAAUCAAGGAAGAGACUUGAUGUAACAUCUCUUUUGUUCAUAGUGAAAUCUAGCCGGUGGGCUGUUAGUGUGGAAGAGUGGAUGUAGGCUUGAAAUAAGCCGAACCACUGUAAACCUCGUGUUCAAUUUUCUCUUUCCUACUCUCUGCUUUACUUUGAUCAUAAUUCAUCCUGUUAACCAAAGAAGAACUUCCUUCUAUUGUCUGCUUAGUAUUGUUCUUAUAUCACGAAGAAUUAUUUUUACACACCUACUCACCCCCCUCCAUGUGCUUAUACUAGCUAUCUCAAUUGGUAUCAGAGCUUGUGUACUCACUUUGUUUGAAGUGUUUUACUUCAGAGUUAAAGAUCCAUAACUAGUAUGUUAACUCCAAGGCUGGUAGAAGGCCAAAGCAAUACCAGACCGCUUUACUUUGAUGGAAAGCAUUACAAUAUAUGGAAAAACAAGAUGAAGGCGUUCCUAAGAUCAAAGGAUCCUCUGGAAUGGGACGUUGUUGAAAAAUGAAUCAUUCCUAAAGCUGCGCCUAUCUCAGAGAGAGAAAAAUAUACUGUUGAGUCUAGUAAAAUGACUCAGGAAGAGAUAAUCAAGAGACAAGCUCUUGAUACAAAAGCAAUUUAUUUUUUAUAUUGUGCAUUGUCACCUACUUAAUAUAACAAAAUAUUUUCUUGUUUUACAGCUAAAGAAGUCUGGGAUAGAUUACACAUCACUUAUGAAGGAACUGAUCGAAUGAAAGAAACCAGAAUCAACAUUCUGCUCGGUCAAUAUGAAGCAUUCAAAAUGAAAUCUAGAGAAUCUAUCACUGACAUAUUUAGUCGUUUUACAGAGAUUGUGAAUGGCCUUGAAAAUCAAGAGCAACCAAUUUCUGAUCCCAUAAAAGUAAACAAGCUUCUUUGUGGACUCUAUAAGGAUUGGAAUAACAUAAAGACCUUAAUAAGAGAGACACAAAAAAUUAUGCCACUUUCGGUCGAUGAAUUGGUUGGGACUCUUCAGUCUUAUGAAGUAGAGCGAAUCAACGAAGAUGAAGAUCCUUAAGGUAAGAAAUCCAUUCCAUUAAAAUCUAAUGAUAAUUCUGAUGUCACAGAUUCUGAAGACGAUAUGGAUGGCGAAGAGCUUGCUCUCAUGAUAAGAAAAUUCAGAAAACUGAACAGAAAAUGAAGAAGAUUCAAUCCAAAGAAACAGAGUUUUCAAAAGCAACAGACUAAGUCUGUUGAGGAUGAUGAAUCAAACAAAGAUGUAGUCUGCUUUGAAUGCAAGAAAAAUAGACACAUCAGACCCAACUAUCCUCUUUUGAGGAAGAAGAAAGGAAAAUCUGAAAAAUAUUGAAAGGCUCUUAAAGUAGAAACCUGGAGUGAUAUAGAGUGUGAAGAAAGUGAUGAUGAUUAUGCCAAUAUAUGUUUGAUGGCACAAUCGGAUUCAGAUUCAAACUCCGAGACAAACUUAGAUUCAGACAGUGAAUUUAAGGUGAGUAACUUUAAAAUCCCUAUUAAAGUUUCUAAAUACAUUGAUGAAUUGUGUUUCAGUCUUAAGACUUCUCUUAAAAGGAUUUCCAAACUUAAAAAGGAAAAUUCUGCACUAAAACAACAAGAAAAUGUUUUGAAAGAAAAUGUCAAAGUUUUAGACAAAAAUGUUUCUACCUUGAAAGAAAAUGAAGGCAAUCUUUCAAAAGAAAAUGCAUUCUUGAAAAAUGAUAUCUCAAAUAUUUCUAAAUGAUUUUCUAUAGGAUCUGAGAAACUAGAAAAAAAUUCUUUCUGUUCAAAGACCUUAUUUCAAUAAAUCUGAUUUGGGAAUGUCUGCAUAAACCAUUCAUUUAAUUGAUUUUCCUAAAGUAAAGGAAAUAAUUAAGCAAAGACCCACAAGAGAUGCUUACAAAAAUCAUUUUAAAAAGAUCUUUGUAAAACUAGUAGGUCACAAUGCUCUCAGAUGUUCAAAGUGCAAUAGUGCAAAUCAUUUUGAAAAAGAAUGCCCUAUGGUUUGGAAACUUGUUAAGAAAGUAUGGGCAAAAACCGCAUGUCAUACUAACACCAAUGGACCCAAGAAAAUAUGGGUACCAAAGAAAGUUUGAGUUUCUUUUUUAAAUGCAGGUCACUAUCAAGAAAAAGGUAAAAUGGUAUCUGGAUAGUGAUGCUCAAGACAUAUGACAGGAGAUUCAAAUUUUUUGUAAAGCUCGUUCAAGUAAAUUGUGGAAAAGUCUCAUUUGGAGGGAACGGCAAAGGAAGAAUUGUGGGAUUUGGAACUGUAAAAAUUGGAAACCUCACAAUAAGUAAUGUUUCCUUAGGGGAAGGACUCAACUACAAUCUGCUCAAUAUCAGUCAGCUGUGUGAUACCGGUUUCAAAAUCAAUUUUCAAGAGGGAAUAUAUUCAGGAACCAGUAAAGAUUCUACUCAGUCAUUCAUGGGUCGAAGACAUGGAAAUAUCUACCUCUUGGAUGUGAAACCAGAUGCAUCACAAUGUCUAAUCUCAAUUCAAGACAAAGCGAACUUAUGGCACAGAAAACUUGGGCACAUCAAUAUAAAGCAGAUAGCCAAAAUUUCAGCAAAAAGGCUUGUUCGUGGUUUACCCAAUCUAUCAUACCAAAAGUCUGAUCUAUGUACACCAUGCAUAUUGGGAAAGCAGGUAAGAAAUUCCUUUAAACCAAUAAAUCAAGUUUCCACUAAUCGUGUAUUGCAGCUUCUGCAUAUGGAUCUCUUUGAACCAACUAGAACUUAAAGCAUUGAAGGUAAGAAAUAUUGCCUAGUAACUGUGGAUGACUACUCACGAUUUACUUGGGUAUAUUUCCUGGUAAGUAAGUCUGAAACCUUCUCUUACUUUAAAAAGUUUGCUAAAAAUGUUCAAAAUGAAAAAAAGGGUAUAUUAUUUCAAGCAUAAGAACAUACCAUGGAGGUGAAUUUGAAAAUCAAGAUUUUACAAAGUUUUGUGAUGAAUCUGGUUUUCAGCAUGUGUUCUCCUCUCCAUAUACUCCAGAGCAAAACGGAGUUGUGGAAAGAAAGAACAGGUCGCUUCAAGAAAUGGCUAGAACACUUUUAAUUGAAAGUAACAUCUCUUCACGUUUUUGGGCUGAAGCCGUUUCUACAGCAUGUUAUAUUAUUAAUAGAGUUUUUCUAAGACCAAUUCUAGAAAAAAAAAACCCCCUAUGAGUUAUUCAAAGAAAAGAAGCCUAUUGCUUCAUAUUUUCAUGUGUUUGGAUGUAAAUGCUUUAUAUUGAAAAAUGCAAAUGAUCGAGUUGGCAAGUUUGAAGAAAAAUCAGAUGAAGGCAUCUUCCUUGGAUAUUCAACCACAAGCAAAGCAUAUAGAGUCUACAACAAGAAGACUCAAUCUGUGGAGGAAUCAAUGAAUGUCAAAUUCCAAGAUUCUAUGCAAAAUGAAUCUAUUCAGACUCAUCUUGAAGAAUCUGAAUCUGCUCUAGACUCUACAAAGUCUAAAUCUCAGCAAGCAGCUCAGACUUCGAAAGACCAUCAUCAAAUGAUUGAUGAAGAUUCAAAUGAAGAAAGUGAUCAUCAAUCUGAUAAAUCGACCAGUAACUGGAAGCAUAAGUCCAGUCAUCCCAAAGAUCUCAUUAUUGACGACAUUAAUGAAGGAAUUCGCACAAGAUCCAAAAGGCGCAAAUAGUCUAGUGCUGUGACUCUUAUUUCUGAAAUAGAAUCCAAAAGCAUAUAAGAAGCUUUAUCUGAUGAAAGCUGGAUUGAAGCUAUGCAAGAAGAACUCAGGCAAUUCAGCAUUAAUGAUGUCUGGGAGUUGACUCCUAAACCGAAAGGUAAAUCUAUUAUUGGAACUAAAUGGGUUUUCAGGAACACGAUGAACGAGAAAGGAAAUGUCGUAAGAAACAAAGCAAGACUCGUGGCCAAGGGAUAUACGGAAGAAGAAGGGAUAGACUAUGACAAGACUUACGCACUAGUAGCAAGGUUAGAAGCAAUUCGAUUAUUACUUGCUUUUGCUUGUUAUAAGAAUUUCAGGUUAUUCUAAAUGGACAUCAAAAGUGCUUUCCUGAAUGGAUUUAUCCAUGAGGAAGUCUAUGUGGAACAACCAUCUGGGUUUGAAGACCCAAGGAAACCAGACUCAGUAUUCAGAUUGAAAAAUGCCUUAUAUGGUUUAAAGCAAACACCUCGAGCUUGGUACGACAGGCUGAGUAAGUUUUUAAUUCAAAACGGCUUUGUCAAAGGUAAAGUAGACACUACUCUGUUCAUCAAAAGAGAAAACAAAAGUUUUAUGCUUGUUCAAAUAUAUGUUGAUGAUAUUAUUUUUGGAUCCUCUAAUGAAAGUCUGUGCAAGAAAUUCUUUAAGUCUAUGCAAGAUGAAUUUGAAAUGAGCAUGAUGGGUGAACUAACCUUCUUUCUUGGACUUCAAGUGAAACAAUUGAAGAAAGAAACUUUUAUUCAUCAAGAAAAAUAUGCUAAUGAUCUUGUAAAAAAAUUUGAACUUGAAAAUUGCAAAAAGACUGAUAUACCAAUGUCAAGCUCUUUGAAGAUAGGCAAAGAUGAAUGAGGAAAGAAAGUUGACCAGAAGCUAUAAAUGAGUAUCAUUGGUUCACUUCUUUAUCUUACUGCUUUUAGACUUGACAUUUUGUUUAGUGUUUGCAUUUGUGCUAGAUUUCAAGCAGACCCAAAAGAAUCUCAUCUAAGUGCUGCCAAGCGUAUUAUCAAAUACAUUGCAUCAACUCCGAGCAUUGGUCUCUGAUAUCCUAAAAAUGGAGACUUUACUCUUCUCGGAUAUUCAGACGCAGACCUAGCUGGAUGCAGAGUUGAUAGAAAGAGCACCUCGGGUACCUAUCAACUACUUGGAAGCAGGACAGUAUCUUGGUUUUUAAGGAAGCAAAAUACAGUAGCUCUUUCUACAGCAGAAGCAGAGUAUGUAGCUCUUGGAAGUUGUUGUUCACAAAUUCUGUGGAUAAAACAAUAGCUAAGAGACUUUGGAAUUGAAGAUUAAUGCACGGAGAUUAACUGUGACAAUACCAGCGCAAUCAAUCUCACUAAGAAUCCAAUUCUUCACUCAAGAGCAAAGCAUAUAGAGAUUCGACAUCACUUCAUUAGAGAUCAUGUUCAAAAUGAAGAAGUUUCGAUUCAGUUUGUUGGCUCAAAGAACUAACUGGCAGAUAUAUUUACAAAGCCUUUGGAGAAAAAUCAAUUUGAAAUCAUUCGUUCCAGACUCAACAUCUUGAAGUUUGAAGAAGUUAAAGUCUAGAGACUCCUAGACUCAAACGAUCAGGAUUUUCUUUCCUUGGAAUCUCUCAAAGACUGUUAAAAAUGUCUUCCCAAAGAAAGUCUUCGAGGAUCGCAAGUAGGGGACCACAGCAAAUGCGUGAGGGGCCUACGCACUUCGAUCUCAACGAAGAAGAAGAGUUUCCUAGUCAGUAGUAAAGCCUACAACAUUCUUAGCAGUGUCCAUCUUCUCCAUCUAGACAACAGGAGGUUGCUCGACAAGAAAAGGAAGAGAUAAUUGAAGAUGCAAAACCUGUAAGAGUCUAUAAGCCUUCUUUUACCUACACGUUUUAUCGUGCUUUAAAAAGGGGUGGAACUCCUUUGAGCUACAUUGACGAAUUUCUGAAAGACAAAGGGUACAAAAAUGAAACCUUCUUUUUACACAUAAUGGAGUGUUUGGGAAUUGCCCCUGCUGGAUCAGCGGAAGAGGCAUUCGCAAAUAUCCCAAUCGAUCAUCGUGUUGGAGGGCUGAAUCAGAUAGAUGGGAAUGAUGAUGACAAGUUGUACAGUCAGUUUCAACCGAGAAUGGGUGUUGCGGCAAAAAUUCGGGGAAAAAUGACAGACUUGUUUCGAUCGGAGGAACAAAAGCAUCUAUACUCUAAGUUGUUGAAGUGUGGGGUAAUAAACCCUAGAAGUGUAGACUUUGAUUUCCUUGAUGCUGUGAAUGUUAAAUUGAGGGAAAAAUUUAGUCUUCUUCAACUUGAACAGUUCUGUUCUAACUCUACAGAAGCCUAUGCUGAACUCACUACUUAUUUCUAUUCAAAUCUUAGUUUCCUAGAUGCGAAUAGAUUCUUUUUUAGUGUCCGAGAUCAGGACUAUGUGGUGGAUGUAGAUAUGUUGGUUGAUGUGAUUGGGGUUGAGAGAGGGAGAUAUCAACCUAUCAAUGUCUCUAUUACUCGUACUACGUUGGAACUUAUUAAGGAUAAAAGAACCGAGGGAAAGGUUUCCUACUCAAGGAUGAGUGCAUUCAACAUUCUGCUUCACAAGAUUGUGAUUAAUUGCCUCAGACCAAAAUCUACUUCAAAGACUGAUGUUUCAAACUUAGAGGCAAAGCUGAUGUAUGCCAUUAAUGCAGGGAAAAAAGUUAUCUCUUCCACAUACUAUUAUGUUCCACAUGUAUAGGGCAUUGGUGAAGGACAAGGGUCAACUUCCUUAUUCAGCUCUUGUGACAAAGUUAUUCAGACAUUUGAAUGUUCAGCCUCCAUGAAUUCUUUGUGUUCGAUCGUGCGAUCAAAUGGUGGUGGGACUGAAAAUGGUCUCUAAAAUGCGUCUGAAGGAACUCAACAAGGCAUUGGAAAAAUUCAAGGAGAAAACCCCUGUUAAGUCUCAUCAAGUCUCUUCAGCUACAAAGAGAAAAGGAAAGGAGCCCAUGGUAGCUCCAUUCAAGAAAAGAAGAGCUCCCAUUGUUGAGGAUGAAGAUGAUGAGGAAGACAUCACCAUUUCUGCUAUGGCAUUGAAGAACUUGAGUCGUUCUGUUCCAGAAUCAAUGGAGAGACAAGAAAAGGACACAGAUGAGACAGAAUAGAGGACUGGAGAAAGAGAAAAUUUGGAAGCAGAGGAGAAAGAAGCAGAGGAAAGACAAACAGAGGAGAGAGAAGUAGAAGAAGUAGAUGAAGAGGAGGAAAGAAUUAAAGAAGAAGAAGAGAGAGGAGAUCAAGCGGAAACAGAGCAUGAGGAUCACUCUUCUCCACCUGAAGGCAUGGAAACAGGGGGAGAUCAUGAGAAAAGAAGAAUGUCCUCAUAUCAUGCUAUCAGUGAGGGAGUCAAUCACUCUCCAGCAAAUCCAUAGGACAUCUAUGCCUCUCAAUUUCCUGAAGAGGGACAUGAUGUUUCAUCGCCCAAUCUGCGUGACCAUGCUGAUUUGUCAUCGUCUGCCUUUACUCCAUCUGAUCGAGCAGAAGCCAAUACGCAGACUGAAAAUCAGCAUACUUUCGUAGAAUUCUUGAUGUUCUCUUGGAAAUGCGGGGUCACAUUUAUGCUCUGGGAUACGAAGUUCAGAAUUUGUAGAAUGCGGGUCAAGCUUCUUCAGUAUCCUUGAAUAAUCAGAUCCAAGCCAUUUCUCUUCAGAUUCAGGCAAAUGCUAAGGGUGAAGAUGUGGCACAACUGAAUGAGGACUUGAAAAAGCUAAAAGGCAUUGUCCAGUCAAUGGGAGAUUUCCAGCUUGUUCGUGUUCCCAAGCAUUCUUGAAUCCAUUCUUUUUCCAUCUCAACCUUUUUUAUGAUGACAAAAAAGGGGAGAGAUGCGAGAUUUGAAACUUUGAACUUAAUCUUGUUGAACUUUGGUUUUUGAACUUUGGUUUGUCUUGAUGUUUGACUUGACUUGACUUGUGUGUCUGGAUGUGGACUGAAUUUGGGAUUUGGAUUUGACUGCUUAUUGACUACUUAUAUUAAGUACUAUUGAUAUCUUAUGAAUGGCUUCACUCACAUGAAAGACUAACCUAUUUUCUGUGGUUGCAAAUUCUAGUGUUAUCAUUAAGCUAUUUAUCUUUAUAAGAUAUCCAUAUUUGCUUGAGUAAUAUUUUGCAGGUCAAAGUUAUUCAAAUCUGCAGGAAAGUUUUGUCACCAUCAAAAAGGGGGAGAUUGUUGGAGAAAUCUUCCUGGAGUAUUUUGAAGCUGACAAAACGUUUUCAUCAGUAUAGUCUGAAGAUUUGUAGACUCUACUAUUCCAAGUCUGAAGACCUCCGGACUGCCAGACUCAAGUUUCAAAGUCUAUUCUCAUUGACAGUUUCUAGACCGUUGAAGAAGGGUUAUCCAGAACUGGGUGUUUCAUUAAGGAUUUGACCUUAUCGACUGGAGAAGAUCUCUUGGAUGGAUAUGUCAUAACGGAAUCCUUUAUUUGAUCAUGAUUGAUUCAGAGAUUAAGGAUAUGAUGAUUGACGAAGUAUACUUGGAAAGUUCUACUUAUGGAAACCGAGAUCCUGAUUGUAUGGGCAAGCAUAAUUGAUGGGCUAUCGACAUGUUCCUUUAAUAGCUCGAAUGAUCUUCCUAAUUGAUUUCGUCCAAUUGGUAGAUUAGAGGAAUUCAUUUGGUAAGUGCCAACAGAUAUGAUGGUAUAAAGGAGUAUAAAAUGAAGACGUUCCAGUUGUUCGAGUGUGUGCGCGAUAGAAAAAUUCUAAAGUCUGAAGCUCUUUGUUCUUAGUCAAUUCAUUUACUGAGUGAAAUAUUGUACACAAAAGAGAGUAUAUAUUUUGAGAGACCUCGAGGAAAUGUGGUAGAGGUUCUACACUGUGGAAUCAAGGAAGAGAUUUGCUAUAACAUCUCUUUUGUUUAUAGUGAAAUCCAGCCGGUGGGCUGUCAGUGUGGAAGAGUGGACGUAGACUUGAAAUAAGCCGAACCACUAUAAACCUCGUGUUCAAUUUUCUCUUCCCUACUCUCUGCUUUACUUUGAUCAUAAUUCGUCCUGUUAACCAAAGAAGAACUUCCUUCUAUUGUCUGCUUAGUAUUGUUCUUAUAUCAUGAAAAAUUAUUUUUACACAUAUUUACCCCCCUCUAGGUGCUUAUACUAGCUAUCUCAAAAAUAAAAUAAAAAAUAAUAACAAAGGAAUUAGUGUUAAUUAAACCGUGGCGGGCAUGUGUGUUAAGUGUGCCAAAACCGCACAAUUAUUCGCGCACCCGCACGCUGGUAUGGUGGGGUCUAGCCCCACCCAAUCAUUCCUUGAUGUACACAAGGAAACCAUUCACUUAUAAAUCAGCCCACUUCUUCCCACUUUUCCUAUUUGAGACUAGAAAAACACACUCAGCUUGUUUCGACAAACAAACCUCCAACAAUCCCCCACUUUGUUUGUAAAACAAAGAUUUUAGAAUUAAAAUUUAAAAAAACAUACAGCCAAAAUUUUAGUAAGAUUAAUAUACAUACAUAAAGGUCUCUUUCGAGUUAAACCUUUAUUUAGUGCAAGUAUAUCAAAGCUCUAUCAAAGUGACAAGUAGCUCGGCUUUAAACUUGUACUUUAAUGUAAUAGAACCGGACAUACCGCAUAUACACUAACCUCUUGUUUAAGUGAGAAGUUCUAUAUUACUCCGCACUAUUUGUGGCAUCCCAAAAUUCAAGUCAUCCUCUAGAGAAAUUAAAGCCUAUAAUUAGGUAAUGAAAUUACCUAUGGUCUAUGUGUUAGCCAUUAGUUUUCUUAAGGCUAGGUGUUAUUGUGCUUGUGUUUAUGAAUUUUGAAUUUAGGACUAUAGGAUAAAUUAAUAAUCUAUGCUUGGCCAUGCACUUUAUAAAUUAAAUUUCAAUAAAUGAAAUGUCAAAAGACUUUGGCCAUGUGGAAAAUUUAAAGUUUAAAAUAUUUAUAAAAGAAAUUUUAAAAAAAAAAGAGAGGAAAAUGUCAAUUUUUAGGAUGGGCGUUAGGCCCAUUGGCCUAAGCUUUUAAUGGGCCAAGAUGGCCGGCCCAAUAGAGGCCCAAAAGGAGUGGUCGACCAGCCCAUUUGAUGGCCCAAGGUUGGCCCAAGAAGAAGGCCCAUUAACCUUGCAUGUCAUCCAACACUUGUCCUCUCCUUGUUGCCACUUGUUCUCCUCAUGAGAACACUUGUCCCCCCAUGCAAAGAGGGGAUACAUGCAAUAUAAAAGGGAAGGAAAGGAGAGAGAAUGGCUGGUUAGCCAUUCGGCCAAGAGAGAAAGGGAGAGAGAGAGAGAACCGUGCGAGAGAGAGAGGAAGAGGGUGCGGCCGAGAGAGAGAGGAAGGAGGUGGAGCCGAGGGGUUGCCGCCGUCCGUCCGCCGUGUUCGCCGCCGUACACCAUCGUUUCCUUCGGUUUAGAGGCAAGUGGAGUCCUAUAACUUCUCUUGCAUGUGUGUAUAUGGUUUGCAUUUUCGAUUUUGGGUGAUAUUUGUGAGAAAAACCGAGGUAAGGGUUGGUUGUUUUCAAGCCGUGUGACUGUUCUUGUUCGGGUUGUGUGAGUCCGAAACUUGUUUGACCUUGCAUGUGUGUUUAAAGACAGAUUUUUGCUUUGAUGUCUUCAUGGAAGUUGUAGCUAACAUCUUGUACUAUAACAUACUGAAAUUUCGUGAAAAAUGAUGGAGAUUUGAGGGGUUAAAGCCUUGUUAUACGGAGACCUCAGAUCUGUGAUGUUUUCACUGACUUCUUGUUGGAUUCUUGGUUGCAUGUUGGUUUGUGAUGAAAAUAUGACUUCGGUGUCUUCAUGAAAGUUGUAGGUAACACCUUAAAAUACAACAUACUCAAAUGUUAAGAGAAAUGAACAAGUAUAGCCUAGUAAAUCGGCUAGAUCUUGGAGACGAUGAUUCUGGUGAUGUGUUCCGAGACACCCGAGACUUAAUGGACUUAAAUGGUGAUCAUACCUUGGUUAUUUGACCUAGAUCUCUUCAUGAAACUUGUAAAGGACACCUUGAUACAUAACUAUCCGAAUUUCAGAAGAAACUAAAGAGAAUAGAUGGGUGAAAUCUUAAUAUUUCGGAGAUGUGUAUUCUGGACGAUGCGGUAAGGGUUCCAGAAGCUUCAUGAGGUUGAAUAAAAUAAUCUAUAAGAAAUUUGACUUGUAGUUCUUCAUGAAAGAUGCACGAAAAUUUCUUGGAUAUCACCCUGUAAAAUUUCGUAAUUUUUGGAGGCCGAAUGGAUAUUUUAAUUGAAUUUAUUCGGAAACUGUGCAUUUGGUUUAAAUCCGAGAAUCAUAGGAUGUUUUGGAAAAUUGUGGAAUUUGGUAAAAAUUUCAUAUUGGCCAUGAAUUUUGCAAGUAAAUAUCAUCCUAUGGGUUUGUUUAAUAAUUUCUUGGAUUUUUGUAAUCUUGGGAAAUUAUUGAUAUUAAAAUAAAAUAAUAAAAUAAUAAUAAAAUAAUAAUAAAAUAAAAUGGAUUUAUAUUUGGCCAUGGAUUCAAUUCUAUUUGUGUGGCAUAUGUGUGAUGAGGUCUUUGCACAUGUAUUGGAUUGAGAUGUAUAUGUGAUAAAGUUUUGGUAUGCGUAUGACAUGGUCCUUGUACAUGUAUUGAAUUGAGAUGUGUAUGGGAUAAAGUUUUGGCAUGUGUAUGACAUUCGAAUUGAGAUGCAAGUGUGAAUUCCAUGUCAAAUGUGAUUUGUUUGAUACCAUGCCAAUUGCCAUGUUAAAUUGAGAUAAGGAAAUGGUAUAUGUGGGUGAUGAUGCUCGGUGGCCUAGUGGCGUAAUUCCGGAGAUUCCCCGGGAGUGUCGGGAUGCCCGGUGGUAUACGGUACGUAAUUCCAGGGGAGGCCUGGUGGUAUGUCGGUACAUAAUUCCGGAAGCCCUGUCGGAGGUCUUUGCCCGAAGGGAAUGCCUCGCGAUGCCAGAUUUGGGUGCGAGAUGCCUGGCUAGAAAGGUAAAGGCCAGAUGUCCGGUUGUAUCUGGAUACAUGCCCGGAGGUUUUUCUCGCAUGGGAUGCGAGUGUAAAUAUGGGAUGAAUUGAUGAUCGAGGAAGGGUGAUGUGGUGAUCAAAUUUAAAGAUAAAGAUGAAAAUUAACUCAUGGCAUGAUAUGGUAUGAUAUGCAUGAUGAUAUGCAUGAUGAUGGUGAUGAUAUGUGAUGUGAUAUGAUGAUCACCCAUGGUAUGAUAUGCAUGAUGAUAUGCAUGAUGAAAUGAUGAUAUGUGAUGUGAUAUGAUGAUCACCCAUGGUAUGAUAUGCAUGAUGAUAUGUGAUGUGAUAUGAUGAUCACUCAUGGUAUGAUAUGCAUGAUGAUAUGCAUGAUGAUGAUGAUAAUAUGUGAUGUGAUGAUAUCAUGAUAAGGAUGACAUGUAUGAUAUAGUGAUGCCAUGAUGAUGAUUAUUAUGAUGACAUAUGAUGAUAUGAUAUGCAUGAUGAUAAGGCAUGAUGAUGCAUGAUAGUAUUACGCAUGGCUGCAAGGUAAGUUACGCCUGCAAUGCAUGUAUGAUUUGCAUGAUGCAUUGAGUUGUUAUUGGAUUCCUUUAUCUGCUGAGUGGUUGUACUCACCCCUUUUGGGGACCAACAUUUCAGAUUAGUAGAUGGUUUGAACGGUUGGAUGUGACCGUGAGGAGGAGGAUAACAAGGGAAGGAGCUUUUGGACGCUGACACGGAUCGAUGGACUUAAAGUGUAUGACUGUUUGAGGAAAUGUCGGUCAUCUUUUGGAGUGUAGCCGAAUAUAAAAGACUACGGCAUUUUGAUGUACCGAUGAAUGAUGUCCAUCUGAUUUAAGUAAAUAAAAGUGUACGGCUUUUACUUAUAAAUAUUUAGUAGGUGUGCAUCGUUUUCUGAAUAUAGGGAAGUGAGUUGUUGGACGUGCUUCCAUAUAUGAAUUGCGCAAGGGACCUUUAGUUGAAAAGAAAAAAAAAAGUGUAAACCCCCAUGGUUGUAUGGACCCGCUGCAAUUGAAAUGGUAUCAGAGUAACAUGUUAAUAGGGAAAUUGAAAGGUAGAGCGAACUGUGGCGACCCUAACGGAUCGGGGGCCGUCGAGGGGUGUCACACUAUUAUGGCCUUGUGCUUGAUCAUGUUUCAUGAGCUCUCUAGAAAGCAACCCUAACUUUCGUAAGAAGUGGCACCACUUCUAAGCUCAUAUAGGUGAAGUAUCUACCAUGUGUUUCUGUUACUAUCAACACACUACAAACUUGUAUCAUACUUUAUUAAGAAUUCAAUUCAGCCUACAAAACGUAACAGACGAUACUGACUUCUCAUAUCAGGGCUAUGUCAGUAUCAAACAAUCACAUUCAAUAACUUGUUCUUACCCAUUAAACCUUGUAACUAGUGAUGUUCUAGAAAAAUGUCGGGUUACCAUUUUUGGUGAUUUCAAUUAAAGGGUUUCAGCCCAAUUUCUUGUGAGGUCGUUAUUACCAUAUGGGCUUGGUNNNNNNNNNNNNNNNNNNNNNNNNNNNNNNNNNNNNNNNNNNNNNNNNNNNNNNNNNNNNNNNNNNNNNNNNNNNNNNNNNNNNNNNNNNNNNNNNNNNNNNNNNNNNNNNNNNNNNNNNNNNNNNNNNNNNNNNNNNNNNNNNNNNNNNNNNNNNNNNNNNNNNNNNNNNNNNNNNNNNNNNNNNNNNNNNNNNNNNNNNNNGAAUGCCGUCGAUGUGUUGACGAAGUGCGCUCUAAGGAGGGGAGGCGAUGCCUAGCUAGAUAUCAGUAGAUAGCCGGAUUGUGAGUAGGCUAUGCCCUGGUGUGACAGUGGAUAAUGAUGAUUUGGAAAUGCUUACUGUGAUUGCGAAAUUGAGUGAAAUUGAUUGAGUUCCGAUAAAUUGCCUUCUUGUCAUUACUUGUGCUUAAGUGAUAUGAAUUGUACUAACCUGCAGGGAGGCAAGAAGGUGAGGUAAGUCUUCUUGAUGUCGUGGCUAAGCUACUCUGGGGCGUAUUUACUUUCUAAUAGGGGUUUAGGAGGGGUGAACUUGCUGAGACAAAGUCUCAUCCCGGUUUGGGGAAAAAUAUUACAGGACCGUAGAUGGCGAGACCCCCGGAGAUGAGUGGCCUGCCGACGGAGAUUGACCAGACGACGGAGAGUGCUCCUGACCCUGGGAGUCCUUGGGUCUAUCAGUUGGUUAGGACCCUCAUCUGGGUCGAAGUGAGCGUGCACGGCAGGGUACCGUACAUGUUUAGGGCAUGGUUUCGUACCGGAGCAGAUGGUGUUAGGGUCGGCCCCCUAGAUAGCAUGGAUAUUCCGCUGGCAGUCUUGAAUGCCAUCCUGGGUGAAGGUGUGGCGGACCUUCCUACCGGUGGAGUGAUCAACGCCUCGCCCCCGCAAUCUUGGGUGUCAGAUCCGGAGGACGUGGGAUCGUCCAAUGGGGCUGACCUGUAGUUCUAGAGUGGUUGAUUGUUUUCUUUUUGGCGGACUAAUCCUUGCUAUGUAGGCUGACCCCCUUUUGAUGCACAUAAACUCUAACCCAUUUUUGGUGCAUAUAGCCUCCGGAUCCUGUUGAUGUAUGUAAGACUUGGAUUGUUGAUGAUGUAUGGAAUUAUGCUCGUUUGAUUUUUGAAUUAAUUCUUCCUGCUGUCCUAUCCCGCGAGUUUUUGUCAGGGGUUUUAUAAUACAUUCCGCUUGCGCAUUAAUAAAUGAAUGGGUCGGCGACUUAUCCUGGGACGUCGCAUUUGAAUGACCAUGGUGGGAUGUUGACGCGUUCGAGGUUCGGGGCGUGACAGAGUGUCUAUCACUUCCGCUUCAUCCUACAUCAUUCUUGGAGGAUCGGGGAAUGUCUCGUGAAUGCUCAGGGGUAGUGGGUUUUGCCUCCCUUGCCCUUGGUCAAGUGGCAAGCUCCGCCUUUCUUGUCUUUGUCGUUCAGAACUUCCCCCAUCUCUUCCAUGGUAUCCUAAACCAGUAGGACAGGACCUCUGAGGGGCUUCAAUGGGGCUUUGAAUGCCCUGACUAUUUCUCCCAAGACCAUUACUAGGGACGAAGCCAUUCCCAACCAUUACUCUUCCCACCAUGAGGGCAGCAUCUGAUACUUUAGGGGUAGGCGGUGAUGAACCCCGAGAAGCAUGUAUGGUGGACACCAAUUUAAAUGAGUGGUAACUUGAUUCAAAUUGGGAAUCCAGCUUUACAUAGGGGAUAUCCGUCUCAUGAUAGAUCCGGUGGUCUUCCUCACUAUACAUAGUGACCAACUUCUUUUCAAUCACAAAUUUCACAGCUUGAUGUAGACUUGAAAGCACUGCUCCAACAGUAUGUAUCCAGGGACGACCUAGCAGAAAAUUGAAUGCAGUAGGGAUGUCCAGCACUUGGAAGGGAAUGUUGAAAACGACCGGUCCUAUUUGUACAUCGAGGUGGAUUUCCCCGAUCACCUCCUUUUUUGUUCCAUCGAAAGCUCGCACCGAAGUUUUCGCGACAUGUAUCCUCGACGGGUCUACCUUGAGGCGGUGAAGAGUGGCCAAUGGAUAAAUGUUCAGAGCAGAUCCAUUAUCGAUGAGCACUCGGGACACAUGGGAAGACUUGUGCUUAACGGAUAUGUAGAGUGCUUUGUUAUGUCCCCUGCCUUUGAGAGGGAAUUCCUCAUCAGAGACGCAAUCAAAUCCUUAAGAUGACCGAUCCCAGAAUUCUUCCAGCUUGUCUGCUUUUAUAAUCNNNNNNNNNNNNNNNNNNNNNNNNNNNNNNNNNNNNNNNNNNNNNNNNNNNNNNNNNNNNNNNNNNNNNNNNNNNNNNNNNNNNNNNNNNNNNNNNNNNNGAUGCACGGGGGACGUCAUCAAGAGCUCGAGUAAGGAGAUCUGAGCGGGCAUCUUUGCGGUUGGUCAAACCACGUUAUACUCGCUUGCUUUGAUUACGGCCAAAAACUCCUUAGCUUCUUCAUCGGUGACCGGCUUUUCAGGUUGAGCACUUGCUUGACCAUCGGUCUAACCAGACCUUGUUACAAGGUCCACAUCCAGGUCAUAGGACCAAGGCACUGCCUUAUCAUUGACAUACUCAUACGGCUGAGGCACCUCUAUCACUAUCUUUCGUCGGAUGCAUCUUUUAAUGGGGGCAUGUCCACAGGCGAAGGAUCAACCUCUUUCUUGUUAGCAUCAAGUGCAGCCUGCUCCUCCUCCCAAUCGAUGAUGAGGUGGGAAAUAGUAGAAACUAUACAAUUACGAUCAGCAUACACAAUGAUACCGUCAUCCACCAUUUUGGCAACUCUUUCUCUCAUCAUUGAUAAAGAGACAUCUUCUUGACCUCGGUAAUACCCAGCUCUCACUAGCCCGUUGUGGGCAUCUGCCACGUGCACCUUUGAGUUCCUGAUCCUUCCGACUUCAGGUUCCAGGAUAGUAUUCACCGUACCCUCAUGCUUUGGUAACAUAUUUUUCUAGACGUUUGGCUAAGCAAUUUGGAAUGGAAAGGCCUUUGUGUCCAGGAGAUUUUGGAUCUUGUGCAUGAGGGUGAAACAUUCAUCAGUUGAAUGUCCCAGUUUACCGUUAUGGUAGUCACAUUUCUUUGUCGGGUCGUAACCGCAAAUGCCUUUGCGGUUAGGGCGCUUUGGUUUACUAGUAAGCAAACCCUUCUUUCGGAGGACUGUCAGCACUUGGGAUGGAGAUCCGGGGAGAGGGGAGAACUGCCUUCUAUUAUUUGCUUAGGCGAAUGAUCGACGGCCAGCGGGUUGUUGCUGUCUUGGGUUCACUCGUAUAGUCGGGGCACGUUUGGCACUUUCUUGGCUAUAAGCCAUGUUCACAUCCACGGCUGCUUCCUUCUCCUUCUUAGCAGAGAACCUUUUAGUAGAUGACUCAGAAAACCAUCAUUCCCUUAUCCCCAUCUCGAUCUGUUCUCCAACAGGAAUAAGCUGAUUGAAGCUCUCGACAUGCGUACUAGCCAUUGGGUUACGAAACUCAAAUGGAAGGGUCUUCAUGAAUAACUUCAUCAACUCCUUGUUGGUGGGCUCAGGAGUAAUUUGGGUCGCCAGGUUUCUCCAUCUCACAUCAUACUCUUUAAAUGACUCGCUCCUUUUCUUUUCCAUCCGCUCCAAGUCUUCUCGGGAAGGCGCGAUGUCCAUGUUGAACUUGUGCUGUUUGAGGAACGCGUCUGCUACUUCGUUCCAGGUUUUGAGGAGGUUUACGUUCUUCAUCACGUAUUAGUUUAGUGCGGGCCCAAUCAAACUCGCAUGAAACGAUUGGAUCAUAAGGGACUCAUUUUUGACGUGCUGGGCUAUGCGCACGUGGUACAUCUGCAAAUGAGAUUUCGAACAAGAUGUCAUGCCAUACUUCUCGAACUCUGGCAUUUUGAAGUUGCUUGGCAUUUUGACCUACUAAUAGACCGAGAGGUCGGAUGGGAGUGAGCUUUGAGACUCCUGUAGCUGUCUCACUUUCUCUUCUAGCUUUACAACGCACUCAUCCUGAUCUGCCUUGGGAACAUUGUCAAGCUUGGCCUUUUCAACAAGGACCAUGUCAUCUUCCAACUCAAGCAUUUCGUCGUCACUCAUUUAGGCCCUAUUUGCCGGCCUUGGAGCUCCAAUUUCAGGGAGAGCGGGUGCAGGAUUUGGAUUCACCCGGAAGGAUUGAAAUUGAGCUGUUAUAAGCUGCAUAGAGACAGCUAGCUGUUGGAGUUGCUCUUCCAUGGAGGACAUAUGAUCAUGCAUCUCGUUUUGGUUAGCCAUUUUAGCCUUUGAUCACGUAAUAAUGAGAGGGUGCGGAGGAUCCGUUAUUACCUAAUUUGAAUAAAUGAAUACACAUAAACACUUCAUAUAAAACAAUGCCGGUCCAUGACGAAAGUCUAACCGCUUUUAUUCAUUACUGAAAUUGUUUGACAUUAAUAAUGUAAAGAACUUGUAAAAUCUUAAACUAAUCAAGUAAACAACUCAACUUCCUAAACAUUAAGCUAAAGUAAAAAGACCGAAUAGAUUCAAGCCACUUUAUUUGGCCCGAUCUAUAAACACAUGGGAAGCCAACGCUCGAUGUAAUUGCCUCUUCUCCUUAGCGUCCUUCUUGGCUUGCUCUUCAAGUUCUUCAAUCUUCCUCUUGUGACGGUUAAGCUCCGCUUGCCGAGUGGGCUUCUCGGUCACAUUUGGCACAUUUGGGAGAUACUCGGCUGGAAUCUUGUGCUGACGAAUGUAUCGAGCUGUGGCAUAGUAAGUUUUUUCAUUCCUCUCAAGCUCAUCUUCAGGUAAGAUCAACUUUUGUUCACGACAUGCGAGCCAAGCUUGUUCGAUACAGUGAAGUUCUUUCUUGUGAUUGCCAUCCAUAACAGUGAAUUGGACUUGGAACAAACCCAGCUUGAGAGGGAGCAGUAGAUCUUGCACAACUCGAUACUGACGAGCCACUUGGAGUGGGUAGUAGGAAAUGGCACCGAUGAUCCCCAAUAGCGGGAUCGGCUCAUCAUCGCCACGAGAGAGAUGUGCUUUGNNNNNNNNNNNNNNNNNNNNNNNNNNNNNNNNNNNNNNNNNNNNNNNNNNNNNNNNNNNNNNNNNNNNNNNNNNNNNNNNNNNNNNNNNNNNNNNNNNNNAGCCUUCGUCAAUUUCUAGGUGUAAGUAAUGUACUUGACCUCACAUAGGACAAUUGUUAUGGUACCAUCUUUAAUCAAUUGUCUCACAUAUUCAUGUCUUAGACUAAUGUGUCUAGACUUACCAUUAUAGGUGCUACUAUAGGCUCUUGCCAAAGUGGCCUGACUAUCAUAAUGGAUAGAAAUAGGAGGCAUAAGACUAGGCCAUAAUUUGAUAUCUAACAACAAAUUUCUAAUCCAUUCAGCCUCUUUCCCAGCUACCGCCAAAGUAAUAAAUUCAUAUUCCAUUGUUGAGUGAGUUAUACAUGUCUGUUUCUUGCUUGCCCAAGAUACAGCACCUCUAGCUAAUGUGAAAAUCCAUCCAGAAGUGGAACGCUCAUCUCCCACACUUGUAAUCCAACUAGCAUCAGUGUAUCAUUCUAAUACAGCCGGAUAAUUAUUGUAGAACAAUCCUAAAUUUUUAGUUCUCUUAAGAUAACCAAAAAUUCUAGUAAUAGCUCUCCAAAAUUCUGUACUUGGAUUACUAAUAUACCUACUCAACUUGCAUACAAAAUAAGCAAUAUCGGGUCUAGUACAUUGCAUCGCAUACAUUAAAGACCCUAUAGCACUUGCAUAUUUUAGUUGUGCCACCGCUCUACCAGUAUUAUAAUUUAAUUUAAUAUUAGAAUCAAAUGGAGUACUUAUUUCUUUAAAACCAAGAUGUUGAAAUUUAUUUAAUAAUUUUUCAACAUAACUACAUUGGCUUAAAGAAUAACCCACACUAUUUUUCUUAACAUUAAUACCUAAGAUAAUAUCUACUUCACCCAAAUCCUUCAUUUUAAGCAUGGAAGUUAGAUACUUCUUAAUCUCAUUAAUUCCAGUAAUAUUUUUCCAAAGAUAAGCAUAUCAUCAAUAUACAAGCACACUAAGACAUCAUAGUCUUUAGUGAAUUUAGAGUAUAUACACCUAUCGGCACUACUAUUGAUGAAACCAUUUGACAAUAUGACCGAAUUAAACUUUUCAUGCCACUGCUUAGGAGCUUGCUUAAGUCCAUAAAGAAACUUAAUCAAUUUACAUACUUUUCUUUCAUUUCCAAGAAGAACAAAACCCUCCAAUUGUUCCAUGUAAAUCUCCUCAUUUAAGUCUCCAUUUAAGAAAGCAGUCUUAACAUCCAUUUGAUUAACACAAAGAUCAUAAAUGGAAGCUAGAGCAAAAAGAACUCGAAUAGAAGUUAUACGUGCAACAGGAGCAUAUGUAUCAAAAUAAUCUAUUACUUCUUUUUGUCUAUAUCCCUUAGCUACAAGCCUAGCUUUAAAAUCUUGAAUAGAACCAGCAGAAUGAUAUUUUCUUCUAAAAACCCAUUUGCACCCAAUAGGUUUUGAUCCUUUCGGUAAAUCUACUAAUACCCAAGUAUUAUUGUACAUAAUUGAGUACAUUUCAUCAUUCACAGCUUCUUUCCAAAAAGAAGCAUCUCUAGAAGAUAUAGCAUCAUUAAAGCUUCUAGGAUCAUCUUCUAAAUUUAAUACUAAAUGAUAUUUAUUUAUCACGUUAUUAUAUCCAUCUCCUUCAACAAGAAAAACAUGAGUUAUAAAAACAGGACCUAAGUCUUUUAUUUUCCUAGCUCUAGUACUUCUCCUUGGUUCAAUCAUGUCUUUAGAAUCAUUCGUUUCUUUCUCUUGACAAUCACUUUGAGUUUCCAUAGAUCUUGAAUUAUUUUCAGUAAUUUCAGAACUUGUAAAACAUAUAUUCUCAAAGAAUUCAACGUCUCUCGAUUUUACUAUGACAUUAGACUCUAAAUCAAGAAGUCUAUAAGCUUUACUAUUUUCAGCAUACCCAAUGAAAACACUUUUGAUAGCUCUAGGACCGAGCUUUGUUCUCUUAAGAUCUGGAGCUCGGUAGUAUGCCAAACACCCCCACACUUUAAGAUAUGAUAAAUUUGGCUUUCUACCUUUCCAUAUUUCAUAGGGGGUUAUGUCAUUUUUCUUGGAAGGUAUUCUGUUAUGAAUAUAGCAUGCAGUAAGUAAUGCUUCUCCCCAAAGAUUAAUUGGUAGAUUUGAAUUUGAAAGCAUACAAUUAACCAUUUCUCUAAGAGAUCGAUUUUUCCUUUUAGCUAAACCAUUUUGUUGUGGAGUAUGUGGUGCUGAAUCUUGAUGAAUAAUAUCAUAUUCUUCACAAAACGAAGAGAAUUCAUUUAAGAAAUAUUCUACACCUCUAUCUGAUUGUAGAACUUUAAUUUUCUUUUCUAAUUGAUUCUUUAUUCAGCCUUAUAUUUCAUAAACAUGGUAAAUGCUUAAUCCUUUGAUCUCAUGAGAUAAACAUAUAAGAACCUACUGCAAUCAUCCACAAAGGUAAUAAAAUACAUUUUACCUCCACGUGUUAGCAUACCAUUAAAUUCACAUAUAUCACUAUGAACCAAAUCCAAUAAAUUCGAAUUUCUUUUAACACUAGGAAAUGGCUUCUUAGUAAAUUUUGACUUAGCACAUAUUUCACAUUUAUCAAAUUCGCCAUUAAAAUUUAUCAAGUCUAAUUUUCUCAUAUUCUUCAAAUAACGAAUAUUUAUAUGUGUCAACCUACUAUGCCAUAAAAUUGAAGACUCGACAAUAUAAGAAGAACUAUAAAUAUUAUUAUUGAUACUCAGUUGAUACAUGUCAUCAUUGGCAUAACCCUUCCCAACAAACAGCCCAUUUUUCGACAGGAUAACCUUGUCGAAUCUAAACAGAAUCCGAAACCCCCUUUUACAAAGUAAAUCAAUAGAAACUAGGUUCUUCAUAAUUUCAGGUAUAAAUAACACAUUAAGAAGAGUUAUCUUCUUUCCAGAAGUGAAGUCUAUCUCCACCGUACCUUUUCCAGCAACCUUUACAAGAGCAUUAUUCACCAUCAGGACCUCUUAAACAUUUGAGUCAACAAUCUCUUCAAAUUGCUUGAACAUGUACUUGUCCUUGCACACAUGGACUGUUGCUCUAGAAUCUAUCCACCAACCGGAUUGGACAGUGGUAGAUUUAAUUUCAGAAACCAUAGCCAUCGCAUCAUUGAUUUCAGAAAUUUCCAUGUUUGAAAACAUGUUUGAAAUCAUGGCUACAUAAUUUUCUUCAACCAGAUUUGCAUCUGCUUUCACCACCGGAAUGUUCUUGUCCUUUGAAAUGCUCUUGCGGUGAAUACAAUCCUUGGCGAAGUGUCCCUGUUUGCCACAAACAAAACAGCAACCCUUUUGCUUCUUUUGUGUUCUCUUGAAUUUAUGCCCCCCGCUUUUUACUUUGAAGUUCUGGCCGAGUUUCCGUUUUUUGUCCACAGCAUUCACCUUGGAAUUGUACAAAACAGAAUUAUCAUGUAAACGUGACUCUUCCUCAAUGCGAAGAUGUUUCUGUAUUUGCUCCAAAGUAAAGUCUCCCGACUUGUGAAUCAGCCUUUUUACAUAGUCUUUCUAACUUGGAGGCAAUUUCGCAAUAAUUGCUCCAACUUGAAAAGCUUCUGGAAUAUCAAUUUUGAGGGCAUGAAUCUUAUUCACAAUCACUUGCAAUUCAUGGACUUGUUCUAGCAAGGGUUCAGUAUUAAUAAACUUGAAAUCAAAAUACUUUGUGAUUAGAUAUUUGUUGGUACAUUGCUCCUCCGCUUUGUACUUGAAUUCCAGUGCAUUUCAAAUUUCUCUGGCCAACUUUAUUUCAGUGAAUAAGUCAUACAGACGAUUGGAUAGUGUGUUCAGAAUGUUUCCUCGACAAAGUAAUUCAUCCUCCGCACGUUUCUUCUUUUCCUUAUUAACCCUCUCAAUGACUUCCGCACUUAGCUAUCCUCCCUCGACAGUAGGCUUAGGAUCUUCUAUAGCCGCCAAGAGUUAGGAUCUAGUAGGUAGGAAAUCUUCAAAGCAGUGAGUAAGAACGUCAUCUUGUCUCUCUAGCGAGCAAAAUCGUUCCCAUCGAACCGGUCCAAUUUGACCAUAUCUUGAUUCAUAACUUUGAUUGUCUCCAACUCCAUUGUAGCAAACUAAAUCCUUAAAUUUUUUGUAAAAUUAUGGCUUUGAAAUUGGGUAGAACAAUGAAAUUGGAUCGAGUAAAAAAACUCGGACUUUGAGGCCCGAUAUUACUUUCUUUAAGGAUUUAUUUGCCCCACAACGUUGCUAAUGGUCACCAGCAAAAAUCCUCCAGGAUACAACAAAGUCUCGAAUGAGAAUACUAGAUAGCAAUUCAAGUAUUUCUCCAGGGUCUCUCUAAGAAACAAUCGAAAAAUUGGCUGCUGUUUUUCAGAAAGAAGACUCGAAAAUGACCACUCUUUUUCUUUUCGAAAAAUGACAAGUAUAUAUAUGAAACAGUCUUGCAACUCUUCGUGAAAAUUGCGAACAAACACGUCUUUUUUAAUAAAUUGUUCUGAUAAACAAAUGCGACUCUUCGGAAGAAAUCGAAAACGAACAAUUGCAACCCUUCGGGAAAAGUUGAAAACCGGAUAAGUAAUUUUCCAAAUGUUGUACUGAAAGAACACAAAUAAAAUUCGGAAUAAUUUUUUUAAUAGAAUUUCGAAUUUUCAUUUUAUAUAUUUUAUUUCCGAAUUUCUCAAAAAUAAAAGAACCUUUGAAUUUACUAAAAAUUAAUAAAAAUUAAUAAAAAAAUAACAAAGGGAUUAGUGUUAAUUAAACCGCGGGUGCGUAUGCGUGUUAAGUGUGCCAAAUCCGCGCAAUUAUUCACGCACCCACACGCGGGUAUGGUGGGGUUUAGCCCCACCCGAUUAUUCCUUGAUGUACACAAGGAAACCCUUCACUUAUAAAUUAGCCCACUUCUUCCCACUUUUCCUAUGUGGGACUACUAGAAAAACACACUCAGCUUGUUUUGAUAAACAAACCUCCAACACAUACUAGAGUGACGCUUUAUUCUCCCCCAACCAAGCAUUCAAUACUAACACCGUGUGCAACACACUCUUAAGACUAAAUGCUACACAUAGAUACAAAGCUUCGGUUUGUGUUUGGUUUGGUAGCGAAGUUAAGGAACAGUAAAAUGUUACCGAAUGUUCUCACGAAAGCGAAGUUGGGGAUAAAAUGCUGGCGCGGUUGAUAUGAGUGUCGGGGAAAUCGAAGGUUUCUUGUUCAAGUUUCACCACCUACGGUUCACGAGCUUUUAUGUAGCUCGAUACCUUCACUCAUGCCUUUGCAUUAUUAUAAAACAGUUGGAGAUAUUGCGUGGGUUUCCUAAAAUUAAAAACCACACUUCUAUUGUUUUUUAUUUGGAGUUAGAGUGGAGCAAUGUUGUUUUGUUUUGGUCUAGGAAAAUAACGCAAAUAGUCAUUAAACUUCGGUCCAAUGUGUUAUGUUCUUACUGAACUUUUAAUUUAUUUAGUAUGGUUGUCGAACUUUUUGUACAUGUUUAAUUUAGAUCCUAGGCUAGAUAAAUCCAAUGAUGCUGUGUUUGAUCGUUCGAACAUCUUUGCUAUAUGGGAUAAUGAUAGGAUAAAAAUCCCAUCUAAUAUUUCUUGACGUUCGGAUAUAACAUGAUUCAAAUAAAACAAAUUAAAAUGAGUGUUUGAUUUGUAUAAUUGAAAUUAAAAAUAAACCAUGGAAGUCGUAAAUACUAUUCAUCAUUUCCCAAUCUUCAUCCAUAUCAAGCACCCCCAUUCCAUGUGACUUCAAGGACGCUCGCUCCUUCUGUAACACCCCUUUCGCUGCCCUUGAUCAACUUGAUGGAAGUCGUAAAUACUAUUCAUCAUUUCCCAAUCUUCAUCCAUAUCAAGCACCCCCAUUCCAUGUGACUUCAAGGACGCUCGCUCCUUCUGUAACACCCCUUUCGCUGCCCUUGAUCAACUUGAUGGAUUACGCUCGCUCUACCUUUUUGUUGGAGAAAUCAUCUUGAAGUGUUUUGAAGUUGACAAAACGUUUCCAUCAGUCUAGUCUGAAGACUUGCAGACUUUGCUAUUUAAAGUCUGAAGACCUCUGGACAGCCAGACUCAAGACUCAAAGUCUAUCCUCAUUGACAGGUUCUAAUCCGUUGAAGAAAGGCUAUCCAAAACUAGAUGUUUCAUUAAGGAUGUGGCCUUAUCGACUGGAGAAGAUCUAUUGGCUGGAUAUGACAUAACGGAAUCAUUUAUUUGAUCAUAAUUAAUUCGAAGAUUAAGGAUCCGAUGAUUGGGAAAGUAUACUUGGAAGGUUCUAUUUAUGGAAACCGAGAUCCUGAUUGUAUGGGCGAACAAGAUUGAUGGGCUAUCGACAUGUUCCUUUAAUAGCUCGAAUAAUCUUCCUAAUUGAUUCCGUCCAACGGGUAGAUUGGAGAAAUUCCUUUGGUAAGUGCCAACGGGUAUGAUGGCAUGAAGGAGUAUAUAAGGAAGACGUUCCAGUUGUUCGAGAGUGUGCACGAUAGAAGAAUUCCAAAGUCUGAAGCUCCUUGUUCUUAGUCAAUUCAUUUGUUGAGCAAAAUCAUGUAAACAAAAGAGAAUCUAUAUUCGUGAGAAACUUUGAGGAAGUGUGGUAGACCAUCUACAUUGUGGAAUCAAGGAAAAACUGUGAUGUAACUUCUCUUUUGUUCAUAGUGAAAUCCAGCCGAUGGGCUGUCAGUGCGGAAGAGUGGACGUAGGCUUGGAAUAAGCCGAACCACUAUAAAUCUUGUGUUCAAUUUUCUCUUCCCUAACCUUUACUUUACUUUGAUCGUAUUUUCUUUUCUAUCAUUUGCCUAGAAUCGCUUCCAUAUCUCGAGAAAUUGUUUGUGCACCUAUUCACCCCCCUCUAGGUGCUUAUACUAGUUAUCUCAAUUAGUAUCAGAGCCUGUGUACUCACUUUGUUUGAAGUGUUUUAUUUCAGAGUUAAAGAUCCAUAACUAGUAUGUUGGCUCCAGGGCUGGUAGAAGGGCAAAGCAAUACCAGACCACCUUACUUUGAUGGAAAGGAUUACAACAUAUGGAAAAACAAGAUGAAAGCGUUCCUAAGAUCAAAGGAUCCUCCGGAAUGGGACGUUGUAGAAAAAUGAAUCAUUCCUAAAGCUGCAUCUGUCUUAGAAAGAGGAAAAGAUGUUGUUGAGUCUAGCAAAAUGACUCAGGAAGAGAUAAUCAAGAGACAAGCUCUUGAUGCAAAAGUAAUUUAUUCCUUAUAUUGUGCUUUAUCCCCUAUUGAAUAUAACAGAAUAUCUUCUUGUGUUACAACUAAAGAAGUCUGGGAUAGAUUACAUAUUACCUAUGAAGGAACUGAUCGAGUGAAAGUGACUAGAAUCAACAUUCUCCUCGGUCAAUAUGAAGCCUUCAAAAUGAAACCAGGAGAAUCUAUAAUUGAUAUGUUUAGUCGUUUUACAGAAAUCGUGAAUGGUCUUGAAAAUCAAGGUCAACCAAUUUCUGAUCCCAUGAAAGUAAACAAGCUACUGCGUGGACUCUCCAAGGAUUGGAAUCACAUAAAGACCUCAAUCAGAGAGACCCAAAGAAUCAUGCCACUAUCUGUUGAUGAGUUGGUUAGGACUCUUCAGUCUUAUGAAGUGGAACGAAUCAAUGAAGACAAAGACCCUAAAGGUAAGAAAUCCAUUGCAUUAAAAUCUAAUGAUAAUUCUAAUGUUACAGAUUCUGAAGACGAUAUGGAUGAUGAGGAACUUGCUCUCAUGAUAAGAAGAUUCAGAAAGUUGAACAGAAAAGGAAGAAGAUUCAAUCCAAAGAAACAAAGUUUUCAAAAGCAAUAGACAAAGUUUGUUGAGGAUGAUGAAUCAAACAAAGAUGUAGUCUACUUUGAAUGUAAGAAAAAGGGACACAUCAGACCCAAUUGUCCUCUUCUGAGGAAGAAGAAAGGAAAAAUUGAAAAGUAUCGAAAAGCUCUUAAAGCUGAAACCUGGAGUGAUACAGAAUGUGAAGAAAGUGAUGAUGAUUAUGCCAAUAUAUGUCUGAUGGCACAAUCGGAUUCAGAUUCAAAUUCCGAGACAGAUUCAGAUUCAGAAAGCGAAUUUGAGGUAAGUAACUUCAAAAUCCCUAUUAAAGUUUCAAAAUACAUUGAUGAACUGUGUUUUAGUUUUAAGACUUCUCUUAAAAGAAUUUCCGAACUCAAGAAGGAAAAUUCUGCUCUAAAACAACAGGAAAAUAUUUUGAAAGAAAACGUGAAAUGUUUAGACAAGAAUGUUUCUUCUCUUAAGGAAAGUGAAGAUAAUCUUUUAAAAGAAAAUGCAUUCUUGCAAAGUGAUAUAUCAAAUAUUUCCAAAAGAUUUUCUAUAGGAUCUAAGAAACUGGAAAAAAUUCUCUCUGUUCAAAGACCUUAUUUCAAUAAAUCUGAUUUGGGAAUGACUGCUGAAACCAUUCCUUUAAUUGAUUUUCCUAAAGUAAAGGAAAGAAUCAAACAAAGACCCACAAGAGAUGCUUACAAAAAUCAUUUUAAAAAGAUCUUUAUAAAACCAGUAGGUCGCAAUGCUCUCAGAUGCUCAAAGUGCAAUAGUGCAGAUCAUUUUGAAAAAGAAUGUCCUAUGAUUUGGAAACCUGUUAAAAAGGUAUGGGCAAAAACCACAUAUCAUACUAACACCAAUGGACUCAAGAAAAUAUGGGUACCAAAGAAGGUUUGAGUUUCUUUUUUAAAUGCAGGUCACUAUCAAGAAAAAGGUAAAAUGGUAUCUGGAUAGUGGAUGCUCAAGACACAUGACAGGAGACUCAAAUUACUUCAUAAAGUUUGUUCGAGUAAAUGGUGGAAAAGUUUCUUUUGGAGGAAACAGCAAAGGAAAAAUUGUGGGAUUUGGAACUGUAAAGAUUGGAAAUCUCUCAAUCAGCAAUUUUUCAUUAGUGGAAGGACUUAAUUACAAUUUGCUCAGUAUUAGUUAGCUAUGUGAUACUGAUUUCAAAAUCAACUUUCAAGAGGGAAUAUGUUCAGGAAUUAAUAAAGAUUCUACUCAGUCAUUCAUGGGUUGAAGACAUGGAAAUAUCUACCUUUUGGAUGUGAAACCAGAUGAAUCGCAAUGUCUAAUCUCAAUCCAAGACGAAGCAAACUUAUGUCACAGAAAGCUUGGGCACGUCAAUAUGAAGCAAAUAGCCAAAAUCUCAGCAAAGAAGCUUGUUCGUAGUCUACCCAAUUUAUCAUAUCAAAAGUCUGAUCUAUGUACACCAUGUAUAUUGGGAAAAGAGGUAAGAAAUUCAUUUAAACCAAUAAAUCAAGUUUCCACUAACCAUGUAUUGCAGCUUCUGCAUAUGGAUCUUUUUGGACCAACCAGAACUCAAAGCAUUGGAGGUAAGAAAUACUGCCUAGUAAUUGUGGAUGACUACUCACGAUUUACUUGGGUAUAUUUCUUGGCAAGUAAGUCUGAAACUUUCUCUUACUUUGAAAAGUUUGCUAAAAAUGUUCAAAAUGAAAAAUGAUAUGUUAUCUCAAAUAUAAGAACAUAUCAUGAAGGUGAAUUUGAAAAUCAUGAUUUUACAAAAUUCUGUGAUGAAUCUGGUUUUCAGCAUGUAUUCUCCUCUCCAUAUACUCCAGAGCAAAAUGGAGUUGUGAAAAGAAAGAAUAGAUCAUUUCAAGAAAUGGCUAGAACUCUUUUAAUUGAAAGUAACAUCUCUUCACGUUUUUGGGCUGAAGCAGUUUCUACAGCAUGUUACAUUAUAAGUAGAGUUUUUCUAAGGCCUAUUCUGGAAAAAAAAACCCCUAUGAACUAUUUAAAGAAAAGAAGCCUAUUGUUUCAUAUUUUUAUGUAUUUGGAUGCAAAUGUUUUAUACUGAAAAAUGAAAAUGAUCGAGUUGGUAAGUUUGAAGAAAAAUCAGAUGAAGGCAUCUUCCUUGGAUAUUCAACCACAAGCAAAGCGUACAGAGUUUACAACAAGAAGACUCAAACAGUGGAAGAAUCAAUGAAUGUUAAAUUCCAAGAUUCUAUGCAAAAUGAAUCCAUUCAAACUCAUCUUGAAGAAUCUGAACCUGCUUCAGACUCUACAAAGUCUAAAAUAGCUCAGACUUUGAAGGACCAGCAACAAGUGACUAUUGAAGAUUCAAGUGAAGGAAGUGACCAUCAGUCUGACAAAUUAACCAGCAACUGGAAACAUAAGUCCAGUCAUCCCAAAGAUCGUAUUAUUGGUGACAUCAAUAAAAGAAUUCGCACAAGAUCCAAAUGGCGCGGAGAGUCUAGUCAUGUGGCUCUUAUUUCUGAAAUAGAACUCAAAAGCAUAGAAGAAGCUUUAUCUGAUGAAAGUUGGAUUAAAGCUAUGCAAGAAGAGCUCAGGCAAUUCAGUAUUAAUGAUGUAUGGGAAUUGACUCCUAAACCAAAAGGUAAGUCUGUUAUUGGAGCUAAAUGGGUUUUCAGGAACAAGAUGAACGAGAAAGGAAAAGUCAUAAGAAACAAGGCAAGACUCGUGGCCAAGGGAUACACACAAGAAGAAUGGAUAGACUAUGACGAGACUUACGCACCAGUAGCAAGGUUAGAAGCAAUUCGAUUAUUACUUGCUUUUGCUUGUUAUAAGAAUUUCAAGUUAUUCCAAAUGGAUGUCAAAAGUACCUUCCUAAAUGGAUUCAUCCAUGAGGAUGUCUAUGUGGAACAACCACCUGGGUUUGAAGACCCAAGGAAACCAGACUCAGUAUUCAUACUCAAAAAGGCUUUAUAUGGCUUAAAACAAGCACCUCGAGCUUGGUAUGACAGACUGAGUAAGUUUUUAAUUGAAAAUGGAUUUGUUAAAGGUAAAGUAGACACUACUCUUUUCAUUAAAAGAGAAAGCAAGAGUUUUCUACUUGUUCAAAUAUAUGUCGAUGAUAUUAUUUUUGGAUCCACUAAUGAAAGUCUGUGCAAGAAAUUCUCUAAGACUAUGCAGGAUGAAUUUGAAAUGAGCAUGAUGGGUGAGUUAACCUUCUUUCUUAGACUUCAAGUGAAACAACUGAAUGAAUGAACUUUUAUUCAUCAAGAAAAAUAUGCUAAUGAUAUUGUGAAGAAGUUUGGACUGGACAAUUGCAAAAAGGCCGAUAUACCAAUGUCAAGUUCCUUGAAGAUAGAUAAAGAUAAAAGAGGAAAGAAAGUCGACCAAAAGUUAUACAAGAGUAUCAUCGGUUCACUUAUUUAUCUUAUUGCUUCUAGACCUGACAUUUUGUUUAGUGUUUGCAUUUGUGCCAGAUUUCAAGCAGACCCUAAAGAAUCACGUUUAAAUGCUGCAAAGCGUAUUAUCAAAUAUAUUGCAUCAACUUCAAGCUUUGGUCUUUGGUAUCCUAAAGGGGGAGACUUUACUCUUCUUGGGUACUCAGACGCAAACUUAGCCGGAUGCAGAGUUGAUAGAAAGAGCACCUCAGGUACCUGUCAACUACUUGGAGGCAAGACAGUGUCUUGGUUUUCAAGAAAGCAAAGUACAAUAGCUCUCUCUAUAGCAGAAGCAGAAUAUGUAGCUCUUGGAAGUUGUCGUUCACAAAUUCUGUGGAUAAAGCAACAGCUAAAAGACUUUGGAAUUGAAGAUUCAUGCACGGAGAUUAAAUGUGACAACACCAGCGCAAUUAAUCUCACCAAAAAUCCAAUUCUUCACUCAAGAGCAAAGCAUAUAGAAAUUCGACAUCACUUCAUUAGAGAUCAUGUUCAAAAUGGAGAAAUUACGAUUCAGUUUGUUGACUCAAAGAACCAACUGGCGGAUAUAUUUACAAAGCCUUUGGAGAAAAAUCAAUUUGAAAUUAUCCGUUCCAAACUCAACAUUUUGAGGUUUGAAGAAAUGAAAGUCUAGAGACCCUCAGACUUAGACAAAUAAGACUUUGACUAUAAGUUAUUCUCUCUCUCUAAUCUCAUCUUGAAAAGGCACGUUCAUCAAUCGUGUUUGAUUAUUGUUAUCUCAACCGCUAUCUUUAAUUAAUGAGAUUAUUGCAUCGUUUCCUUUAGAAAAAGGAGUUAUUUUGAAAUGACCAUUUUUCGAAAAAGGCAGUUAUUUUUUUAAAAAGGCAUCUUUUCACUUUCCAUUACGACGAUUGGUAUCCCCUCCUUUCGACUGUCUUAUAUACAGUCGGUUUCUCUUUGCUUAACUCCAAAACCCUAAAAAGCAUCAAUCUUCCAUUCCUGUUUUCUUCUCUUGUUUAAUCUUUGAAAAAGUUGUCAUCUUUCUUGGGAAAGUCAAGCAAAGAAUCUUUCAAAGACUAAGAAAGAUUUCGUAUUCAAGAAAGUCUUCAAGGAUCGCACGCAGGGGACCACAGCGAAUGAGUGAGGGGCCUACGCACUUCGAUCUCACUGAAGAAGAAGUGUCUCCAAAUCAGCAGCAGAGCCCACAACAUUCUCAACAGCGUCAUUCUCCUCCAUCUAGUCCUCAAGGUGUUGUUCAUCAACAAGAGGAAGAAAUCAUUGAAGAUGCAGAUCCUGUAAAAGUUCAAACGCCCUCUUUUAUUUAUAAGCUGUAUCGGGCUUUCAAAGGGACUGGUACUUCAUUGAACUAUGUCGAUGAUUUUCUUAAGGACAAAGGAUAUGGAAAUGAAUAUAUCUUUUUGCGAAAAAUUGAAAGUUUGGGAAUUGCUCGUAAAGGGGUGGCAGAAGAAAGCCUUGCGAAUAUCCCAAGUGAUCCUCGGGAUUGGGGAUUUAAUCCGGUAGAUGGAAAUGAUGAUGACAAAUUAUACAGCCAAUUUCAACCAAGAAUGGGAGUCGCGGCGGAAAAUCGAGAAAAAAAGGGAGAGUUGUUUAGAUCGAAGGAACAGAAGGAUCUAUACUCAAAACUGUUGAAGCGUGGGGUGAUAAACCCUAGGAGUGUGGAUUUUGAUUUUCUGGAUGCUGUGAAUGUGAACUUGAGGGAAAAUUUCGGUCAUCUUCAACUUGAAAAAUUUUGCUCUGACACCACAGAGGCCUAUCCUCAACUAACUGCAUAUUUCUAUUCAAAUCUUAGUUUUUUGGAUGCGAAUAGAUUCUCCUUCAGCGUCAAAGAUCAAGACUUUGUAGUAGAUAUGGAUAUGCUAGCAGAUGUGUUAGGAGUGGAGAGAGGAAGAUAUCAACGGAUCAAAGUUUCUAUUGCUCGUACUACACUGAAACUUGUUAAGGACAGGAGAACAGAGGAAAAGAUUUCCUAUUCAAGGAUGAAUUCAUUCAACAUCUUGCUGCACAAAAUUGUAAUAAAUUGCCUCAGACCAAAAUCAACUUCCAAGACUGAUGUCUCAAGUUCAGAGGCAAAGCUAAUGUAUGCCAUCAUCACUGGGAAAAGGUUUUCACUUCCUCACACUGUUAUGUUCUACAUGUAUAGAGCUGUGAUGAAGGACAGAGCUCAACUUCCUUAUCCAAGUCUUGUGACGAAGUUAUCCAGACAUUUGAACAUUCAGCCUCCGCAAAUUCUUUGUGCUCGAUCGUGCGAUCAUAUGGUGGUAGGAUUGAAAAUGGUGACCAAGAUGUGUCUGAAGGAACUAAGCAAGGCAUUGGAGAAAUUUAAGGAGAAGACUCCAGUCAAAUCUCAUCAAUUCUCUUCUAUAGGAAAAAGGAAAGGGAAUGAGCCCAUGGAUGCUCCAUCCAAGAGAAGAAGAGCUCUCCUCGUUGAGGAUGAAGAUGAUGAGGAUAACAUCACCAUUUCUGCAAUGGCUUUGAAGAAUCUCAGUCGAUCUGUUCCAGAGAAAGAGUCAGAACAGCAGAUAGAAGAAAGAGCAGAGAAAGAAGCAGAGGAAAAAGAAACGGAGGAAAGAGAAGAAGAAGAAGAAGAAAGAGAUGCUGAGAAAGAGAGAGUUGAAAAAGAAGAAGAAGAGAAAAGAGAUCAAGAAGAAGGAGAAAAUGAGGAGCACUCUCCACCUGAAGGCAUGAACACAGGGGGAGACCAAGAGAAAAGAGGAAUGUCCUCAAAUCCUGUAACCAGUGAGGGAGUCAGUCAAUCCCCAGCAGAUCCAGAGGAUAUUUAUGCCUCUCAGUUUCCUGAGGAAAGUCAUGAUGUUUCUUCGCCAAAUCUGUGUGAUUAUGCUAAUAUACCAUCGUCUGCAUUUACUCCAUCAGAUCGUGCCAAUGCUAGUAUGCAAACCGACAAUUCAGUAGACUUUCGCAGAGUAAUGGAUAUUCUCUUGGAGAUGCAAGGUCAGAUAUAUGCAUUGGGAUGCGAAGUUCAGAACUUGCAGAAUGCAGGACAAGCUUCUUCGGGUUCAUUGAAUGAUCAAAUCCAAGCCAUUUCUCUUCAGAUUCAGGCUAAUGCUAAGGGUGAGGAUGUUGCACGACUGAAAGAAGACUUGAAAAGGCUAGAAGGCAUCGUUCAGUUGAUGGGAGAUUUCCAGCUUGUUUGUGUUCCCAAGCAUUCUUAACUCCAUUUUCAUCUCAAUCUUUUUUAUGCUGACAAAAAUGGGGAGAGUUGCGAGGACUUGAAAAACUUUGAACUUAAAUUUGUCGAACUUUUGGCUUGUUUGGUUUGUGGUUUAUUUUGACUUGACUUGUGUGUCUGGAUGUGGACUAAAUUUGGGAUUUGGAUUUGACUACUUAUUAUUGAUUUCUUAUGGAUGGCUUUAUUGCAUACUGGACUAACCUAUUUUCUGUGAUUGCAAGUUCUAGUGUUAUUCAUUUAGCCAUUUAUCUCUAUAAGAUAUGCAUAUGUGUUUGAGAAAUGUUUUGCAGGUCAAAGUUUUCCAAAUCUGCAGGAAAGUUUUGUCACCAUCAAAAAGGGGGAGAUUGUUGGAGAAAUCCUCUUGAAGUGUUUUGAAGUUGACAAAACGUUUCCAUCAGUCUAGUCUGAAGGCUUGUAGACUCUGCUAUUUAAAGUAUGAAGACCUCCGAACAGCCAGACUCAAAAUUCAAAGUCUAUCCUCAUUGACAGGUUCUAAUCCGUUGAAGAAAGGCUAUCCAGAAUUGGAUGUUUCAUUAAGGAUGUGGCCUUAUCGACUGGAGAAGAUCUCUUGCCUGGAUAUGACAUAACGGAAUCCUUNNNNNNNNNNNNNNNNNNNNNNNNNNNNNNNNNNNNNNNNNNNNNNNNNNNNNNNNNNNNNNNNNNNNNNNNNNNNNNNNNNNNNNNNNNNNNNNNNNNNNNNNNNNNNNNNNNNNNNNNNNNNNNNNNNNNNNNNNNNNNNNNNNNNNNNNNNNNNNNNNNNNNNNNNNNNNNNNNNNNNNNNNNNNNNNNNNNNNNNNNNNNNNNNNNNNNNNNNNNNNNNNNNNNNNNNNNNNNNNNNNNNCCAGUUGUUCGAGAGUGUGCCACGAUAGAGAAUUCCAAAGUUUGAAGCUCAUUGUUUUAGUCAAUCAUUUGUUAAGCAAAAUCGUGUAAACAAAGAGAGUCUAUAUUCGUGAGAAACCUUGAGGAAGUGUGGUAAACCAUCUACACUGUGGAAUCAAGGAAAAGCUGUGCUGUAACUUCUCUUUUGUUCAUAGUGAAAUCCAGCCGGUGGGCUGUCAGUGUGGAAGAGUGGACGUAUGCUUGGAAUAAGCCGAACCACUAUAAAUCUUGUGUUCAAUUUUCUCUUCCCUAACCUUUACUUUACUUUGAUCGUAUUUUCUUUUCUAUCGUUUGCCUAGAAUCGCUUCCGUAUCUCGAGAAAUAGUUUGUGCACCUAUUCACCCCCCUCUAGGUGCUUAUACUAGCUAUCUCACUUUUGACUUCGCCACAUUGAGAGGCCCUUGGGUUUGAGUUCUCCGCUGGUCUAGCCAUCUUUACUUUCAACGCCUUUUCUUGCCUUUUCCUACGAUGAAUCCAUCCCCUUCGACGAGUGUCAAUACUGCAUUGAUUCCCAGUUACCGUGCCCCGACUUGUUCAGUCGCUUCAACAGCUUCCCCCGAGACAGCGUGCGGAUCCGGUUUGUGAGUGGUAGCACCAUCGGUACCACUCGCUCCGAGUGACGUGGUUGAGGAGCUCUAUCGCCUUGGCUGCCCCCUCUUUCAGAUCAUCUUCUUCACAGAGAAGAUGUCCAGCUUUGAUUGGGAUCACAAAGUUCCCUACUAAAAUGGAGUUAAGUGACAUAAGAAAGAGGCAGGGCUGACGAGCUCCGAUGCCACUUUUCCAAGGCAGCCAAAGGUGGUAAGCAGCUUGUCACUGGUUGUGACAGUCUGAUUUUUCGCUUCUGUUUUCAAUUAAUUCGGGCUUUUCGUCGACGUGCCUAUAGCGCUAUUCUCUGAGCUGAUCACUCAUGAGAUAACUUGACUAAUCGGGAAAGUUAUUAAAGAAUUUUGGUGCAACAGACUUGAAAAUUCGACCAGGAAUCGACUGCUCGACCGUGUUAGUCUACAAGGAUCAGUUCGGCACAGUCGAAAAUCUAUCAGAAAUCGGAAAUAGGUCGAUUCGAUAGAAAUAAAAUUAGGCUUGGGUGAUUCCAACUAAUUUACAAAUUUCUCGUCGAUCGGCACUAAACCGAUUUUUCUGUUGUUUUGGUACCCUGUGCUCGUAAUUGAAAUCUCGAGAUUUUUCACGACAAUCGAGAGUUGCUAAUGCGUCGAAAAUAUAUAUCGUGGCUCGGGAAUAAUCGACCACGGGUCAGUGCACCAAAAGUUCCCAAAAACUAACCGAUAGUUUAAGUUGUGCUAGAAAUCACAUUUUGACUGAAAUUAACCGAGGAAAUGAUGUCGAUUACAGAAAUUAAGAAUUGUCACAUGUCACAAUUCAUCCCAAGGACAUUGUUGCGUCUUCUCAAAAUUUACGGAUGAUGGGAAUUGCUCACGAAAUAUGCAAGAUCAGCAAAUUAGAAGAGCAAGGGAAUUGCCACAUUUUAAGUAGGAUUUUAAGACCUCUAAUGUGAAACAAUUUAAGAGGCAUUAUAAUUGGUUACUAAAGGACUUGACCCUAUUGAAUGGGAUAUUAGAUUGGUAAUUAAAUAAAAAGAGAGGUCUCCUCAAAAAGGAAAUUCGUAGGACUCCCUCUCUCCUACAACCUCACCUCAAUUUCCCUUGGUAUUUAAUGAAAAUUGACUUGAAAAGAUAGGGGGACCACUUGAUAAGGAAGAAACUCAUUCUCCAUGGAAAAGACUAUGAGAGUCACUUCAAAUUCGNNNNNNNNNNNNNNNNNNNNNNNNNNNNNNNNNNNNNNNNNNNNNNNNNNNNNNNNNNNNNNNNNNNNNNNNNNNNNNNNNNNNNNNNNNNNNNNNNNNNAAAUGUUUCAGCUAGAAUAGUAUUGACAAAACUUAUCCUAGCACACACUUGUUUGACCACCCAUGCGACAAAAGGAUUAAUGGCGCCCUUACGAAGAGGGAAAAUAACAAAUCUGAAAGAAGCUAGGAGGAAAAUCCUACUUUUUAAGAGAGUGUUAGCACUAGUAAAACUCUGAUCUAGAAAAGAAAAAUGACAUGCAAGACAAUUAUCUUUCAGCACUCUUUUUAUCAAAUUCUUAUCCAUCUUAAGAAAAUUUGACAAAAUUGAUUUUGGUUCUAAUCCGAUGGGUGGAUUUAUUAAUUCCAAUUCCAAGGGUUUUCCUAUGGCAAUAUUGUAUUCUUCCAGAGUUGGAGUCAGCUUAUGCUUACCAAAUAUAAACGUUGAUGUUCGGGGGCUCCAGAAAUGAGCAAGUGCUUGCAUGACGCCACUCUAGACAUCAAUGUCAAGGAGGGGAACAAUGCGACCAAGUCUGCUCUCUACAUAGCUUUGGUUCUCGUGGCCUAAACAAUCCCACCAUGAUUUGAGUUCAACCUUUGGUGCAGGCACGAAUCGAAUGUCGGAUCUUCCCAUUGUUUAUAGACCAGGACUCGACCAACCUAAUGUCAUGGACCGACCAAAUACAUAAAUAAGUAAAUUGCAAGAGUAAAGGAUAGAGAGCUUACUUUACCAUACGAUUAAAGCCAUCACAUAGACAGUGCAUGAAAGUGUAAGGCUCAAUUUCUAUAUAGAUGGGCUUAGCAAAGUGGAGUUAAAAGGGUGGGAUGACUUAGUUGCAGUCUCGCAUACUAAGUCAAGUCUUCCUAACUCCGGGCUUAGUCGAGAAUGAUACCCCAAUGCGACGGAGCCUCGCGGGAAAAGGUAAACAUUCUUAACACCAAGAAAAACUUUCGGAAUGGAGUUGGGCAACUUCUACUACGCGGCCUCGCGGUUGAAGUUGUAUCCAACUCAAUACCAUCCUAAGUGUCCUAGUGCGGCCCAGGUCUGGCGGCAGGUUGUGUGUGCAAAAGUAUAGUAUAAAUGCAAGACAUACACAACAGUUUAAAUCAAGCAACAGUUCAAUAACUUGAAUUUAAAACAUUCAUCCCUAACUUCAACCUGCAAGACAGGGGUUAGCAAAGACUACUCCCCUUAUAUCUCCCCAUCUGCAAAAAUAUUUAACACCUUAAAUAUUAGGGACGUACCUGGAAUCCUCGUUGCCAAACAAAAACAUUUUUCAUAAAGAAGAAAAUUGGCCUAAGUCCACUAAGUGUUUUAACACAAGUCCCCAACGGAGUCGCCAAGUUGUCGCGACCAAUUUUUCGGGGUGUGAACUACCUAAAAAUUGGCUAAUGGAUUGUUAAGGCUAAACUUAACUUAGGCUCUCCCAAGCUCAUACCAAUUCACGACUUAGGUUUAAGUUCUUAUCAUGCAAUUGAUUUUUUAACCAGGAAUCGCCACUAAUCUAUUUUUUGGUGGGUCGAUUAGAAACCCAAGUAAAGUAAUGGGAGUUUCACUUUACUCCUACAAACCAAAUAUUAUGGGCACGGGGACUUGGUUACACUAGAUUUCUUUAAUGCCCAUUCGGUACCACUUCUUUUUAAUUUUCAAAAAUGUUUUUUGCAGGCAAUUUAAACUGAUGUUAAAUCUAAUUCCAUAACAUGUGAAAUGAUCAUGCGGAUACCCAAUUCACCAAUUUAACACCUGGAUAAACAAUAAAUAAAUUGCAAAAACUUACCUCAAAGCAACAAAAUCAUCUGCAAUGUUAAAUUAAAAUCCACAUCAACAACCCUAGAUAUGGUUUCUAAUUAACACGUAAUUUCUUUUUGUUUUCACUUAAUUAAUGAAAAUCAUGCAAUAUGCAAUGCAACAUUAACUAAAUGACCUAAUUCUAAUGACAUGUAAUUUCUAAUUAAAUGGGCCAAGCAAAAAUACUAAAUGACAUUCAUCUUAAUGAAUCUAAACCUAAUGACGUGCAUAUGACAUUUUUUCUUUUUCCUAAAAGAAUGCAUUUUAUCCUAAAUAAUAAAACUAAUUUAACCUAUGACAUUUUUUGUAUUUUUUAUGAAAUUCGAAAUUAGAAAAUUGUGAAAAUUAUCUAAUUAGAUGAAGAUUCUAUUCAAUUUGUAUUAGGAAUUAGGUUGAACUAAAUCCUAAUUUAAACUAAAAUAUUAUCUUAACCCAAAUAAUCCUAAAAUGCAAUCUAUUCAAGAAAAUACCUAAACUUAUAAUAAAUUAAGAAAAGUAUUAUCUAAAACUAAACUAAGUGCAGUUUUACCCUAAUAUGCAAUGAUAUACAAAACAUGCCAUAAUUCUACAUGACAAAUGCAGGAUGAUUUUUUUGUUGUUUUUCCUUUUUUCUUUGUUUUUUAUUUUGAAAUUAAUAAUUGCCAAAUAAUUAAACAUGCAUUCCAAGUUUAAAGAAAAAAAAAUAGCAACCUAAAUAAAUUGAUUUGACUUCUUUUUUAUUAUUUUUAUUAUUUCUUUGAUUUUUAUUUUUUAUUUUUUAAAAAUUUCGAAAUAAUAAAACUCCUAUCCUAAACAUGCAAGAUAACCCUAAACCAUGCAAUAUUCUAAUUCAAACAUAUUUCAAAAUAAACAAAGCAAUCGAGACAAGCCAAACCAUAGAUAUCAUACAUUGUUCAAAUCAAGGGAUAGUAUUUCGCUAGUAAAAUCGAUAGAUUAAUCUUAAGCCUUAAAGAUCAAAAUAUCAAUUUCAUUCUCGCUUAAUUAAUUAUUUCAUCUAAAGCCUUAUAGAUAAAAUAAAAAAAUUCAAAUGCGGUUGUGAAUCAGGUGGCACAUCAUAAUUUCUAAAUAUGCAUUGGGAAACAUUUCGACUAAAGAAAAGCAAGAAAUAAAUAAAAUAUAGAUAAAAUGAAUUUGCAUAAUAAAAUAAAGUAAAUCUACCUAAUUUGAUUUUUUUUUCUUCCAAAACAGAGUUUGGCAACUGGUUCGGAGCUUUGGGGCUGGAAGUCAGGUGUUGGUGCAGACACGAGUAAGGCAAGCAGCGGUAGCGUGGGCACGAAGCUAGCUGUCGGGCACCGAGGAGAGGUGAGCAGCGACGGUGCGAGCUCUAGCGGCAUCGGGUUGCGGCAGGGACAGCGGCACGGCAGCGGCUGAGCGUCAGGUGGAGAUGAGCAGGGGCGCCAAGACUCCUGGUGCUGCAGAUUGGCGACGGCAGAGGCGGAUCAAAGGUGUUCGGGUCGCAACUGUUGUGCUCGGGCUGCUGCAAGUGACGGGGUUGUACUAGUGUUACGCGGUUGCAGAGGCGCGGGUCGUCACAGGCAAAGGUCACCGGCAAGGGGUCACUGCAGUUGUUGCGAGCGAGCGGCAGCAGGAGGGAAGCAGCAAUAGUGGCGUCGGGCUCUAGUGGUGCCGGUCGCGGCUAAAGCAGGGAACAUCAAGAGCUGGGUUGCAAGUAAAUCUCGGGCACGGGUGUCGGGGAGCUCCGCAGGUGUCGGCGGGGGCAGAGAUGCGGACGGAGCGGCGAGACCGGUGGCGCAGCGUGGCGGAGGUGAGCGGACCAGCAAGGUGGCGAGGCGCGGUGGUAUCCGGUGUGGCACGGAUUGGCGCAAUCGAGGGGGUCUUCUCUGUUCUAAACCAAAACCCCCACUUUUCUGACUUUGACCUAAAACAAAGAAAUCCAGAAAAAAAAAAAAAGACAACUUUUCCUCAAAUUCUUUUUCUCUCAAUUCUCUUGAAAAUUCCCCCAUUUUUCUUUUCAUUUUUUCGUUUUAUUUGUUCCGAUGCAAUUUUUAUUUUAUUUAUUUUCCUAAAUUUGCUAAAAUUAGGUGUAAACAGAAGGUUUAUUUAGCCUAACUAAAUGGGAGGCUAUAUCAAUGGGAGGUUUUUCAUUGUAACAUUCCCUUGUGCUUGGAAUUUGUAUUUUAGUAAAGGAUUUUAUUAGCAUAAUAGUCUUUGAAUUAUUAUGAGAAUAACAAUUUAUUAUGAGUCACAAAUUUUUAAAGUAAUGAACCCCAUAAUAAUUUCAAUUAUUUGUUAUUUGAUUUUUUGUAGUUUGGAAUAAAAAUUAUCACCAAAUUAUUUCUUUUUAACAAAUAUAUUGCUUAACUGUUGUUUUCAAUUAAGUUUGCAUCGGAGAAGAGAUUACUUUGUUUUGCUACGCUUGUCGGAUAUUGCACAGGAUAUUGUCAUUUUCUUAGCACUAGCAACGUUGCGUUCAGACAAGGCGGCAUGGAAUUAUUUGCUUAGCUGCACAUCGCACGACCAUACAUUCAUGGACUGUUCCUCAGGAAAACAUAUAGACAUGUGGCAGAUGCAGAACAUUUCACGAGAUUAAAAAAAAAAAGAAAAUAAUUUUUAAAAAACAAUACUUUCGACUUCAAAACGUGUUAAUCGAACGCCUGCUACUCCCGCCAAUAAAGCUCAGCUCCCCCAACGGCUUCGUUGUCGUCUCGAACUGUCCAUUCUCCAUUCUCUGUUCUUGCAUCGACCUCGGGCUAGACGAUGGUGGCAAUGGCGUCGUCAGACGGUGAGGAGGAUCGAGUUGGGGUCGUAGGGUCUCAAGGUCUCGGCACAGGGGCUGGGCUGCAUGGGCAUGUCUACUUCGCCAGCCCUCCCGAGCCCAACCCCGACACGAUCGAGCUUGUCCACCACACCGUUGAAUCUGGCGUUGCCUUCCUCGACACCUCCGACAUCUAUGGCCUUAACGCCAACGAAGUCCUCCUUGGAAAGGUCGGUAUUUUAUUUUGUAGAUAUAAUUGAAGAUCUUCAUCAUGAUGCCAAUCCUAUUUGCGGACUAAUUGAUUUGGUCAAUUUGUAAUUGUUUAGUGAAUUUGAAAUUUAUAAUUCUUUAUAUAUUAUUUAAUUUUUUCUCUUUCAUUCCUACACUAUAAAUAGACCAAUGAACUAAUAUACAGAUUAAUCAAUAUAUAAUGAAAUUUUCUUCAUUUUCUCUAUUAUUUUCUAUCAUGCUGUCAGUGUCGUUCUUCCUCACCUAGCUUCCCAUAUCUUAGAGUUGCCUUUCUUUUUCUCUUGGGUUUUUUUUUUUUUUAAUUGCAAGUCCUCAUCCUGCAAUACAAAUCAGCAAAUCGAUUAGGAAUUCAAUUUAUUUAUUUUUUUCGAUAUCAAGGCAAAAAUUAAGAACACUGAGAGCUCCACUACCUCACCUCAAAAUCAAGCCCCAUCACCAUCGGAUUCGAUUAUGAUUUGGGACAAGAUAUUUUAAUCAUUUUGAGAUAAUCUUUAACUGAUCAUGCUCUUCUAGAUACACAGCGAUUGCGCACUUCCAAAUGCUUAUUAUGUCAAGUAACAUGACAAUCUGAUGGCAUGCAAUGCAACCAAUUUUGCCCUCGUUGAUGUAGAAUUUGGCGUUAAAAGGAAAAUGAUAGUUGCUCGUAUGCUCUCUGCUUAGACAUUGCUUUAUGUUAUGAACUACCUACCAAGGUUGCGGCCAGAGAACUAAGCUCACAACGCGAAGCUAUUCGACCAAGUGAAUGGAAUUGCACAAAGAAAGGGAUGCACCCCAUUGCAGUUACCCCUCGCCUGGGUACACCACCAGAGUGAUGACAUUUGCCCGAUUCCUGGCACGAUCAAGAUCGAGAAUUUCAACCAGAAUAUUGGAGCUCUGUCAGUGAAGCUUUCACCAGAAGAGAUGGCCAAGCUCAAAUCGAUUGCUUAUGCGGACAAUGUUAGAGAAUUGAAACCACAUUUGAUACUAAAUUAUGCCUAGGUAGGAAUUCAAAACUCCACCUCCCGCUUUUCAUGUGGGAAGGUUGGCCCCACCUCGCGCUUAUGGAAAGAGUAAUCACGAAGACACCACAAUAGUUCAAUUGACGUGAGCAGGUACGUCUUCCCUACAUGGUAAGGGUCGUCACUGGGCGUGCAAUUGACGUAAGCACGUGCGUCUUCACAGCCACUAUCGCUCCCCUCCCACUCUUCGUAGCUUCUGCCACUCCCCUCCUAUAAAUCUCGGCUCGCCCGACGCCUUCGCCAUCGUCUCGGUGCAGUGCAGGGAACCAUCGAGCUCGAGCUAGACUACGGCAAUGGCGGCAUCGACGACAACGGUGAGGAGGAUCAAGCUGGGGUCGCAGGGCCUGGAGGUGUCGGCGCAGGGGCUGGGCUGCAUGAGCAUGUCCGCCUUCUAUGGCCCUCCCAAGUCCGAGCCCGACAUGAUCGCCCUCAUCCACCAUGCCGUCGGCUCCGGCGUCACCUUCCUCGACACCUCCGACGUCUACGGUCCUCACACCAACGAAAUCCUCCUCGGAAAGGUCGUUCUCUCAGUCUCUCUUUUGCCUCUGCAUGAAUUAUUAUAUAUGCUUAUGGUUUUACGGAACUUAGCUUCAUCGAGCAGGAUGCUCUGAUCCUGCGCCUUGGUUUUCUGAUUUCGGGGUUGAUUUUGAGCAGGCACUGAAGGGAGGGGUGAGGCAGAAGGUGGAAUUGGCGACCAAGUUCGGAGUCAGAUUCGCGGACGGGAAGAGGGAGAUCCAGGGCGAUCCGGCGUACGUGAGGGCUGCUUGCGAGGCCAGCUUGAAGCGGCUCGACAUCGAUUGCAUCGACCUCUACUACCAGCACCGUAUCGACACUCGCGUCCCCAUUGAAGUCACUGUAUGGAUCCCUUAUCAAACUUUCACCUCGCUUGAGACUUUCUCUGAGCCAUAUGAUGCAUCGUCAUGUUGUUAUAAGUCUGUUGAAUUUUGUUAAAUGACACUUAAGUUCAGCUGAUAGCAGAGUUCAAGAUGCGGCACGGUGUUGUUCAAGGGUUGUGAAAUUUAGUAGUUUAGUGGCUUGAGUUUUCGUUUUGUGGGAAUCUUUUACAAGUUAAGGGUCAACAAGCGUGGAAAUUAUUCGAAAUCUUCCUUUAAGAUGAAAGUGCUCCGGGGUUCAUCCUGAAUUUAUAUACGGGAAUCACAUAUAAAGUUGUUCCUGGACUUUAUACGGAGACAUUUGAUUCUUGACAUAUUGUGAAAUAUGACAAGUACUUGGAAUACUUCUUUUAUUUGCUCUCUUCUGUGAGAGAUUCAAGAAAUCUACCUCCGUUAACUCAAUACCUUAUGGGUUUUUUGUCGCAUUGAGAUGCAUGAUAAUUGAGGGAUCUAGACACAUAAAAAGCUAAUGACAAAAAUAAUUUUCUGGAUCUUAACAUGUAAGAUCUUGAUGUUGUUGUUCUGUCAUGUGAAUAUGCACAGAUCGGAGAGCUAAAGAAGCUCGUUGAAGAGGGUAAGAUAAAGUACAUCGGUUUAUCCGAGGCCUCUGCAUCAACAAUCAGAAGAGCACAUGCCGUUCAUCCCAUCACAGCAGUGCAAUUGGAGUGGUCGCUUUGGUCAAGAGAUGUGGAGGCGGACAUCGUUCCAACGUGCAGGUAGGAUAUCACUCUGUUAAUUGUUUAUGCAGCAACAACAGCUUCCUUCUGACUCUGCUUUUCCUUUAAAAUGUUGACUAGGGAGCUUGGCAUUGGAAUUGUUGCCUACAGUCCUUUAGGACGAGGAUUCUUUUCUGUUGGCUCCAAGUUGGCGGAGAAUUUCUCAAAGGAUGACUUCAGACAGGUCUGUUCCUGCUUGUCAACAUAAUUAGAUGCUUACAGUGGCUGUCAUUCUUAUUGAAGUGCUGGAAACCUGUUCUUGUGGUAUCAAGAAAAAGUAUCUGGAUGGGAUGAAUAAAACUUGGUGACACGAAUGCUUCGUGUUUUUAUAUGUCUUUAAUCCAGCACUUGCCAGACAUCCCACCUCUCUCGAUUCUAGAUAAAUGUAAAAUCACAAGUAAUGGCUUUAGUGAGCCUGAAAGAGGCAGUUUCCUGGAUUCUCGUGCUUUUGGGAAUGAAUACAUAUAGGUUUAUAUGUAAGUUGCUCUGUUUCCCAGCCUUCCCAACAUUUGCUUAUCACUAUCCUUUCCCCACUUUCCACCCACCCUUUUUCUCUCAUCUUUCUUCACAAGAUUAGCGAUAUUUCCUCGAAAUAACUGACGCCAGUAUCGGGCUCUGGCCCUCCGUCCUUUUUCAUUCUCAUCUUUCUUCACAAGAUAAACUAUAUCUUGACACAACCAUUUCUUGAGUGAGGACUCCCGACACCCUUCUUAUGAGAGUUUUGGAUCAAGUUCCCAUCUGACAUAAAGCCAAUUGUGUAUUACUCCCCGCCAUUAGCGUUUGACUAGCGAUAGUGCUGGGCAAGUGAGGUAGCUAUUUUUCUUUGUAGCUAAAAGAGCUCUGCGUCUGAUAACACUCUUCUACACAUCAUCUACAUUUCUGAUUUCUUAUUUUAUGUGUGACUAAUGGUAUCAUCACACGUACAAAACUUAGAUUGUCGAGUUUGUUUCUGUUUUCACAUCCUACAUCAAGCCCAUCAGCCUUGUGUGGUAGUUGCUAGAUCACUUCGCUUGACGUUUCUAAUGCUUAUGAUUUGGGACAUGAUAUUUUAAUCAUUUCAAGAUUAUUUAUAACUGAUCAUGCUUAUCCAGAUAGACAACGAUUGCACACUUCUAAAUGCUUAUUAUGUCAAGUAACAAGACAAUCUGAUGGCAUGCAAUGCAACCACUUUUGCACUUGUUGCUGUAGAAUUUAGCCUUAAAAGGAAAAUGAUAAUUGCUCAUAUGCUCUCUGCUGAGACAUUGCUCCAUGUUAUGCAGUAUCAUCCAAGGUUCCGGCCAGAGAACUUGGCUCACAACACGAAGUUAUUUGACCGAGUGAAUGAAAUUGCGCAAAGAAAGGGAUGCACCACAUCGCAGUUAGCCCUGGCCUGGGUACACCACCAUGGUGACGACAUUUGCCCGAUUCCUGGCACAACCAAGAUCGAGAAUUUCAACCAGAACAUUGGAGCUCUUUUAGUGAAGCUUACACAGGAAGACAUGGCCGAGCUUGAAUUGAUUGCUUCUGCGGACAAUGUCAAGGGUGGCAGGUAUGAUGGAAGCAUAUCUACAUGGGAAAACUCCGACACUCCACCCCUUUCUUCUUGGAAACCUGCCUAGAAGCGUGUCUGCUUCUGUUGCUGCAUCUUUGAUGUGCAGAGUUUGAGCAUUUGCUGCUGAAGUAAUUUGAGUUUAUGUUGUGUGGCUGUUAUAAGUAUGUGUAAUAAGAGAGUGACUGUUUUCAUUUUGUACAUGUGACAUUCACUAUGAGAAGAUUAUGGAUGUGUACUAACCUUACUGGGGAAAGAUCACUUGAUAAACACGGGAGCGAGUUGAAUACGAACUGAGCCUUCCGUGUCGACUUUAUGGGGUGACUUUUAGAAUAUGAGAAAUUGGGAUUUUGAAGAAUUCAAACUCAGUCGUACAUACUGUUGGAAAUAUGGCUUCGAAAUUG
rnacentral:lncRNA from 1 species